UGCCGUGGAGAUUUGUGGAGGCACUGUCCAUCCUUGGAAGCCAGGCAGCUGCGCUACUUGUUGCAGCAUUCCUCAAGGUUGCUUGGACUUGGGGCAUGGCAAAUCGAUAUGCGUCUCAGGACCUGAUAAAACUUGCACGUUCAAAUGUGGCUCUGCUUCCUAUGUCUGCCCAGGUCCAAAAAGUGUUGCGCUCGACUUCAACUCUUGCCACACUUGCAGGAAGCCACUCAAGGAAGGUUGCAAGCUCUACAACCGUCAGGGGCACCAGCUGUGCGUCAAGGAGGAUGAUCUACUCCAGCUUGUCUAGAAGAUGAUGCUGUAUUUAUAUAAAAUAAACAGCUCUGGGCAUGGUUGUUUAAAUAAUGGGUACUUGAAAUGUAUAUAUUUAUUAUAUAUAUAUAAAGUUUGACAACGCAACUUGUUGUCUGCAAUCUCUUUGUAGUCUUGCACUUUCAAAGAAGUUCCAAACAAACCAUAAUGUUUACUUUCCCAAUAUUCUAUGUUAUAGAUCUCAAUCAUACAUCACAAUGCAUUGGUGUUCAGCUCAUCAGCUUCCUCUGAGUUGAAACAACAUAAGGCUCGCUCUUGCCAUAUCACAUCCAUAAGUGCUAAUUUGCAGCCUAAGAAAAUUCCUAAAUACCUGAACUUAAGAAAAAAUAAAGCAAAGCAAAAGGCUAGAUCCAACGAAUCUUGGUCCUUUUUACCAUCCCACUAAUGCUCUAAUUACAUAGUAAUUCUAAGCAUCCAUGGUGAGCUCUAUAGCAACUUGCUUCUCCCACAGCCAGUCUCUAAACAAGUUCCCCUCGCACAUAAAUCUCCCCAUGGAGAUGAAAGGCUCAAACGGCGAGUCUAGAGCCACCAGCGUCCUGUUCACCGCAUGGGUCACCUCCUUGCUCUUGUCCGACGCGUAGCCACACACGAUGAUCACUCGCUCCGGCCUCUCGAAUCCCCGCGCGAGCUUCCGCCUGGACACGAUCAAUCCACUGGUGAGCGCCACCAUCGCAGUCCCGGAGCUCAUAUCCUGGAGCCAGAUAAACCACGCUCCCUGCCAGUCCUCCCAGAUCCCUCUCGGGUAGAGCUCUGUGGAGGAGACACCCUCCCACACGUAGAAGGCCUCGCGAGCGUAGCCAAAGCAGUGGAGAUGGUUGACGAGAGCGUCCGCCAGCCAUCGGCCCCAGCGAGGAGGCUUGUCCGUCCUCAGCUUGCGGAAAAACUCCCUCGAGUAGCUCUUGAGCUCUUUGAUCGCGCGGAGGCCUUGCAGGAUCUCGUUCAGGAACUCGUCCACACCGGGAUGAUCAUCUCCUCCUCCUCCUCCUCCUGCUGCUGCUGCUGGUUUCGAGGACGACUUCAUCAUCUCUCUCACUGCUCUCGAGUCCGCCACCUUGACGCUGCUCGUGUAGUGGCCCAGGAGGAUCGUGUACGUUUGCAGCGUCGGCUCCACGCCUCUCUCCGGCAUGACUUUGGUGAGGAUGAACUUAGCCGGUUCCACUUCUCGGGCUUUGAGGUAGCCAUCGAUGAGCGCGUUGCACAUCUCGAUGCUUGGACCGGCCUUCGUCUUGCAGGCUUUGUUGAACCAUCGCCGGGCUUGCAGCAUAGCUCCGGCUCUCGCCCACGAACUUAUGAGCGUGCAGUACGUGAAUCGAUCUGGAGCGAGGCCGGCCUUUCGUAUAUCACCCAGGAUGUUCUGCGCAUGGCCGGGGAAGCCGCUGGAACCGUAACUCAGUAUCACGUUGUUGUAGACGAUCAAGUUUGGCUCUAGGCCGGAGCGGAGGUAGUCUGCGUAGAGCUCUGCCGCUGCUUUCGAGUCUCGAGCCUUGGCGUACAUGUGGAUGAGGAUGGCGUACGUUGCAGAGGAGAAUGGAAUCCCCCAGGCUUUCAUCUGGUUGGCAGCUUCCCUGGCGUUUGCGAAGUCCCGCUGCUUGCAGAAGUUGUGGAUCAUUGUGUUGAACGUCUGCGCGUCGGCAUUGCGGGGGGAGGCUCUCAAGUCGAGGAAGAUCCGUUGGAGCUCCUUCCGGGAGCCGAACUUGCCGCACCAGUCGAUGAGGAGGCCGAAGGUGCAAUUGUCCGGGUGACAGCCAAAGUAUGGCAUCUUCCUGUAGAGGUCGAGAGCUUCCUGGAUCCGGUUCACUCUUGUGUAGCAGCGGAUCAUGUUGUUCACUGCAAACGUGUCAAGGCGAAGCCCGAGCUCCUGGAUCUCAACAAAAAGUGCCUCGGCCAUGAGAUAGUUCCCGUCAUCUCCCAAGAUCAUGAUCAUCGUCGAGUAGUUUACCAAGUCGUGCUUGAAGCCUGGGAUCGUCUUGGCCCACGUAAAGAGCUUGAGCGAGAGAGAUGCGUCGUGCUUGAUCUUCUUGAGAACCACGCAGACCUGGUGGGGGUGCGUUAUCCCACGCUUGAGCCUGUCCAGCUUCUCAACCAUCUCGGAGCUCCAGCUCGCUCCUCCUUCCUUCACAGUCUCGUACAAGGCAUCGAAGACUAGCGCUCCUUUGCCUGGAACUAAACCCGGCAGCGCCACCUUACUGCUCGGCACCAUAUAGUUCCCCGGCAGAGCGAUCGUUCCCUCUUUGCCUUCUUCUGGCAAGCUCCACACUGGAAACGAGUUCCACGACGAGGAAACAUUCGUCGCCCGGUUGUCCAUUGUUACUGACAGAGGGCGACCAAUGACGAACUUGUCGCGACCACAAAGCACCGGAGGAUCAUCACCAGUGUCGGUCGCGGGAGGAAGUGUCUCGUAGACCAGAAACUUGUCCCCGACUGCAUGGACAUUCCACUGCUUCUGUCCCCUGUGAAGAUGGAGCUCGCGCCUGUAUUGCUUGUGACCCAGAAUCGGACCCACGUAGUUGCCUUCCUGCUCCUCGGCUAUGUAAGGCUUCUUCCCGAGCUGGUGUUGGAGUGCUACCCACUGCCCACUGAUUCUAUCCAAGCCUGCUUGAGGGUCUGCGCGAACAAAGCGUUCCUGCUCUCGACUUAGUCGCGGACGAGGCGGCGGCCUCAGCUUCCUACCAUACUUCGUCUUCACGUAGAGAUCGUCGUCACGGCACAGGUCUCUGAUCGCAGCAAUCUGUUCCUUCGUCCAGUAGAAGCGAGGAAGGGGCUGAAACUUGGCACCCAUCUCUGUUGCUAGCUAGCUAAACCCCGAAAAACUUACCUUUAUGAGAAAGCUCAUCUUUCGAUUAAAGAAUGUUCCUUCUCUGCUAGAAAAUACAAAGGUUCAGAAUCCGGACAUGCAAGAGAAAGUACUUACAAAGAAUCUAUAGGCAAGCGUUGGCCUGUAGUCGCAAGAGCCGCGAUUCAGCAGCAGCAGCAGCAGCUUGAGCCGGAGUUAAAUCUCGGAAAGUAUCACGAGUAGAACCACUGGGGGUGUUUGAAGUAGCUGUGUUCUCUUUCGGUUCGUCCCAAGCUAGUAAGCUGUUCAUGUCAUUCGCUGAAAGAGGCUGCUCUUUUUGUUUCAUUGGAAGGAGGUUCGUCUUCUGCUGGCUCAUUUUGUAGAUGUUCUCCUCCACAGUGUUACGUAUCUGGAAAUGUCGUCAGUAAUUGGAAAACAGAAGAAACGUACGUAACUUACAAUGAAUCUAUGUACAAGUGUCUUUAGACGUUGGCCAAUCCGGUGGACUCGAUUGAUAGCCUGAGCUUCUACUGCCGGAUUGAGCAAAGGCUCCACCAAAAUAACGUGUUGGGCCUCUAUUAAGUUCAGGCCAUUGGCACCAUGUUGUAUGGGCAGUAACAUGACUUGAAUGUUCUCCUUCUUAAAUUCCAAGAUGGAAGAACCCAUUUGUCUGUGAAAAACACAAAACGAGCAAAUGAGUAAAAGUAAAACAGAUUAUCGAUGUUACCUGCGCUGCUUUAAUCGAACCCAGCUGAGCUUGUUGCUCUUCAGUGCGUGUUCUAACAAGUCCAGCACUUCUUGCCACGUCGAGAACACAAGAAUUUUCACAAACGGAUCGUCUUCUUUCAGACUAAGAAUUCUCCUGACGACAGCUUCAAUCUUCAAAGUUGCAAAAGAAUUAAAAUAAACAGCAGACGACAAAGCCAGAUUACCUUUGUUCCGUACGACCCUGCCACGGUUAUAGAUUUUUCUUCGUCCUCUUCUUCUUCCUGGAGGUUUUCCGCAAUUUUUGAAGAAGCCCCUUCAGCAUUGGCAUAAGCAAUAUUAGAGACAUAAGUCUGUUGUCUGCACGUUGGGCAUGCAAUGCGCUUGAAAUCAGCACCGUUCGCUGGUGCUUUCUGGCGGUUCACAAUAAGAUUCAAACCUGCGAAAUAAAAUGAAGAUUUGCUCAGGAAACCAACAAAGUAAGACACCGAAAACUUACACUUGCCACAAAGCAAAUGGCCGCACGGAAGGACCAUUGCUCCAGAUUCUAAGGCAUCGUGGCAAACUGGGCAAAUUUCUCCUUCCAAACUGUUAUGCCCCUCGUCCUUCUUAUUCCUUAGACCCUGCAAUCCGGAAAUGAGAGGAAGCUGCGAAUAAAAGAAAACUUAAGCCUAAUACCUUCAAGUAUCUGAGCUGCCUCUUCACACGAGAUAGAUUCUCAACAGCAACAAAUUUUUCGUUGGUAAGCUCCGCGUUUCUAAUUGCUAUCUCGUAGCCUUCAUCACCAAAAGGAUUGCCGUCUGCAGCCUUGGCACCUUGCAAACAUAGCCUUGUUGUCGACAUGCUCAGCUCGUCCAAUGCAGUUAGAACUAAUUGUUGUGCUGUUGUCAAGCGUCUCGCCGCUGCAUAUUCGCUACGCAAUGCCUGAAUUGACAUGGUUUGUCAAACAGACUUACAAAUAAGCACAGGAGUGUUUACUUCAAGAUACUCGAGAUGCUUCUUUGCGGCUUCUAUCUCAUCCUCAAAGUUCGUUUCCGCCUUCAUGUAUGCAAGUAAAAUCUUUAAAACCAUUUCCGUUUCAGAACAUCUAUGCGUAACCUGUGAAAAGAAAUAUUUAAGCUCGAAGCAAAGAAAAACAAAAGAAAAAAGUUAGAAAAACAAAAACAAGUUGCCUUACCGCAGCUACUGCUGCUCCUUUUCUCCUGCCUGUGUUCGUCUCAGUUUCCGUGUUUCCCUUAACCAGUGAACGUACUUGAGAAACAAAGGCGUCUUCUGCAGUGACAAUGCCAUCUAAUUCAGCUGCUCGGGACGUCAAGUAAAAUAGCCUAUUUGCAUAUUUCUGUAUCCACACUGACAAUGUCAGAAACCACACAAGAAAGAACUAGAUUGUACCUGAAACAUGAGAUCAAUCGCACAAUGAACACAAGUUAUCCCAGUGUGUCUAGGCUGGCACUGGGAACAUUGUCCAGCGCGCUGCACAUAAUCGGGAUUCGGAUUCUGCAUCCCGCCAUCCACUUCAAGUAAGCGACUCAGUACGUGGUCACGAGUCUCAUGGAGAGCAUCCAGCUCCUGGCUUAGUAAGAACUUGAGGCCGUUAAGGUCGUGGUAUCUACAUGCUCACUAGAUUACCUUCCGAGAAAGAUAAGGAAACAUACCUUAGAAUAAGACUAGAAGCAUUCCGACCACCAGCACGAUUUACAUCUUCCAGCCCGUGCUUUAUUCGCUCCAAUAGGUGGUCACUUCGUUUGCUCGAUGAUUGAACCCAUGCAAAAGCAUCUAGCCACCAGCGGCUCCAUCUUGAAGAUUUAUCAUCAGACUGAGCAGAAGCAAUCUGCAGGAUAAAGAAGGGCAACAUGAAAAAAAACAUUGAAAAGAAAUCAAUAAUACCUCUUUGUGUGCAGCGUGAAAGUCUUGCUGAGCCGCAGCAAGAUUUGCAUACUGGCCACUGACGUACUUCUUUCGUAAUUCGUCGCAUUGACUGAUCAGCAUAUCAUCCCUCAGAGUUCUUGGAAUUUUGCUCAAUGCGUCAUCCUUGCAGUUUCUGAGUGACUCUUCCAAAUUGUGUAAAAUAUGCACUUUCUGAAGCGGAUCAACUUCAAAAUUAGUCGCAUUUUCCUCCGUGGAUGCUAGUGCUUCUCGGUAAAUGGAGACAGCCAUGGGGAUGUUUUCCUCGAUAAUCGCCAGAGCUGCCAGUCCGUUCAACGAAGCAACAAGACCUCGUUGAGCUUCUUCUCCUUCAGUUUUAGCUUUCUCAAUUAGGACCUGAAGAAGAAAACAAGUAAAUAGCUAUAAGAACUCUAACACCAAGGUUCCUUACCUCCAAGACUUCAUCCAUCGGCAGUGGUGAUGCCUGCAACGAGCGUACUCCCGAACUCCCCACUUGAGGAUGGCAACAAGCUUGUCGCAGCCUCAACAAGGGGUUCAUUAACUUUGAGGCAUCCAUAUGAUUUAGAGGUCGACCAUCACCUAAUGAGUACUUCUCAAUAACUUCUCUGGCUCUCUUCACGCAUUGCUCGUGUUGUUGCCUAUAAAAGUGGUUCUCGACACCCGAAAACUUGAGCCAGGUAAUUCGCUCUUCUUGAGGAGGAAUAUCUAGCUGGUCUAUGACAUCGAUCUUCAUAGACCGCCACAUAAUCUCACGGAAAAAGGAAUGAGCAAAGUUAACUGCUCCCAUUUUUCCUUUCUGGAGAGCAACGAGUGUUACUUACAAUAAAAAGAAAAAAACACACAGUACCUCGUAAGGAUGUUUUAUGGCUUGCUGCCACCAAGUAUGAUUGUCAAACGGCUCCGCUUGUAGAAAUCUAAGCAAGCCAUACAAAUCAUCCAGCCCCCGUUGAAUGGGCGUUCCGCUAACACACCACUUGUUCUCCGCAUGCAGCCUCAUAGCCAUUUCAGUUGCUUUAGCAGUACUAGACUCCACCAUCUGUGCUUCGUCCAAGCAAAUUCUCCACCACUUCAAUCUUGUGAGAGGGGUGGCAAUCACGUGGUACCUGAGAAUACAAAAAGUUGACCAAUCAACAUAAAGAAAACAAGAGAAAGCUCAUACUUCUUCUCAAACCGUAAAGUUUGUUGGUUCUCUUCUUCAAUAUCGUGACUUAAAUCCGCUCGAAGAACAUCAUAGGUAGUAAUUACCACAUCUGCUGCUGCCAAAUCGUGUGCUCCCACCUUUCUCAGACCAGAAUUUUUUUCUCCCAAUGUGAUGCAACCCCGUUUCACGCCUUCGUAAACUAGAACUUUCACUGCAUCCAGUUUUGUGUGCCUAGAAAAAGACGCAAUCAGUAUUUUCAAGGAAGAGAAAAUAUUGCAAAGUACCUGACGAUUUCUUCCUGCCACUGCUUCAGUAUCGCCGUGGGACAAACUAUGAGAGUAGCCCCACACACGCCUUCAACCUCCGUGCUUGCAAUCACCUCAAAGCAUCCAUCGCAAGCAAAAGCGUCGUCAUCUUCGUCUGCUCCCUUGCUCUUCCUGGCUUUCUUCUUUUUUGGAGGCGAAUAGCCAACGCAAGAUGUAUGCUGCCAGACAUGGCAAUGAUCGCACUGAACCAUCAUGCCGCCAGCGUCAUCAUCGCCGCAGAUGCAUUCAACUCUCUCGUUCUUACGUUCAUCCAGCCUUUGCUGCAGUUUCUCAACCGCAGACUCCCACAUUGCAGGUCCUUCGUGUCUGUUUGCUAGAAUGCAAGCCAGCACCUCAACAGUUUUUCCAAGCCCCAUUUCAUCUACAGGUACAAAUUAAAAUUGUAAGAAUAUUUCGACAAAAGAAUCCAAUGUACCAGCUAGUAUGCCCCCACGAACGUAGCUACAACAAUCUCGAGGCUCGCGAGAAACCAUCCCACUGCAAGACAAUGAGAAAACAAAUUCACUGACCAACAAUGCAAAAGAGAGAUGGCGUACUUGAAAACGUUGUAGUAGAAAGACUUCUCUUUAUCCAAAGACUCCACUAAUACCCAAAGCGGGUGCCUCUUUCGCAUGACUUCUUCCACAGCCGGGUCGGCUGUUUCUCGCUGAACCAUCCAAAACACUGCUUGUUGUUGGUAAGUUCUAAGUUCCGGCAAUAGCCCCUCAAGAGCGACGCUCCAGCAUGGCUCAUCUCUGCAAUGAUAAGUAUCAGCAACAAAAGAAUUUCGACGAAGAAUCACACCUUUGUCUCUGAACUCCUCGGUAUAAGCUCGAAGGAUCAAACACCUCAUUCUGGCUCUUACUUCUUGUCUCGGGGCCGUAGAAGAAACCGAUAGAGAGCUCCGGCCUCAACCAAACGAUCAAACUCUGAAGAGAUCUUCGCAGCAUAUGGCUUGAUUCCUCUUCACAUGCCAGAAAUAAUCCACUGGUGAUAAAAACUCGGACUCUCUCAGCUUCGUACCUUAAGCCUGCGAACCUCUUCUUCACAAGCAACACCAAGCUCGAGUAGAUCUCUUGCGCACAAUCCAGCUUCCCAGAGAUCACACUUUCCUCCUGGAAAACCUCCAGCGACAAAUCGUCCACUACUCCCAGCUGACCGAAUCUUGAGGCGCUGCUUGAGAACCGGAGCCUCACCCCUGGAUUGCCGUCGCUCGAGGAUUCCAGCGGGGAGACGGAAAUAUCCUCCAGGGCAAUUUCCCCAAUCUCUGCGUCCUUCUCUCUGUCGAUCGACACUGACACUACAUCCUGCCAUUUCUUGCUCACCGAUUCCACGGAUUUCUUCCGGCGCUUCGUCGGGGGCUCAUCGAUGGGAGAUUUGGAUGCCUUGAGAGGCGCGCUCUGCUUGCGCCUCGCCAUGUUUCCACGCUACCUAUAUAGAUUAUCAAAAUUUUAGGGUUCUUCCGGAGAUUAGGGUUUAGCUAGGCGCGAACGACCAUGGAGGCGCGGAGGGAGCGGCGUGUGGAAUCGCUGGGAUGGCUCACCGAGUCGUCGGUGAUGCCCAAGAAGCAGAAGGUGAUCGAGGGCGUGGGGGCGGGCUCCAUUGUGGAGCUCCGGGCGCAGCUCUAUCAAACCCAGGAAGCAGUCAAGCAGGGCGAUUCUACCGUGCUUGUUCGCUCCCGGAAGAAGAGUGAUCUCUUCAGCAAGAAGAAUCCUGGCGUGGAUGAUCGCGAGACGAGGUACAUUUUUUUUUCUUCCCUGUUUGUAGUUCCUAGUUCACGAUUAAAGUUUCCAAAAACUUCUUUAAUGCGUAGCUCUUAGCUCCUAGCGUUUAAAUUCUUCCUUUUCAAUCUUGUCUCCUCGAUUUCUCCAUGGAUGUCCUUUCAUGUCUGAGUUUGUUCUCCAGUUCUUGUGACUUCUUCUUUCUCAUUUCAUACUCGAUACUUUCAUAACACUCGUAUAGUUUUUUAUUUCCAGGGACAAGCUCAUCUUCAAACAGGAGAGAGAUGGCACCGCGAGCUAUGAAGCGCUCGAGAAGAAAGCUCAAUUGUAUGACAAGCUGGUAAGGGGAGAGCUCCCCGACGAGGAAGAAAAGGAGAAGUACAGUGUGGACUUCCUCCGCAAGGGAUUCCUGGAAGACGAGAAGGAAGAGAUGGAACGUAACAGGAGGGGCGAGACUUCAGCCGACGACGACGAGCCCGAGAGCCUGUCCGACAUGAACUUCUUGCCGGGGAAGCCAACUUACGGUCCCAACCACAAGGAACUAGUGAGGUAAGAGCACAAGUUCUUCGUGAUCCAGAACUAAAAAAAAAUCUCUUUUUUGUUUGCCUUUCGCUACAGGGAAGUGAAUCGAGAAACGGUGGAAGCGCGGGAGAAAGCUGCGGAGCUCAAGCAACGAAGGCAGAGCAUUGCAGAGAAACAAAGGGCGAGGCUCAGAAAGGCGUUUGUCAAGAAGGAACUCGAGAAGCACAAGUCCAGUGCUGCGAAUUCUCACGCCCCACCAGCAGAGCCUCUUCAACAAGAGCAACAAGCGUGAAUUCUCGGGAGGCUGAAUUCUCCCAGUUGCCAUCAGAUGAUUAGUAAAAGCCUUAAAUUCCUAAACUUAAUAACAACGAUUACAAAGGUGCUGAAUCCAGGAAGCUUGCAAUCCCAGAAGUGGGCUCCUAUACCUCCACCGAGCACAAGAUGUUUCACUACAUGGGCCGCAAGGUAACGCUGGAUGUCAUCGAAUUCAUCUUGGACUCCGAUGAUCAUACGUGGGAGCUGAAAAGCGUUUUCAAGGUUUUGGGAGCGCUUGAGCGGAAGGUUUACGUUGUGUUUGAUUUUGGGCACAAGCUCAGCUCUGAAAACACAGGCUGCGAAGCUGAGAGAAAAGCCAGGCUAUCUGAAGGCGUUUGCUCUUGGCCUUAUUGCCGAACGGACAGAGCUGGCGACUAUGAAGCUCAGAUCGGAGGAAGUGGCCCGCUGGGUGAAUGCUAAUCGCUAUCGACACCAACUUCUCUCGCAGAGGUUGGAAUGCUGAAGAGGCGACGAUUCUCGCAAUGAAGUUCCUGGAGCCCAGAGUAGAGUUCCUAGACCAUGCGAUAGAUGUCAAGCCGGAGAAGGUUGUGCGGUUCCGGGAAGAUUUUCGAAGAAGUUACCCGCCGGUUGCAAGGAGUGGCACCGAUCAAGCUUACGCAUAUGGGAGCGGAUGUAUAUUAUGUGUCGCGGGACUGGAUUAUCCAUCUUCCUGCGGGAAUUCUUGGGAUCUUCCUCUUCGCAGUGCUCCUCUCCGACGGAACACGAGUCGCAGAUCCAAACAUCGACCUUCCCCGCGUCCCCAAGCGUGAUGCACUUUUCGUGGUCCGAGGAGUGGCAAAAGUCGCGCUUUGCUCGUGCCUGUGCCACAAGCCGAGCAGCAGUCUGAUCUGGGUAACCCCUUCAGGUCGAUCACCUCGAGACUCUCGUGAACGUCUGCAAAGCUCAUGACGAGCUGAAGAGGCGAUUCUGAUGUUUCCGCAUGUCCUCAUCUUGUCCGUGUGUGUUAUCCAGCACCGUAGCGUCUUCCUCGUUUCCUCCCCCUUGAAGAGCUCAUUCGCAACUUCUAAAGUGCGACGAUGGUGCUUCAUGGCCUUGGUAGCGUCCAUGAUAGAACUUAUAGUAUACAACUAACAAACUUCUUUGUACGCGUGGCUGUUCAACACUGACAAGUUCUCUACAUAUAUGUUGGUGCCACCAUGAAGAACGAAUAAACAUCUUGAACACUUUCAAUGUAACUGUGCUUUUUCGAUUCGCUUCUGCCUCUCUCUGCUUCGCUUCCGUAAUAUGUCUGAGAACAUAUCGCGAGGCACGUCCAUGGACACCAUUACCAUAGGAAUUCGGACUUUCAAUGUUGCUGUGCGAGAUGAGGCUUGUCACGCACUGUCGAAAUGUAUAUGUUGAUCUGAUUGGGAUGAAAACGAAAAGAUGGCACUUCGACAUGAACUUCUUGCCAGCAACCACAAGGAGCGAGUGAGGUAAGACCACAAGUUCUUCAUGAUUCAGAACUUAAAAGAAGUAAACCGAACGGCCGAGGCGUUUGUCAAGAAGGAACCCGAGCAAAAAUGCAGUGCUGGAAAUCCUCACGGCCCUCCUGCGGAGCCUCUUCAAUCCACCUAAAAAAGGCCCGUCUUCUUGACUAUCAAAAAGAGGGAUUGAGUCACGAGGCAAUCAUAUUUCAAGAGAUUCUGUAAUAGGUGCAGAAACUAUAACAACGGCAUUCCUCCAGUCUGGUGAAGCAUGGCAUCUAUUUCAUCGCCAUCUUCCAUUUCCAACUACAAAGAACAAUCAAGAAAAAAAAAAGAAAAGGAAAAGAAGAAACGCUACCUCCUCUGGUGUUUGAUCCUCACGGAGCCUUUUGCCAUCUAGAAGAAACGCUAUCGAGUCCGGUGCCACCGACAUUCGCUCGCAAUAGGCCUUCAUAAGCUUCGCCAACCGCGUGUUACGCCUGAUCGAGAAGCAAAUCUCGUUUCCAUCCUACAAGAUCAUCAAACAAGCAAGAGAAACCAAGAGAUCCAACCCCUGCCAGUGAAAUCAAUGGCUUCUUUUACCUGGCUCUUCACUUUGAGAUUCAUGUGAUCGCCAGGCUUUUUCUCUGGCUUCACGUCCGGCGUCUCGCUCGAGCCCUCCAUUAGAGAGAAAAAAAACCCUGAUUUUCUUUCUUUUUAUUUACAUACAAGAAGGAAAAGUAUAACUACGAUGCCGUUGAUUCUUUGUUAGAUUUCUCUGCUUUGAAUGCCUGAUCGCUCUUCUCAAAGAUAGUUGCGCGGCGAUUGUAAUCCUCGGGGGAUUUGCUGUUAUCCUUUUUCAUCACGAUCUCUUCCAAGUAUCCCAAUCGAUCAGCAAUCUUGGCUGGAACAACCGAAGGCACAAAUUCGAUCUUUGGUCAAGAAAAACGCUUACCUGGAUCUUUUGUUUUCGAUCCCUCGUCGCAUUUUGAUUCGCUAUUCCCCAAAGUUUUCUUGGGUUUCUCCUGCUCGUCUGGAAUCGCCGUGGCCCAGACUCUCCAGUCUCGUCCGGAGGAACCGGGAAGAAAAGCACUGGCAUUCUCUCCGCCGGGGGAAGAAUCCGGGGUCUCUGGAGUGCUAAAAACUGGAUUUUUACCUCCGUCUGGAAGAGUUUCCUGGAGCAAGUUCUUCAGAUUCUCCCCGACUGCCUCCGAGUUCCCUGUAAUCGACUCUGCUGCGGCCUGGACUCCACUCCCGCUCGCCGCGAGCUUGUCAUUCAAGAGAUACUGCUGCUCGAUAUCGUCCAGAUCUUUCUCCUGCCUGGAAUCGAAUGCCUCGGACCCAACCUUUCCAGACUCUUCCUCGUUGUUUUUAUGGUCGGUGCCAGUGAAAGUUUCGAGCACUUCGCUCGCAUCACUUCCCCCAGUGAAUUCCAAACUCCCGCGAGAAAUCCACACUGGACUCUUCUCUUCCCCCUCCGUCUCCACCGAUUCAUGAUUCUUUCCCUCCGCUACACUGCCUCGGACGUCGAUUCCACCUCCAUCUUCCAUACUGUCUCGAGAAGCCAGCGCGUCCGCGUCGUCCAAAGCAGUGCUCUCGCUUUGAUUCUACCCAAAGAACAAAGAAAUAGAAGAAAUGAGAAUUCUCCAAGCUCGAUCAAUCGAUCGAUCGAUCGACGUACCUUGCUAUUCGCCCUGACGCAACUCGUUCCGGCACGCGUCCAAAGCGAUGGCGCCACAAGUCGCGAGCAGCAGCGCCCACAGAAAACCCUCUUGGAUCCUAGCCGCGAUCCACUCGAUCCAAUCCCCGAUCCACUCGAUCCAAUCCCGAAUGCGCUCGCAGCAGCACUAGCAUUGAUCAUCGCCAUUGUCAGUUGCCCUAAGAAGCUCGAUUGGAGCCCUAAAAAACCAGAGGCGCGAAAGUGAGCCUACACGUGGCGAUACGUGGCAGCACCACAUUAGGUUGAGUGGAUAGAUUGGAUUUGUGUUUAAUUAAUUGGCUCUAUCUCUAAUGACUUCUAUGUCCAUUUCGGUUGGAUCGGUUGCUUGAACUUCAUAGUGGAUUCCAUCGAGUUCUCGCCGGAUCCUGUCCUUGGAGCUCGCGUAGAUCAUCUUGUUCUUCACCCUGGAAAGAUCUGGGGACCUGAGAAAAAGAAAGAUCGCAUAUAAAGAUUCUAAGAGAGAGCUUGAGAAAAGUUUGAGAAAAUGCUAGCGAGCGAGGAAGAGAUUGAAAGAACUGCGAGGAACUGUCUGACCCAGAUCGAAACGAGCAAUGGAGCUAAGAUCCAUCUAGAAGCUCUAGAAUCGAUCCUUCAAGUUUUAGCUAUAGCUAGAGAGAACUUCUAGCGUGAGAGAAUUGCGAGAAAGACUGCCUGACCCAAACGAACAAUGAAGCUAAGAUCCAUCUAUAAAGCUCUAGAAUCUAUCCUCCAAGUUCUAGCUGAGAGCUUGAGAAAAGUUUGAGAAAAUGCUAGCGAGGAAGAGAUUGAAAAGAACUGCGAGCAAAGACUAUCUGAGAGAGAUAUCACUCUAUCGAGCACGCUAUCAAAGAGGAAAGGAAUGGAGACAUACCAUGCAAUGAAAAAAAUCUUGCUCUUUUGGCACAAAUCCUCCGUCACGAAAUCGAAAUCGAAGACCGCGUACCGGCAAUCGCUCUCUGGCAAGCACGCUGCGAAAUCAUCGUAGCUCUCGGCAGGAGCGCCCGUCUUCUCCACCACGACCUCGUUGGUGGCGUCGUCGAUCUUGAAGAUGAGGUAGCGGUACGCCUUCUUCCUCUGGAGCUCCAGGAAUUUGUUCUUGCACUCGCCACUCACGGCCAUUCCAGAGCCUGCAUUUCCCUUCAAGAACACGAAAUCCAGCUAAGCAAACCCCGAUAUUUCGCGAGAUCCACACCAUACCAGGCCAGCGCUGAGCGAUCGCCUCCAAGAAGCCAUAGGAUUCACCUCAAAAUCUCUGCAACAAAAGAGAAGAAAUGCUGGAGAUCCCUCCAGACCUAGCUGCGAUGAUCUUAUUCCGGGACGCCGGCCCCGAAAUUCGACGCGCUUCGCGAAAGUGUUGGCAUCGACUAGCUAAAGCGAUCGAAUAUUCGUACUGAUUAAAGUGAUCAAAACUUUUCCCUUUUACUUUACUCGCUAAUCGAAUAUUCUUAUUAUAAAGAUUUGAACCCAGCACCUUUCUCUUACUUAACCAGAUGAGCUAUGAGAUAAAAAUUACUUUUACAGGAAUCAAUUAAUUGCACUUUAAAUUUCUUUUAAUAUGUUAUUAUAACGUAUUCAUACUGGUUAAUCUACCUAAAACCAUUCCACAUUACUUUAGUAAUAUACUACACUAAGACACUUUUUUAAAUUUCCUUUAAUCCAUCAUUGUAAUACUGAGAUUGGAUUUAAUGAUGGAUUAAAGGAAAUCUGAACUGCACUUAAUUGAAAGCUCUUACGCAAGAAUGGUUUGCACGAAUCCAUUUCUUUCCGCACAUGUAGCAAAACUCAUAGUCGCAUCUGCAAGAAAGUUUUUUUAAAAAGGCUCCAAAUUUAAAGAGAAAAAGAAAAAUUCACAUACUUGCAUUUAAUGUGUUCGCAUCCACCGUCACGCUCGAUAAUCCGCCCACACCUCUCACACUGUGCCCACUGCUUUCUCUUUGCCAGCGUGUGCAGCAGCGCGCCCUCCACGUCACGCAGAUGGGCAGGAAGCGCCUGAAACGUGUCGCACGACAUGUCCACGUGCCAUGCCACGUUGCACCGCAAGCACAUCUUAUUCUCGCAUCUGGAACACGUCACACAGGCCCGAGCAGGCGCGGAUGCCGAGCUGAAAGAUGACGUGGACUCGGACACCUCCAGCUCCCGCCUGUCCAUCAUCUCGGAGCAGUCCUUGUACGGACAGUACACUUUAUACUCCGCCGGGAUGCUCAAGUCCUUGACGCGCUUGGCUAGCAUUUCCAAGGUCUUCUCGGACAGCAAACGCCCACACUCUUCGUCGCUGAAACUCACCGCGCAGUUCACCGCGGGGCACCGGAUAUUCACCUCACCCUGCGUCACUUUCACCGCGGCGUGCCGCUCCACGCAGUGGACGCAGAACCGGUGGUCACACCCCGACACCGUGACCAUCUCGCUGGAAAACCGGUUCUCGGCGCAGAUGGUACACACCUCGGUGACGUCCGCGGCCGGCACGGGCAGCAUAUGCUCUCCCACGGGUGGCGCAUAUUCCCCGCCGUACCGUGCGUCCAGGUCGUCAAACUCCACCAGCGGCUCGUCCGCGCGCCGGUAGUCCGUGUCCCCCAACACGUUCCAGUGCCGGUGGAGAUCCUCCGCGAGCCGUCGGUCGUGGUCCAGCUGGCGCAAUCGACGGCUCUCCCUGCGCUGCUCCAGCUCCGCCAGCCGCCGGUCGGCCUCCUCCUGCUGCCACUUGAUGACGUCGGCCAAGUAUACGCGAAGAACAGCGGCGACGUCGGAAUCUAACGAUUCCAUCCUUGAUUCCAUGCUGGAUGCUGCGUGAUCGUCUCCCCCAAAUCCCUGCUGCUGCGAGACUUGGAUCGCUUCCAUCAUCUGCAAGCCAAAAGCGAGAAUGUCAUCCGCCAUUGCAAUGGGGAGAGAAGAAUGAGGAGAACUUUAAAAGAUAGCCCUGGACCCAAAGAAGAACGAGAAUCUCCAAAAAAUAAAUCCAAAAAAACGAGAUUAAAACAAAAAGGAGUUUCCGACCUGCCGGAAUCGAACCAGCGACCUAAGGAUGUCUGGAUCACUACAGUCCUCCGCUCUACCAACUGAGCUAAGGUCGGAUUGCUGAACAAAACCAGUUUUUUUUCCAUCUCCAGGUUUAGUCUUACCAAUUUUAGCAAAACUUUACCACUGCGUUAAAACUUCUCUACAAAACUUGGUCUCACAGAAAAUUUCUAUUCAUCGGUCACGCAGCCUUCGGAGGCGGACUUCACAUUCUUGAUGUACUGCAAAGAAAUCAAAUCCACAUUCGUGAAAACUUUGACAGCUUUUUAUUUGCUUUGUUCUUACCUUGUAUAGCGUUCCACGAGUUGCCUUGAGAGGUGGCGCUGUCCACGCUUUCUUUCGUGCCGCUAGCUCGUCCUCGGCCACGCCGAGAUCAAUCAGUCGCUUCUCAAUGUCAAGAGUGAUUCUAUCUCCAUCUCGGACUAAGGCGAUUGGACCCCCAACCUGGAAAUCACACAACAUGAAUUUAACAAAUAGAGACGAAAUGAGCUCGUUUGUGUGAGUACCUGGGCUUCUGGACAAAUGUGUCCAACGACAAAACCAUGAGAACCUCCUGAAAAUCUCCCAUCCGUGAGGAGAGCUACUUCCUGGAAAGAAAGGGAGUGAGGUUAUCAUGGCAAAACAUAGAAAACGAACUUUACACACCUUCCCCAAGCCAGCACCCAUGAUCGCACUUGUAGGAGUUAGCAUCUCAGGCAUUCCCGGACCACCUUUGGGACCUUCUCCCCUGAUAACAAUCACGGCGCCCUGAGUAUUUCACCGAUCACCAGUGAUUAUCAUAUCUUGCUUUGGACAGAGAGAAAAAAGUAUACCUUGAAGCUUUGAGGAUUCUCAGAUAGCGCUGAAAGCAUAGCUUCUUCGCCUUCGAAAACCCGAGCAGGACCUGGCAAGCAAAAAUCUCGUAAUUAGUAAAAAGAACAAACAACAAAAUGCAUUUCCACCUGAAAAGUAAAGACCCUCUUUCCCAGUGAUUUUUGCAACGGAGCCCUCGGGAGCAAGGUUUCCAUACAAGAUCUGUAUGUGGCCAGUCGACUUGAUAGGCCGAUCCAGUGGAUGUAUGACAUCCUGUGAAAUAUUGUGUCAAGGAAACACAAGGCUGAAUUUAAGUUACCUGUCCCUCGCUCAAGGGCGGGCAGAUGGAUAUAUUUUCCGACAAGGUUUUGCCAGUCACUGGACAUACCAGAAAAGAGAGAGAGAGAAACAAAAAAAAAACGUUACUUCGCGCAAGAUGACUCCAUUUCUUGAAGUUACCAGUGAUGCAGUCGCCAUUGAGGUAGCCCUCCUCAAGCAGAUACUUUAAAACGCCAGGCGUUCCACCGAUCUGUGACAUCGCAAUAUAUUGUGAGUCACCACAAAACUGGGAAUUACAGACCUUAUGCAAGUCCUCCAUUACAUACUUCCCGCUGGGUUUAAGAUCAGCGAUAAACGGAACUUUGUCACUAACUUUCUGAAAGUCGUCCAAGGUCAGUGGUACGUUUACUGACCUGCGUAACUAGCGAAACUCAAUAACAACCAGAAAGAUCAGAUUUUCACUACCUCGCAAUUGCGAUCAGGUGUAGCACGGCAUUUGUCGAUCCUCCCAGCGCCAUUACGACGACCAUGGCAUUGUGAAGCGACUCUUUCGUGAUUAUGUCUUUCGGUUUCAAGUCCAUCUUCAGCAGCUCCAGCAAGUGUUUUCCCACCAGUCGGCAUUCUUGUAGCUUCAGAGGGUCUUCAGCUGGAAUGGAAGAACUGCAUUUACAAAAGAAAAGACAAAUAAAUAAUAUCGGAAAACACGUAAAAGACUAAGAGAGAGACCUGUAAGGAAGGGACAUGCCUAAGGCUUCAAUGGCGCUGGCCAUGGUAUUUGCCGUGUACAUUCCACCACAAGCUCCAGCACCUGGACAUGAAUGUUGCAAAACUUUCAGUCGCUGCUCGUCAGAAAUGUGACCACCAACAUAUUCUCCGUAGCUCUGUACGUUAAGAAAAAUAAACCGAGAAGACAAUGAAAACACAGCAUAGGCUUCGUUUACGCGACCACCAUGAGAAAAACAAAGAACCAGAAAUACCUGGAAAGCUGACACUAUAUCGUACGUAUGCCCGUUCACGAUUCCUGGCUGAACCAACACUUUCAGCAAGCACGAACAAAAGAAACCAAAAACAAAGAGAAAACUUACUUUGAUAGUUCCUCCGUAAACCAUAAUACUUGGUCGAUUCAGCCUUCCCAUUGCAAUGAGAGUUCCUGGCAUCUAAAAGCACAAAGAAAGAAUGAGAAAACAAAAAAGAAACAAGAAAGACAAAGGAGAGCAUAGAGAAGUUUUCGAAAGAGCUUGCUCGAUCACCUACAUUCUUAUCGCAGCCUGGAAUGGAGACAUUUGCAUCGUACCACUGUCCACCCAUGACGGUCUCGAUGCUAUCAGCUAUCAAAUCCCGCGACUGCAAGCUAUAGCACAUCCCCUCGGUGCCCAUCGAGAUGGCAUCGCUCACUCCCACGGUGUUGAAACGAAAUCCCACCAUGCCAGCCUCACGCACGCCCUCCUUGACAGCCUCGGAGAGCUUGAGCAAAUGCAUAUUGCAAGUAUUGCCCUCGUACCACACCGAGGAGAUCCCGACCUGCGCCUUGGACAUGUCCUCGUCGCGCAGCCCCACGCCAUAGAGCACGGCCUGCGACGCGCCCUGGGAUUUGGGCUGCGUCACGCGGCUGCUGUAGCGAUUCAACACGAUCGCGUGCUCGCCGGCGCCCUGCUGCCGCGAUGGAGCGGCGAUUUCUGUGGGGGAGGAGCUCACCGAUGCCCUGGCGAUGGAGGACGGCGCCGCAUUCUUGCGAGGGAUUGGCCGCGCCGGGCCGAGAGCGCUCCCCAGUAGCUGUGCCAUUUUCUCCCCAGGAUUUAGGGUUUUGGACCCUUUAGGGUUUAUCUCUCGUAACCCUUUAAGAAAUAAUAUAUAGUUAUAGUCAUUAGUAAUUAAUUAUACGUAUAAUAAUUACAGUUAUUAUUAGUUAAUUAAAAUUAUAUUUAAAUUUAUAUCAUGACAACUGUGUAUGAAUGACAUGAUCGAUCAAAACGUCCAGCUCCAGGUAAUUCUUUCCUCCUACUUUCUUUUCAAAAGAAAAAGGUGGCGAACAUUCCAAACUUUCUCCAUGUCCUUCGUACUUGGGUACUGUAUGGUCGGCAACUGCAUUGACUAAGUUUUUCCAUAUUGAUAUACGGCAGCGAUGACGUGGUCUUCUGGAACGCGUCUAACAGACAAGACAAGCUUUUGAAAGCCGCGACGAUCUAUAACUCUAAAGCGAUGAAUCCAAAAGAAACCUUUUGACCAAAGGGAGAAGUCUAGCAAUCUAGCUCACACUGCAGGCUUCUUACACUGGAAAGUAUACAGAUAAAUAGACAAUCACGACGUGUAUAGGACGCUCUCUUUACUUCUCCUUGCUUUGCAAUGAGGAGGCCUCCUCGCCGGAACAAAGAGGGACUCACGAAAGGCCCCUGGCAGCCCGAGGAAGACGAGAAGCUCGUCGCUUACAUUCGGAAACACGGUCACGAGAAUUGGAGAGCGCUACCGGAGAAAGCAGGUGAAUCGAUUUCUCACAUCUUCGUCUCAUAGUUUCUCUUGGAUCCUGCGAGCAGGACUUAAUCGCUGCGGCAAGAGUUGCAGGCUGCGAUGGACGAAUUAUCUCCGGCCGGAUAUAAAACGAGGCGGGAUCACAGCCCAAGAAGAGGUUCUCAUCAUCUGGCUGCAUUCAAUCCUGGGAAACCGGUAAGAGUUUGUAGAGUUUUACCUCUAAGCUCUUGCGUUUCUCACUUUUCAGGUGGUCCGUGAUCGCAUCGCACAUUCCUGGACGAACUGACAACGAGAUUAAAAACCACUGGAACACACACCUCAAGAAGCAAUUGUUACAGAUGGGGAUUGAUCCAUUGACUCACAGAUCCUGUGGUUCUGUUCUUCCUGAUGGCAGCUAUUUCCACCUCGACGCUCGCUUCAAUCCUGAGGAUUUAUCAGGUUACCAGGUGCGUCACCUUUCAGCAAUGGAUGGAUCUUUCUCAUCGUCCGAGAGAGGAGGUACUAAACGAAUGUUGGAAACGAUGGAAUCCAGCGAGUUUUGGACGACCAUUUUAAAGGCUGUUGGAAUGUGACACUGUAUUCUCGGAAUGAUCUGACCUUCUGGAGAAGAAAUAAGAAGCGUCAGUAAUCAUACGAAUAAAACUCGCUUACCAUCGUGCUACUUCCAGUUGAGAACAAAUGCAUACCCUCCAAGCUUUACCACUGUAAUCUCUCCGGGCUAGAUCUUGUAAGAAACGUCUCAAGCGGUUCUCAGCACGGAUACAUUUCGUUGAUUGAUGCUCCCACAGCGGAUCCUUCAUUGGAAGCUUGUCUCUCAUGGAAAUCCUUUCCUUGAGACCUGAAACACGAAAGAAACGUAUUUAGACUUUAUCACAAAGACAAACUCACCUCUCUGUCAAACAUCUCGUAUGGCAAACAAUGGAUGUCAUUCUGAAUGUUCAAGUUUCCGGACAUGAGGCCAUCAAACCAUCUGUUUUAUAGAUUUCUUUUCCAACUAACUCAUUCUAACCAUAGUUCUUCCUCUCUCUCAACAAUAGUGGCAACUACUACAGUAAGUUGGAUAAGCUCAUGGUGCAUUCUUCCAUCUAAGAAAAAUCAUACCAGGCUUUCAAAAAGGUGAUGCGUACCUCCUUGUCUCUAAUUCCUCCAAUCCUGUUGAUAGCGGGGUCUUCGCGUUGCAGACUGUGCAAAAUAUACUCCACCAGCUACAUUUACAUAAGAACAUCUAUCAUCCAUCGCAAGAAAGAACGAGCUCUCACCCAAGUAGUCGUAGAGUCUUUGCUUUCCAACUAAAAUUCCAUCUUCUGGAAGAAGGAACAAAACGACCAUUUUUUUAGAUAGAUUGUGACGAUCGAAGGGAGAAGAACUACCUGGAGCGUCUUUACAGAAUCAUGGCAUUCGUCCGGUAAGCAUCCCCAUCUGCGAAACAAAGAACGAAAAAGAAAGGGAAAAACAGAAGAAAAAAUGGAACGUCCGGUAAGCAUCCCCAUCUGCGAAACAAAGAACGAAAAAGAAAGGGAAAAACAGAAGAAAAAAUGGAACCAAAGAAACAAAGAAACAAGGAAAAAAAAUGGAAGGGAACAAAGACCAAGAAAAAUCAUCCGUUUUGGAUGGCCAUAUCCAAAGACCCAAUCAUCCAGCGGCUUCUUUGGUGCCAAUGGCGGCUUCACGGGAAUCCCCGCCGGCUUCACGGGAAUCUUCGGCCGCUUGAAUCUCUCGAGCAGCGCGGCAUACCUCCAAUCCAAUCCGUCAAUGCGCUUCUCCAAUCCAGUCGUGGAUCGUCCUCCCCCACCCUAGCGCGGGAAAAUCACUUGGAGAUGUCUUUCAAUCCAGCUUCUCACUGCCGCCUGUAAGAGAGAAUUUUCAGGAUUGGAGAGUUCGAUCACACGGUACAAACCAGCGAUUGCUGCCAGGCGUCGAGAAUGCGCUUCCGUGGUCGCCAUAAAGAUCUUAUUAGGAUUCUUCCAAGAAUUCUCACGUGUGUUCGUCAAUCCCGCGGCGUUGGAGGCCCCGAUUCAGCACGCGACUGGCAAAGGCGAGAGAAGUCCUUUCCGAGUUUUCGAUUUUGAUGGGUAUGAUUCUGAUGGGGCAGAGGAGGCCGAGAGCGAUGAAUUCUACGAGCUAACUCCGGAAGAUUAUGCCCGAUUGGUGUCCAAGAAAAGAGAAGGUCGGCAGGUUCGAUCGUGUUGGUUUCUUCCAUAUGAUCUUUCACUCAAAGUUUCCUUUUUUUGUUUUCCUUCCAGAGAGAUUCUUGAAGACAGCAAAAAUCCGUGACGCUGAGGCAGCAGCUCGUAUUUCCAAGUUUGCUAAGGUAAUGAAAUUGUCACUCCAUGGAUCGUCCGACUUACAUUCUUUUCUCCUCGCAGGCCACACUUCGUGUCCAGUUCCUGGAUAGCAUCAUCGUUGAGGCCGAUUUUAGUCCUCUAGAUCUGGUUGUGGAGCUUGUUACAAUGCUGGAAAAAUUGCUACUAAAGCCAGAGAUCUGUGUAAGUUCUCCUUCCAAAACUCUUUUUUUUUUCUAGUUUGCAGAUGGUCUUCUGGAUCUCAUUGUUCUCCGGGACUCAAGUUCAUUGGCCUGCUUAUGAGCAUACAGUGGUGGAAUGCAAGUAUCUCAUGUAUGUCUCACUCGAAGCUUUGUUUGAUCUUUGAUGCAUAUAUAAGUGCAAGUGUUCCCAGUGGAAGAGUGUUCCAAGGAGGAUACAUCGACGUUGAUGGUGAGGUAAUCGAUCACGGAGGAACUGUCAACGUGAGUUCGUUUUUGUUUUUUUUGUUUGUGCUAGCUGCAAAUGCUACCAGCAACCAACAUUAUCGAUAUGUAUGCCUGAAUUAUCAACAGGCAUGCAUACGAUCAGUGUACACAGAUGUUUUUGGUUCUCCUGGUGCGAAUUUGUUGUUUAACGUACUUCUGAUGAGCAGCGACUGAAAAUUUGCAGCAUUCAUGUCCAGGUCCUGAGCUUGCGGUGGAAUAUACAUGGCUGGCCAGUGCCAGUGAAGCCUAGGUCCUUCAGUCUCUGUCUCUUCUUGAUAGAUCUUGUCCAUUCCAAAGCAUUUGACAGAGUUGCUAAUCUCUUGACAUGCCAUUGUCGUCGUAAUGGGAUUGGGUUUGAUCUGCCAGUGAUGAUUCCCUACCAUUGUGUUGCUUGCCUUCGCCCGGAGCUCACUCUUGUUGUCUUGGUCUUGACCUUUUGUGUUAUUCCAAAGAAAGGAUUUUAGAAAGCUGCGACAUUCACUAGAAAAGUUUUUGUUGCCCAGAAACGUUUGCGUUUGUAUUAUCUGUUUUUGCACUGGCUAAACAUGACAAUGACAAUAUGUUUUAUUAUCGAUCUUUGAAUUUCACAAGACAAAUGCCAUGCUUUACAAAACUUAUCACAACAACCCAACUCUCGGGGACAUUGUCGAAGUGCUUUGCAACUGUUGCUAUUGCCGCCUCAUCGUCUUUGCCGUCCUCACCAUCCUUGCUGUCCUCACCAUUGUCACUAUUUUUGCCAUCACCGCCCGACUUGCUAGAACUGCCAAUGCCAACUGCCAAAGGUUCACCACCAAACUCACCAAAACCGCCAGUGCUAGCCACCAACGGCUCACCACUAAACUCGCCGGAAUUGCCAGCACUAACUGCCAAAACCGUCGUGUUACUGAUUCCAUGUGUCAUAGCGUCUUAGGAAGAGCUUCGAAAAGUGAUUUUUUGAAUUUUUUUUAAAAUACUCUUCGAACGUUUGAACGCUUACUUAGUUGAUUCAGUCAGAGCGCAAGACCCUGAAAAUGCUUUCGAUCGCGAAUGGAAAAAAAUCAAGACUUAUAUAAACAAGAGGUAUCAAAAAACAGUUAGGCCAUACAUUACAUUUGAGGAUUCCCACGAAGGCCUCAAAUGUAAUGUGCCACCAUCGGGCUCUGGCUUAACCAUUUUCUAAUACUUCUUAUUUAUGUAAAUUUUGACUUUCCCCCACUCGCAAUCAAAAAUGUAUUCAGAUCACACACUCCAACCAAAUCAACUGAAUAAGCGUUCAAAUAUUCAAAGAACAUUUAAGAAGUUCAAGAAAUUACCUUUUGAAGUUUUUCCCAAAGACACUAUAACAUCUAGAAUCGAUGACAUGAUAGUUUUGGCAGCUAGUGCUAGCAGUUCCAACAAGUCUAGCAGUGAAUUGUUGACAGCUGGCAUUAACGAUUUUGAUAAACCUGACAAUAAACAUUUGGCAACUAGCGUUAACAGUUCUGGCAAGUCUGAGCGAUAAUUGUGACAAUAGCAACAAUGGUGAAAACGGCAAGGAGAACAUUUGUCUCCAAGGUGUCUCCAAUAUGGUCAUCUUGGAAACAAAUAGAGCUCGUUUGUGUGAGUACCUGGGCUUCUGGACAAAUGUGUCCAACGACAAAACCAUGAGAACCUCCUGAAAGUCUCCCAUCCGUGAGGAGAGCUACUUCCUGGAAAGAAAAGGAGUGAGAUUUUCAUGGCAAAACAUAGAAAACGAACUUUACACACCUUCCCCAAGCCAGCACCCAUGAUCGCACUUGUAGGAGUUAGCAUCUCAGGCAUUCCCGGACCACCUUUGGGACCUUCUCCCCUGAUAACAAUCACGGAGCCCUGAGUAUUUCACCAAUCACCAGUGAUUAUCAUAUCUUGCUUUGGACAGAGAGAACAAAGUAUACCUUGAAGCUUUGAGGAUUCUCAGACAGCGCUGAAAGCAUAGCUUCUUCGCCUUCGAAAACCCAAGCAGGACCUGGCAAGCAAAAAUCUCGUAAUUAGUAAAAAGAACAAACAACAAAAUGCAUUUCCACCUGAAAAGUAAAGACCCUCUUUCCCGGUGAUUUUUGCAACGGAGCCCUCGGGAGCAAGGUUUCCAUACAAGAUCUGUAUGUGGCCAGUCGACUUGAUCGGCCGAUCUAGAGGAUGUAUGACAUCCUGUGAAAUAUUGUGUCAAGGAAACACCAGGCUAAAUUUAAGUUACCUGUCCCUCGCUCAGACGGAUAUAUUUUCCGACAAGGUCUUGCCAGUCACUGGACGUACCAGAAAAGAGAGAGAAAAAAAGAAGAAAAACAUUACUUUGCGCAAGAUGACUCCAUUUCUUGAAGUUACCAGUGAUGCAGUCGCCAUUGAGGUAGCCCUCCUCAAGCAGAUACUUCAAAACGCCAGGCGUUCCACCGAUCUGUGACAUCGCAAUAUAUUGUGAGUCACCACAAAACUGGGAAUUACAGACCUUAUGCAAGUCCUCCAUUACAUACUUCCCGCUGGGUUUAAGAUCAGCGAUAAACGGAACUUCGUCACUAACUUUCUGAAAGUCGUCCAAGGUCAGUGGUACGUUUACUGACCUGCGUAACUAGCGAAACUAGAAAGAUCAGAUUUUCACUACCUCGCAAUUGCGAUCAGGUGUAGCACGGCAUUUGUCGAUCCUCCCAGCGCCAUUACGACGACCAUGGCAUUGUGAAGCGACUCUUUCGUGAUUAUGUCUUUCGGUUUCAAGUCCAUCUUCAGCAGCUCCAGCAAGUGUUUUCCCACCAGUCGGCAUUCUUGUAGCUUCAGAGGGUCUUCAGCUGGAAUGGAAGAACUGCAUUUACAAAAGAAAAAACAAAUAAAUAAUAUCGGAAAACACGUAAAAGACUAAGAGAGAGACCUGUAAGGAAGGGACAUGCCUAAGGCUUCAAUGGCGCUGGCCAUGGUAUUUGCCGUGUACAUUCCACCACAAGAUCCAGCACCUGGACAUGAAUGUUGCAAAACUUUCAGUCGCUGCUCGUCAGAAAUGUGACCACCAACAUAUUCUCCGUAGCUCUGUACGUUGAGAAAAACAAACCGAGAAGACAACGAAAACACAGCAUAGGCUUCGUUUACGGGACCACCAAGAGGAAAAAAAAAAACCAGAAAUACCUGGAAAGCUGACACUAUAUCGUACGUAUGCCCGUUCACGAUUCCUGGCUGAACCAACACUUUCAGCAAGCGCGAACAAAAGAAACCAAAACGAUAAGAGAAAGCUUACUUUGAUAGUUCCUCCGUAAACCAUAAUACUUGGUCGAUUCAGCCUUCCCAUCGCAAUGAGAGUUCCUGGCAUCGAAAAGAACAAAAAAAGAAUAACAGAAGGAAAAAAAAAGAGAGGAGAAGUUAGAGCUUAGCUCGAUCACCUACAUUCUUAUCGCAGCCUGGAAUGGAGACAUUUACAUCGUACCACUGUCCACCCAUGACGGUCUCGAUGCUAUCAGCUAUCACAUCCCGCGACUGCAAGCUAUAGCACAUCCCCUCGGUGCCCAUCGAUAUGGCAUCGCUCACCCCCACGGUGUUGAAUCGAAAUCCCACCAUCCCAGCCUCGCGCACGCCCUCCUUGACAGCCUCGAAGAGCUUGAGCAAAUGCAUAUUGCAAGUGUUGCCCUCGUACCACACCGAGGAGAUCCCGACCUGCGCCUUGGCCAUGUCCUCGUCGCGCAGCCCCACGCCAUAGAGCACGGCCUGCGACGCGCCCUGGGAUUUGGGCUGCGUCACGCGGCUGCUGUAGCGAUUCAACAUGAUCGCGUGCUCGCCGGCGCCCUGCUGCCGCGAUGGAGCGGCGAUCUCUGUGGGGGAGGAGCUCACCGAUGCCCUGGCGAUGGAGGACGGCGCCGCAUUCUUGCGAGGGAUUGGCCGCGCCGGGCCGAGAGCGCUCCCCAGUAGCUGUGCCAUUUUCUCCCCAGGAUUUAGGGUUUUGGACCCUUUAGGGUUUAUCUCUCGUAACCCUUUAAGAAAUAAUAUGUCAUUAGUAAUUAAUUAUACGUAUAAUAAUUACAGUUAUUAUUAGUUAAUUAAAAUUAUAUUUAAAUUUAUAUCAUGACAACUGUGUAUGAAUGACAUGAUCGAUCAAAACGUCCAGCUCCAGGUAAUUCUUUCCUCCUACUUUCUUUUCAAAAGAAAAAGGUGGCGAACAUUCCAAACUUUCUCCAUGUCCUUCGUACUUGGGUACUGUAUGGUCGGCAACUGCAUUGACUAAGUUUUUCCAUAUUGAUAUACGGCAGCGAUGACGUGGUCUUCUGGAACGCGUCUAACAGACAAGACAAGCUUUUGAAAGCCGCGACGAUCUAUAACUCUAAAGCGAUGAAUCCAAAAGAAACCUUUUGACCAAAGGAGAAGUCUAGCAAUCUAGCUCACACUCCAGGCUUCUUACAUUGGAAAAGUGUGCAAAUAAAUACACAAUCACAGCGUGUAUAGAACGCUCUCUUUACUUCUCCUUGCUUUGCAAUGGGGAGGCCUCCUCGCCGGAACAAAGAGGGACUCACGAAAGGCCCCUGGCAGCCCGAGGAAGACGAGAAGCUCGUCGCUUACAUUCGGAAACACGGUCACGAGAAUUGGAGAGCGCUACCGGAGAAAGCAGGUGAAUCGAUUUCUCACGUCUUCGUCUCAUAGUUUCUCUUGGAUCUUGCGAGCAGGACUUAAUCGCUGCGGCAAGAGUUGCAGGCUGCGAUGGACGAAUUAUCUCCGGCCGGAUAUAAAACGAGGCGGGAUCACAGCCCAAGAAGAGGUUCUCAUCAUCUGGCUGCAUUCAAUCCUGGGUAACCGGUAAGAGUUUGUAGAGUUUUACCUCUAAGUUCUUGCGUUUCUCACUUUUCAGGUGGUCCGUGAUCGCAUCGCACAUUCCUGGACGAACUGACAACGAGAUUAAAAACCACUGGAACACACACCUCAAGAAGCAAUUGUUACAGAUGGGGAUUGAUCCAUUGACUCACAGAUCCUGUGGUUCUGUUCUUCCUGAUGGCAGCUAUUUCCACCUCGACGCUCGCUUCAAUCCUGAGGAUUUAUCAGGUUACCAGGUGCGUCACCUUUCAGCAAUGGAUGGAUCUUUUUCAUCGUCCGAGAGAGGAGGUACUAAACGAAUGUUAGAAACGAUGGAAUCCAGCGAGUUUUGGACGACCAUUUUAAAAGCUGUUGGAAUGUGACACUGUAUUCUCGGAAUGAUCUGACCUUCUAAAGAAGAAAUAAGAAGCGUCAGUAAUCAUACGAAUAAAACUCGCUUACCAUCGUGCUACUUCCAGUUGAGAACAAAUGCAUACACCGGUGUUUGCCUCCUCCAAGCUUUACCACUGUAAUCUCUCCGGGCUAGAUCUUGUAAGAAACGUCUCAAGCGGUUCUCGGCACGGAUACAUUUCGUUGAUUGAUGCUCCCACAGCGGAUCCUUCAUUGGAAGCUUGUCUCUCAUGGAAAUCCUUCCCUUGAGAUUCUCUAUAAGCCACCAGAGCUCCUGAAACACGAAAGAAACGUAUUUAGACUUUAUCACAAAGACAAACUCACCUCUCUGUCAAACAUCUCGUAUGGUAAACAAUGGAUGUCAUUCUGAAUGUUCAAGCUCAUUCUAACCAAAUUCAACUCCUACUACUACCUACUUGGUUCUCAUGUAAACUAUAUAUAAAACCACUAUCAAGAUUAUAUAGUUCUUCCUCUCUCUCAACAAUAGUGGCAACUACUACAGUAAGUUGGAUAAGCUCAUGGUGCAUUCUUCCAUCUAAGAAAAAUCAUACCAGGCUUUCAAAAAGGUGAUGCGUACCUCCUUGUCUCUAAUUCCUCCAAUCCUGUUGAUAGCGGGGUCUUCGCGUUGCAGACUGUGCAAAAUAUACUCCACCAGCUACAUUUACAUAAGAACAUCUAUCAUCCAUCGCAAGAAAGAACGAGCUCUCACCCAAGUAGUCGUAGAGUCUUUGCUUUCCAACUAAAAUUCCAUCUUCUGGAAGAAGGAACAAAACGACCAUUUUUUUAGAUAGAUUGUGACGAUCGAAGGGAGAAAAACUACCUGGAGCGUCUUUACAGAAUCAUGGCAUUCGUCCGGUAAGCAUCCCCAUCUGCGAAACAAAGAACGAAAAAGAAAGGGAAAAACAGAAGAAAAAAUGGAACCAAAGAACCAGGAAAAAAACAUGGAAGGGAACAAAGAACAAGAAAAAUCAGUCGUUUUGGAUAGCCAUAUGCAAAGACCAACCUCUUCUUGAGCAGCGAUUUGCAUUUCCUAGUCGGCUCGAAAUCCUCCUCAAUGUCCCAAUCAUCCAGCGGCUUCUUUGGUGCCAAUGGCGGCUUCACGGGAAUCCCGGCCCCAAUCUUCGGCCGCUUGAAUCUCUCGAGCAGCGCGGCAUACCUCCAAUCCAAUCCGUCAAUGCGCUUCUCCAAUCCACUCGUGGAUCGUCCGCGAUCAUAAACCCUAGAAAUAAUUUUCCCCCCACCCUAGCGCGGGAAAAUCACUUGGAGAUGUCUUUCAAUCCAGCUUCUCACUGCCGCCUGUAAGAGAGAAUUUUCAGGAUUGGAGAGUUCGAUCACAAGGUACAAACCAGCGAUUGCUGCCAGGCGCCGAGAAUGCGCUUCCGUGAUCGCCAUAAAGACCUUAUUAGGGUUCUUCCAAGAAUUCUCACGUGUGUUCGCCCCGAUUCAGCACGCGACUGGCAAAGGCGAGAGAAGUCCUUUCCGAGUUUUCGAUUCUGAUGGGUAUGAUUCUGAUGGGGCAGAGGAGGCCGAGAGCGAUGAAUUCUACGAGCUAACUCCGGAAGGUUAUGCUCGAUUGGUGUCCAAGAAAAGAGAAGGUCGGCAGGUUCGAUCGUGUUGGUUUCUUCCAUAUGAUCUUUCACUCAAAGUUUCCUUUUUUUUGUUUUCCUUCCAGAGAGAUUCUUGAAGACAGCAAAAAGCCGUGACGCUGAGGCAGCAGCUCGUAGAUCCAAGUUUUCUAAGGUAAUGAAAUUGUCACUCCAUGGAUCGUCCGACUUACAUUCUUUUCUCCUCGCUCGUGUCCAGUUCCUGGAUAGCAUCAUCGUUGAGGCCGAUUUUCGUCCUCUAGAUCUGGUUGUGGAGCUUGUUACAAUGCUGGAAAAAUUGCUACUAAAGCCAGAGAUCUGUGUAAGUUCUCCUUCAAAAACUCUUUUUUUUUUGUUCUAGUUCGCAGAUGGUCUUCUGGAUCUCAUUGCUCUCCGGGACUCAAGUUCAUUGGCCUGCUUACGAGCAUACAGCGGUGGAAUGCAAGUAUCCCAUGUAUGUCUCACUCGAAGCUUUGUUUGAUCUUUGAUGCAUAUAUCGGUGCAAGUGUUCCUAGUGGAAGAGUGUUCCAAGGAGGAUACAUUGACGUUGAUGGUGAUGUAAUCGAUCAUGAAGGAACUGUCAACGUGAGUUCAUUUUCGUUUUUUUUGUUCAUGCUAGCUGCAAAUGCUAUCAGCAACCAACAUUAUCAACAUGUAUGCCUGAAUUAUCAACAGGCAUAUGAUCAGUGUACACAGAUGUUUUUGGUUCUCCUGGUGCGAAUUUGUUGUUUAACAUACUUCUGACGAGCAGCGACUGAAAAUUUGCAGCAUUCAUGUCCAGGUCCUGAGCUUGCGGUGGAAUAUACAUGGCUGGCCAGUGCCAGUGAAGCCUGGGUCCUUCAGUCUCUGUCUCUUCUCGAUAGAUCUUGUCCAUUCCAAAGCACUUGACGGAGUUGCUAGUCUCUUGACAUGCCAUUGUCCUCGUAAUGGGACUGGGUUUGAUCUGCCAGUGACGAUUCCCUACCAUUGUGUUGCUUGCCUUUGCCCAGAGCUCACUCUCAUUGUCCUGGUCUUCACCUUUUGUGUUAUUCGAUUUUAGAAAGCUGCGACAUUUCAUUGGAAAAGUUUUUGUUGCCCAGAAAUGUUUGGUAGUUUGGCAACGUCUGUGUUAUCUGUUUUUGCACUGGCCAAGCAUCUAGACAUUCUUGAAAUGCUUUGCAGCUGUUAUUAUUAACACCUCAUUGUUCUUGCCGUUUUCACCAUCCUUGUUGUUUUCGCUAUUUUUGGCAUCACCCCCCAAUUUGCCAGAACCACUAACACUAACCGCCAAAGGCUCACUGCCAGACUUAUUAAAACUGCUAAUGCCAGUAGUUAAUGGCUCACCGUUAUACUUGCUGGAACUGUUAGCACCAACUACCAAAAUUGUCAUCCAGGCACCACAAUGUCUUUGGGAAGAGCCUCAAAAGAUGAUUUUUUAAACUUCUUUUUAAAUGAUCUUCGAAUGUCUGAACACUUACUCAGUUGAUUCAGCCGGAGCAUGUAAUCCCAAAAAUACUGUUGAUCGUGAAUGGGGAAAAAUCAAAAUUAAUAUGAACAGAAGGUACCGAAAGAUGGUCGAGCUAAAGCCCUAUAAUGGCCUUAUGCAUUACAUUCGAGGAUUUCCACAAAGGCCUCAAAUGUAAUACACCACCAUCAGGUUCUGGCUCAAUUUAUUUUCCGGUACCUCAUAUUCACGUAAAUUUUGACUUUCCCUCACUCACAAUCAAGAAUAUAUUCGAGAUCACACACUUUGACUAAAUUGACUGAAUAAGUAUUUAGACGUUCGAAGAGCAUUUAAGAAGAAGUUUAAGAAAUCACCUUUCAAAGAUCUUCCCAAGGACGUUAUGGCACAUGAAAUCGGUGAUAUGACGAUUUUAGCAGCUGGAGCUGGCGGUUCGGACGAGUGUAGCGAUGAGCUAUUAGCGGCUGGCACUGGCGAUUUCAAUGAAUUUGGCGGUGAGCCUUUGGCAGCUGGUAUUGGCAGUUCUGGCAAAUCAAGCAGUGAUGGCAAAGAUAGCGAUAAUAAUGAAGACAACAAGGAUAGUGAGGAUGGUGGGGAUAAUGAAGCAGCAAUAACAAUAGUUGCAAAGCACUUCGAGAAUGUUCCUAAGGGCUAGAAUUGUUAUAUGAUUAAAAACAAAACAAUAAAUCUAGAAAGCAAAAAACAAAGAAAUGGGAAACAAAGAACAAAGAGUAAAAAAAAAAAAACCUUGUUUACGGCAACAAAGUCGUCAUUCUUCAGCUGCUCCAGGAAUGCAACCAACUCACAUCCUUCCAUUGCUCCAGGAAUGCAACCAGCUCACAUCCUCCCAUUGCCUAACAUGGUCGCUAGUGGGAAAAAAGUGCUUUGCCUUAGAGAGGGCUGCAUCAGGACAUCACACACACAAACGAAAUCAUUGGAGCACAAAACCAAUGGAGAAGAUAGAAUAGAAUCUACAAGAGCUUCUACAUGCUGCCCCAUAAUAACACUCACUACCCUAGAAACAAGCAAAGAGACCGAGCGAACGGGGCGAAGUUGUUUAUAAUUAAUGCAUGCCACCGCCACGCGGCGCGGCGUCGAGUGGUAGACGUUGCGGUGCGGCGUCGCAUGGCCCGGUGCGGUGCGGUGCGGUGCGGCGCCGCGCCAAACUUGCGCAUGAUUACCGCCGCGCCAGGCGGCCACGCGGAGGGUUCGCUUACCCCCGCGUGGCGUGGUAUGCCAGGCAUGCUCGCGUGCCAAAAUCCGCAUCAUUUCCGAGUAAAGAGUGGCCGGAUUCGAACCAGCGAUUUACCACCGCAUUAAAACGUCUCUAGUUCAAAUCCACAGCGUUCCACGAGUUGCCUUGACAGGCUGGCGCUGUCCACGUGCCGCUAGCUGGCGUAUCCUAGCUCGUCCUCGGCCACGCCGAGAUCAAUCAGUCGCUUCUCAAUGUCAAGAGCCCAUGGCGAUUGGAUCCUCAACCUUGAAAUCACUCAACAUGAAUUUCCAGCAGAAACAUGACUGGAAUCGAAUGCCUCGGACCCCGUCGUUUUUCUGGUCGGUGCCAGUGAAAGUUUCGAGCACUUCGCUCGCAUCACUUCCCCCAGUGUCUUCCAAACUCCCGCGAGAAAUCCACACUGGCCUCUUCUCCUCCCCCUCCGUCUCGACCGAUUCGUGAUUCUUUUCCCCCGCUACACUGCCCCGGACGUUUCCACCUCCAUCUUCCAUACUGUCUCGAGAAGCCAGCGCGUCCGGGUCGUCCAGAGCAGUGCUCUCGCUUUGAUUCUACCCGAAAUAGAAGAAAUGAGAAUUCUCCAAGCUCGAUCAAUCGAUCGAUUGACGUACCUUGCUGUUCGCCCUGACGCAACUCGUUCCAGCACCGACCCAGCGCAUCCAGAGCGAUGGCGCCACAAGUCGCGAGCAGCAGCGCCCACAGAAAACCCUCUCGCAUCCUAGCCCCGAUCUCAGUUUCGCUCCACUCGAUCCAAUCCCGAAUGCGCUCGCUUGUCGGUUGCCAGAGAUAGCGAGGAAUUUGACUGCCUGAACCAAACGAACAAUGGAGCUAAGAUCCAUCUAUAAAGCUCUAGAAUCUAUCCUCCAAGUUCUAGCUGAGAGCUUGAGAAAAGUUUGAGAAAAUGCUAGCGAGGAAGAGAUUGAAAGGAAGACUAUCUGAGAGAGAUAUCACUCUAUCGAGCAAGCUAUCAAAGACGAAAGGAAUCGAAACAUACCAUGCAAUGAAGAAAAUCUUGCUCUUUUGGCACGAUCCUCUGUCACGAAAUCGAAAUCAAAGACAGCAUACCGGCGAUAGCUCUCUGGCAAGCACGCUGCAAAAUCAUCGUAGCUCUCGGCAGCUUCUCCACCACGACCUCGUUGGUGGCAUCAUCGAUCUUGAAGAUCUGGAGCUCCAGGAAUUUGUUCUUGCACUCGCCACUCACGGCCAUUCCAAAGCCUGCAUUUCCCCUCAAGAACGCGAAAUCCAGUUAAGAAUACCACGAUAUUUCGCGAGAUCCACACCAUACCAGGCCAGCGCUGAGCGAUCGCCUCCACAAAAAUGCUCAGACCAAGCUGCGAUUUCUUAUUCCGGGAAACCGGCCCCGGAUUUCGAUGCGCUUCGCGAAAGCCCACGAAGCGAUCGAAUAUUCGUACUCAUUAAAGUGAUCAAAACUUUUCCAGUUUACUUUAGACACUUUUAUUUCACUGAGAUUUGAACCCAGCACCUUUUCUUACUAAAUGGGUGCUAUAACCAAAAGAGCUAUGAAGGUUAUAUUGAAUGUUCGUAAAAUUUCAAAAGCUUUCAAUUAAUUGCAGAAAUCCAUUUUUUCUUUCAAAGUGAAUUGUCUAAAAUUCAUUAUUAACAUAUAUUUUAUUAAAAUAGACAUGCAUCAAACUGUCCAGAAGGUGUUAGUUAAUUAUUCAUAUAAUUUAAACUGUCAUUAAGUGAAGUAUUGACUGAUUUAAUGACGGAUUAAAGGAAAUUUAAACUAUACCUAAUUGAAAGCUCUUGCUCUACGAAUCCAUUUCUUUCUGCACAUGUAGCAAAACUCGCAUCUGCAAGAAAGUUUUUUGACUCAGAGAAAAAGAAAACAUUCACAUAGUUGCAUUUAAUGUGUUCGCAUCCACUGUCACGCUCGAUAAUCCGUCCCAUCUCUCAUACUGGCGCCUCUUUGCCAGCGUUUUCAGCAACCACGCAGAGCUGAAACGUGUGGCACGACAUGUGCACGUGCCAUGACUGUAACACGUCAUACAAGCCCCUGCCGACGCGGAUGCCGAGCUGGAAGAUGACGUGGACUCGGACACCUCCAGCUCAUUAUCUCGGAGCAGUCCUUGUACGGACAGUACACUUUAUACUCCGUCCGGGAUGCUCAAGUCCUUGACGCGCUUGGCCAGCAUUUCCAAGGUCUUCUCGGACAGCAAACGCCCACACUCUUCGUCGCUGAAACUCACUGCGCAGUUCACCGCCGGGCACCGGAUAUUCACCUCACCCUGCGUCACUUUCACCGCGGCGUGCCGCUCCACGAACCGGUGGUCACACCCCGACAACGUGACCAUCUCGCUGGGAAACCCGGCGCAGAUGGUACACACCUCGGUGACGUACGAACGGCAUAUUCUAUCCCACGUGUUACGCAUAUUCCCCACCCUCCAUGGUCCAGCUGGCGCAAUCGACGGCUCUCCAGCUCCGCCAGCCGCCGGUCGGCCUAGUGCAAGCGGCGACGUCGGAAUCUACCGAUUCCAUCCUUGAUUCCAUGCCAAAAGCGAGCUGAGAAAAAAAACCUCACUUCCAAAAGGAGUUUCCGAGGAAUCGAAACAGCGACCUAAGGAUGUCUGGAACACGUCUUCCAACUGAGCUAAAGUCGGAGUGCUGAACAAAAAUACUGGAAAAACUUUACCGCCAAAUACUGGAAAAACUAAAACUUCUCUAUAAAAACUUGGUCUCACAGAAAAUUUCUGUUCAUCGGUCCCUUCGGAGGCGGACUUCACAUUCUUGAUGUACUGCAAGGAAAUCAAAUUCACCGUGAAACUUUUGACAGCUUUCUAUUAGCUUUGUUCAUACCUUGUAUAGCGUUCCACGAGUUGCCUUGAGAGGUGGCGCUGUCCACGCUUUCUUUCGUGCCGCUAGCUCGUCCUCGGCCACGCCGAGAUCAAUCAGUCGCUUCUCAUUAUCAUGACCAUCUUCGACUAAGGCGAUUGGACCCCCAACCUAGAAAUUAGAUACCAUCCAUGAUCCCACUUGUAGGUGUUAGCAUCUCAGGCAUUCCCGGACCACCCUCAUAACAAUCACGGAGCCCUGAGAAUUUCACCGAUCACCAGUGACUUAUAUCUUGCUCUGGACUGAGAGAAAAAAAGCAUACCUUGAAGCUUUGAGGAUUCUCAGACAGCGCUGAAAGCAUAGAGCCAUCGGGAGCAAGGUUUCCAUACAAGAUCUGUAUGUGGCCAGUCGACUUGAUAGGCCGAUCCAGUGGAUGUAUGACAUCCUGUAAAAUAUUAUGUCAAGGAAACACCAGGUUAAACUUUAAGUUACCUGUCCCUCGCUCAAGGGCGGGCAGAUGGAUAUAUUUUCCGACAAGGUCUUGCCAGUCAUUGGACAUACCAGAAAAGAGAGAGAGAGAGAGGGAAGAGAGAGAGAGAGAAAAAAAAAAAACGUUACUUUGCGCAAGAUGACUCCAUUUCUUGAAGUUACCAGCGAUGCAGUCGCCAUUGAGGUAGCGCUCCUCAAGCAGAUACUUUAAAACGCCAGGCGUUCCACCGAUCUGUGACAUCGCAAUAUAUUGUGAGUCACCACAAACUGGGAAUUACAGACCUUAUGCAAGUCCUCCACUCUGGGCUUAAGAUCAGCGAUAAACGGAACUCUGUUACUAAAUUUCUGAAAGUCGUCCAAGGUCAGUGGCACGUUUACUGAAAAUUUCUCGUAGAUGAAUUCUACGAGCUAACUCCGGAAGAUUAUGCUCGAUUGGUGUCCAAGAAAAGAGAAGGUCGGCAGGUUCGAUCGUGCUGGUUCUUCCAUGUGAUCUUGCACUCAAAGUUUCCUUUUAUGUUUUUUCUUUUGCCUUCCAGAGAGAUUCUUGAAGACAGCAAAAAUCCGUGACGCUGAGGCAGCAGCUCGUAGAUCCAAGUUUGCUAAGGUACUGAAAUUGUCACUCCAUGGAUCGUCCGACUUACAUUCUUUUCUCCUCGCAGGCCACACUUCGUGUCCAGUUCCCGGAUAGCAUAAUCGUUGAGGCCGAUUUUAGUCCUCUAGAUCUGGUUGUGGAGCUUGUUACAAUGCUGGAAACAUUGCUGCUAAAACCAGAGAUCCCGUUCCAUCUGUGUAAGUUCUCCUCCCAAAACUCUUUUUUUGUUCUAGUUCAUGCAUUUUACACUUCGAAACACAGACACAACGCCUCCCAAGCAAAUCCUCAAGGACUACAAUGUUACCAUGUACGAUGCUGGCUUAGUUCCAGGAGCUCUUGUUUAUCUAUCCUACAACAGUGGUAAGGGUCUCUUUGCACGAAGUUCCAGCGGUUCUAAGGGAUCUCUUUUCCUCCAGAUUUCCAAGGGCCAUAUCUUAAGGAGAUCGUCCUCGCUUCACAGCAUUCAGAUGAAGAAUCCAAAGACCAAGUUUUAGCUCCACCAGCGGGAUCUCCUCCUCGAGUAGCGUCCCCGGAAGAAACACGACCAAGCUCUCGACAAACAGUUCCUGUUGGUAAAGGAAGCAAGCCCAGGCCCAAAUGGUUGAAGCUUGGAAAAUGAAAAGUUUUGGAAAGUAAAAAAAUGGAAAGUUUCGGUGAUUUCGUGGAGACACGGGGUUGAGUUGUAAAUUGUGGAAAAUCAAUAAAAAUUAUAUCUUACAUUCAAAGACCAUGCUUCUAGUAAACCUUUGAAACUAUUGCCCUUAGAAACUCGUCUGAUUUAAAUCUUACAAUAAUCCUUUAUAAAUGAAGAUGUUAUAGAACAACUACAAAUAAAUAUUGAAUGCCCGAGUUGUUCCGGUACAUCCGGGAUCUCAAUGCAGCCUCUCAGCCUCUUCACGGAGAUCACGGACUUACCGAAACAACUCUGGCACAACGUUUUAAAGCUUUAGAGCGUUGUUUCCAGAUCAUGUAUCUGUAACGUUUUGCUUGAAACAAGUCCAAGAUACCGGAAAGAAACGAACCCUGCCCUCCGAAGCCUCCCUCCCUAUUCCUCUUGCAGUGGGCAUUUUGCCGGUUUUACUAUCCUGAGUGAACUGGAUAGUGGCAAGAUCGUCAGUCAGGUCCUUGGCUUUCUUUCCCGCAAUUCUUAGACUUUGGAAGUCACAACCUCAGACAGUGUUACCAUUGUCUGGAAAGACUAACCUUCAUACGCGUAAAUUGUGCAUGUAUAGCAGGAUCCAGCAAAAGACGACGUGACUGAGACCAAACAAAGUUGUAACAUCUGGAAGAUACGACUACCUGAAGCGUUGGAGGCCUCAACGAAACCUUCAAAUCGUAAAGUGCAAUCGCAUUUUUAACAGAAAAUAGAAACAUUGAAGAGAGAUGCCUUCAUUUCUGCAAUUUCUUGCUCCUUGUUUGACAAUUGGAUCAGCAUGACAGCUUCCUUGCGCGCCUGGACUAUGCACGCUGUUCAGAAAACAAAAAGGAAAAGGAAACUACACAACUCGCAACACCAAACUUGCAAAUACCUAGGAUCAGCAGAAGCCCUUUCCGUAAGGGUAGGUAUGGAUAUCUUGGUGCACAUAGUUGAAGAGGAGGUUUUGACGCGCUUGCCAGCAGUUGUUUUGCACCGCCGCGUCAGGGCCGUGUGCAAACGGUGGAGGGAUCUCAUAGACUCACCAAGAUUUGCAAAGUUCCAUUCAGCACACCACUCUAUAAAAAAGCAGAGUUGCCCCCCUCGCGUCUUGGGUAUAACUCAAAAUGGUAAGGAACUCUAUAGCUGCAACCCGUUCGUCGCUGGAUCUGACGCACAGAAGGAUUGGGUCCGUCAGGAUGUCUACGGUCACAUCAGGGUUGUCAAGGCUUGUGGUGGAUUGCUGUUUGGAAAGAUGGGCCGUGACUAUGUUGCUCUCAAUCCGCUCACCCGAGCUCUCAAGGUGCUUCCCCCGCCGCCCCUGGAAGCAGCAUAUAUAUCCCCGAAUAUUCAUUGUGCCCUGGUAUUGGAACCGUCCAUGCAGCGUUACUGGAUUUGUAUAGCGGGAGAUAUAGCAAAGCAAUUGCAUGUAUAUCACUCAAGAUCGGGAGUGUGGGACACGGUGGAUUACCUUCCUGGCUGGGGUAAUCUCAAAUAUGGAGUUGGGAUGGCUAACAGCAACGCUUAUUUUUCUGCUGAACAUGACUGUAUGUGGGGGAUUUUGAGCUUCAACAUGGAAGAAAUGAGAUGGUUUGUUGAGUGGUCAUCUUUCAAAGACAAUUCCCCUAUUCAAAUGUGCUGGUCUAUAUACAAAUGGAUGGUAACAACAGCAAAUCAGUUUUUCAUGGUGGCUAUGGGAGAAGACCAGAUGACGCUGAUAAGGUUGGACUGUGCAUCAAACGGACAUGUUCAGGAGGCAGGCUGUGAUUACAAUGAGAAACGCUAUCCUAUCCCUCCAAUCUGUUUUUACGAAGGCACCUUCAUGAUUGCGGACGAGGAAAAGCUUUAUUUUCUGGAUUAUGAGAGUAAGACCUGGAGCACCAUUCCAACUCAGAAUCUUUCAGUUGUGAGUUAUGUUUUUAUGUUCACACCAUCUUUGGUGCCUCCAUGAUGCUAUAAAUCAAAGUGGCACUGUUACGGGCUCUGAAGCGAGUUCAGCUACAGAUUCUACAGCUGCUGAUCUCGUUCUGCAAGAACAUGCCUAAACUUUGUUGCCGCUGUCCGUGAGAGUUGAGUUACACAGAUACUUUUUUUUGUUCUUGAUUCAUCCGUUUGCUUUGCUCCACUUGAUUCUGCAGUGUGUCCAAUAAAAAUGUUUCAAAAGCUUUGAAAAUAAAUCUUGCAGGUUGUACAUUUGCUGCAACCUCUCAGCCUUGAGAUCCCGGAUGUACCGGAACAACUUGGGCAUUCAAUAUUUAUCUGUAGUUGUUCUAUAACAUCUUCAUUUAUAAAGGAUUAUUGUAAGAUUUAAAUCGGACGAGUUUCUAAGGGCAAUAGUUUCAAAGGUUUACUAGAAGCAUGGUCUUUGAAUGUACAUUCGUCAAGAUAUAAUUUUUAUUGAUUUUCCACAAUUUACAACUCAACCCCGUGUCUCCACGAAAUCACCGAAACUUUCCAUUUUUUUACUUUCCAAAACUUUUCAUUUUCCAAGCUUCAACCAUUUGGGCCUGGGCUUGCUUCCUUUACCAACAGGAACUGUUUGUUGAGAGCUUGGUCGUGUUUCUUCCGGGGACGCUACUCGAGGAGGAGAUCCCGCUGGUGGAGCUAAAACUUGGUCUUUGGAUUCUUCAUCCGAAUGCUGUGAAGCGAGGACGAUCUCCUUGAGAUAUGGCCCUUGGAAAUCUGGAGGAAAAGAGAUCCCUUAGAACCGCUGGAACUAAGUGCAAAGAUACCCUUACCAUUGUUGUAGGAUAGAUAAACAAGAGCUCCUGGAACUAAGCCAGCAUCGUACAUGGUAACAUUGUAGUCCUUGAGGAUUUGCUUGGGAGGCGUUGUGUCUGUCUUUCAAAGUGUAAGCUUCAUGAACUAGAACAAAAAAAGAGUUUUGGGAGGAGAACUUACACAGAUGGAACGGGAUCUCUGGCUUUAGCAGCAAUUUUUCCAGCAUUGUAACAAGCUCCACAACCAGAUCCAGAGGACUAAAAUCGGCCUCAACGAUGAUGCUAUCCGGGAACUGGACACGAAGUGUGGCCUGCGAGGGGAAAAGAAUGUAAGUCGGGCGAUCCAUGGAGUGACAAUUUCAGUACCUUAGCAAACUUGGAUCUACGAGCUGCUGCCUCAGCGUCACGGAUUUUUGCUGUCUUCAAGAAUCUCUCUGGAAGGCAAAAGAAAAAACGCAAAAAGGAAACUUUGAGUGAAAGAUCAUAUGGAAGAACCAACACGAUCGAACCUGCCGACCUUCUCUUUUCUUGGACACCAAUCGGGCAUAAUCUUCCGGAGUUAGCUCGUAGAAUUCAUCGCUCUCGGCCUCCUCUGCCCCAUCAGAAUCAUACCCAUCAAAAUCGAAAACUCGGAAAGGACUUCUCUCGCCUUUGCCAGUCGCGUGCUGAAUCGGGGCCUCCAACGCCGCGGGAUUGACGAACACACGGAGAUCUCUUCCAAUCAAGCUUCUCACUGCCGCCUGUAAGAGAGGAUUUUCAGGAUUGGAGAGUUCACCAAACGAUACAAACCAGCGAUUGCUGCCAGGCGCCGGGCGAAGAAUGCGCUUCACUCGCCAUAAAACCUUAUUAGGGUUCUUCCAAGAAAGGGCUAUAUAUGGCAACGCUGACGUCACUGAAAUGGGGGGAAAAUUAUUUCUAGGGUUCAUGAUCGCGUCGCGGGCGCUAGCUGGACGAUCCACGAUUGGAUUGGAGAGGCGCAUUGGAGUAUUGGAUUGGAGGUAUGCCGCGCUUCUCCUUUUCAGCAGAGGAUUCCAGGAGAGAUCCAAGCGACCGAAGAUUGGGGCAGGGAUUCCCGUGAAGCCGCCAUUGGCACCAAAGAAGCCGCUGGACGAUUGGGACAUCGAGAGUGAUCCCGAGGGGGAUUUUGAGCCGACUAGGAAAUGCAAAUCGCUGCUCAAGAAGAGGGGACGUUGGUCUUUGCAUAUGGCCAAAAUUCUUGCUACAUUCUCCUCAACGAGCCUCAACAAUGCUAUCAAGUGAGUGAUUUUUCUUGCUCUUUGUUCCCUGCCAUUUUUCUUUCCUUGUUUCUUUGGUUAUUUGGUUCCGUUUUUUCUUCUCUUUUUACCUUUCCUUUUUGUUCUUUGUUUCGAAGAUGGGGAUGCUUACCGGACGAAUGCUAUGAUGCUGUUAAGACGCUACAGGUAGUUUUUCUCCCUUCGAUCAUCACAAUCUAUCUAAAAAAUGGUGUUUUUGGUCCUUUUUUCCAGAAGAUGGAAGCCACUGGAGUUUUGGUUGGAAAGCGAAGGCUCUAUAACUACUUGGGUGAGAGCUCAUUCUUUCUUGCGAUGGAUGAUAGAUGUUCUUGUCUGAAUGCAGCGGGUUUGCUUCACAAUGCCAGCCCUUCUGUGGUGGAGUAUGUUUUGCAUAGUCUGCAACGCGAAGAGCCUGCCAUCAAGAGAAUUGGAGGAAUUAGAGACAAUGAGGUAUGCAUGAGGUCCUUUUGAAAUCAUUCUAAGCAAGAAUGAUUUUUCAUAGAUGGAAGAGUAUACCAUGAGCUUGUCUGACAAAUGGUUUGAUGGCCUCAUGUCCGGAAACUUGAACAUCCACAAUGACAUCCAUUGUUUACCAUACGAGAUGUUUGACAGAGAAGUGAGUUUGUCUUUGUGAUAAACACUUAAAUACGUUUCUUUCGUGUUUCAGGAGCUCCGGUGGCUUAUAAAGAACCUCAAGGGAAGGAUUUACAUGAGAGACAAGCUUCCAAUGAAGGAUCCGCUGUGGGAGCAUCGAUCAACGAAAUGCGUCCGUGCUGAGAACCGCUUGAGACGUUUCUUACAAGAUCUAGCCCGGAGAGAUUACAGUGGUAAAGCUUACGACAAGGCACAAAAGGAGGAGGCAAAAACCGGUGUAUGCAGACCAUUUGUUCUCAACUGGAAGUAGCACGAUGGUUAAAAUGGUCGUCCAAAAACUCGCUGGAUUCCAUCGUUUCUAACAUUCGUUUUCCUUGUAGAGGAUUUAUCUGGUUACCUUUCAGCAAUGGAUGGAUCAUUCCCAUCGUCCGAGAGAGGAGGUACUCCUCAGGAUUGAAGCGAGCGUCAAGGUGGAAAUAGCUGCCAUCAGGAAGAACAGAACCACAGGAUCCCCAUUUGCAACAAUCGCUUCUUGAGGUGUGUGUUCCACUGGUUUUUAAUCUCGUUGUCAGUUCGUCCAGGAAUGUGCGAUGCGAUCACGGACCACUUGAAAGUGAAACACGCAAGAACGUAGAGAACGCAAGAAUUUAGAGGUAAAACUCUACAAACUGUUACCGGUUUCGCAGGAUUGAAUGCAGCCAGAUGUUGGGAAGCUCGUCUUGGGCUGUGAUCCCGCCUCGUUUUAUAUCCGGCCGGAGAUAGUUUGUCCAUCGCAGCCUGCACCGCAACGAUUGAGUCCUGCUCGCAAGAUCCAGGAGAAACAAGAUGUGAGAAAUCGAUUCACCCGGUUUCUCCGGUAGCGAUUCUCGUGACCGUGUUUCCGAAUGUAAGCGAGUGAGUCCCUCUUUGCUCCGGCGAGGAGGCCUCCCCAUUGCAAAGCAAGGAGAAGUAAAGAGAGAGUUCUAUAGACAUUGUGAUUGUCUAUUUAUUUGUAUACAUUCCAGUGGAAGAAGCCUGGAGUGUGAGGUAGAUUGCUAGACUUCUCCCUUUGGUCAAAAGGUUUCUUUUGGAUUCAUCGCUUUAGAGUUAUAGAUCGUCGCGGCUUUCAAAAGCUUUUCUCCGUUCCAGAAGACCACGUUGUAGUGGUGGAAUAAAGCGGGCGUAAGCCCGGGCGAGGCUCACCCGGCUAGAAGUGGUCAAGCCUGUCAACUCUGUAUCGAUCCACAGUCGAAUCGAUCGCUCCGGUCCACUUCAAGAUCCCCCCAAUCCUGCCUGGCAAGAAGCGCCGGCUGAUCUCCCCAACCACGUCAGUACUUACAUGUCUUGCCUCUCUUUGCAGUACGACAACGUCAUGGCUGCCGUAUAUUUCUUAGUCAAUACAGUUGCCAGCCAUACAGUACCCAAGUACGAAGGACGUGCUAGAAAGAUUGGACUCUUCGCCACCUUAUUCUUUUGAAAGAAAGUAGGAACAAAGAAUUACCUGGACAUUUUGAUCGUAAUUAAUCUUAAACUUACAGGGUCCAAAAGCCUAAAUUCUGGUGAGAAAAUGGAGCGCGCCCUCGCAAGAAUGCGGCGCCGGCGGUGUCGAUCGUGCUGGUUUCUUCCAUAUGAUCUUUCACUCAAAGUUUCCUUUUUUUUUCCUUUUGCCUUCCAGAGAGAUUCUUGAAGGCAGUAAAAAUCCGUGACGCUGAGGCAGCAGCUCGUAGAUCCAAGUUUGCUCUGAAAUUGUCACUCCAUGGAUCGUCCGACUUACAUUCUUUUCUCCUCGCAGGCCACAGUUCGUAGAUAGCAUCAUCAUUGAGGCCGAUUUUAGUCCUCUAGAUCUGGUUGUGGAGCUUGUUACAAUGCUGGAAAUUUGCUGCUAAAGCCAGAGAUCCCGUUCCAUCUGUGUAAGUCCUCCUCCCAAACAGCAUGCAGCUUACACUUUGAAACACAGACACAACGCCUCCCAAGCAAAUCGGACUACAAUGUUACCAUGUAUGAUGCUGGCUUAGAUCUUGUUUAUCUAUCCUACAACAAUGGUAAGGUCUCUUUGCACGAAGUUCGGUUCUAAGGGAUCUCUUUUCCUCCAGAUUUCCAAGGGCCAUAUCUUAAGGAGAUCGUCCUCGCUUCACAGCAUUCGGAUGAAGAAUCCAAAGACCAAGUUUUAGCUCCACCAGUGGGAUCUCCUCCUCGAGUAGUGUCCCCGGAGGAAACACGACCAAGCUCUCGACAAACAGUUCCUCUUGGUAAAGGGAGCAAGCCCAGACCCAAAUGGAAAAUGAAAAGUUUGGGCAGUGGUUUCGUGGAAAUGAGUUGUAAAUUGUGGAAAAUCAAUGAAAAUUAUAACUUGACGAAUGUACAUUCAAAGAUCAUGCUUCUAAACUUACAAUAAUCCUUUAUAAGUGAAGAUAUUAUAGAACAACUACAAAUAAAUAUCAAAUGCCGGAGUUAUUCCGGUACGUUCGGGAUCUCAAUGAAGAAGUUGAGAGGUUGUAGCAAAUGUUACAGGCUGGGAGAUUUUUUUUCAAAGCUUUGAAACUUUUUUAUUGGACACACUGCAGAAUCAAGUGGAGCAAAGCAAACAGAUGAAUCAAGAACGAAAAAAAGUAUCUGUGUAACUUAACUCUCACGGACAGCGGCAGCAAAGUUCAGGCAUGUUCUUGCGGAACGAGAUCAGCAGCUGUAGAAUCUGUAGCUGAACUCGCUUCAGAGCCCGUAACAGUGCCACUUUGAUUUAUAGCAUCAUGGAGGCACCAAAGAUGGUGUGAACAUAAAAACAUAACUCACAACUGAAAGAUUCUGAGUUGGAAUGCUGCUCCAGGUCUUACUCUCAUAAUCCAGAAAAAAACAGCUUUUCCUUGUCCGGAAUCACGAAGGUGCCUUCGUAAAAACAGAUCGGAAGCAUAGGAUAGCGUCCCUCAUUGAAAUCACAGCUUGCCUCCUGAACAAGUCCAUUUGAUGCACAGUCCAACCUCAUCAGGCUCAUCUGGUCUUUUAGCAAAGCCACCAUGAAAAACUGAGUUGCUAUUGUUACCAUCCAUUUGUAUAUAGACCAGCAAAAUUGAAUAGGAGAAUUGUCUCUGAAAGAUGACCACUCAACAAACCAUCUCAUUUCUUCCAUGUUGAAGCUCAAAAUCCCCCACAUACAGUCAUGUUUGGCAGAAAAAUAAGCGUUGCUGUUAGCCAUCCCAACUCCAUAUUUGAGAUGAUACCAGCCAGGAAGGUAAUCCACCGUGUCCCACACUCCCGAUCUUGAGUGAUAUACAUGCAAUUGCUUUGCUAUAUCUCCCGCUAUACAAAUCCAGUAACGCUACGGUUCCAAUACCAGGGCACAAUGAAUAUUCGGGGAUAUAUCCAGGGGCGGCACCUUGAGAGCUCGGGUGAGCGGAUUGAGAGCAACAUAGUCACGGCCCAUCUUUCCAAACAGCAAUCCACCACAAGCCUUGACAACCCUGAUGUGACCGUAGACAUCCUGACGGACCCAAUCCUUCUGUGCUUCAGAUCCAGCAACGAACGGGUUGCAGCUAUAGAGUUUAUCACCAUUUUGAGUUAUACCCAAGACACGAGGGGGGCAAAUCUGCUUGUUUAUAGAGUGGUGUGCUGAAUGGAACUUUGCAAAUCUUGGUGAGUCUAUGAGAUUGCACACGACCCUGAUGCGGCAGUGCAAAACAACUGCUGGCAAGCGCUUCAACACCUCCUCUUCAACUAUGUGCACCAAGAUGUCCAUACCUACCAUUAAAGAAAAGGCUUCUGCUGAUCCUAGGUAUUUUGCAGUUUAAAAAACGUUCACGUACAAAAAGCUGCAUUCCGUCCUCCACGAAGCAUAAUCAGAGGACUCGCAUCGUCUCUAACAGGCCUAGAAACAAAUUGUCUUUCCACAACACCUGAUCAUCACUAAAGCUCUCUAGCGAGUCAGGUUUUACUGGAAGCGGUGCGUUGGUUCUGGUGAAACUGCCAACGAAAGCAGUGGAGAAUCCAUUCAAGUUAUCCUGGCAAAGGAGGUCCAGCUUGCAGAGAAAUCACUUCUAUGACACAACAACCAAGAAUCUACUUGAGACAACCAAUAGCCGCUGUCCAGCAACGCCUCGAAUUCCUCUCGAAACUUAAGCAGCUGCUCUCCGCGCAUCCAGAUGGAAUUCGCGCUGCUUCCUGUUGCAACAAUUUUAAUCAAGGACUUACUAGUCCUUUAUUGUUGUGUCAUUCGUUUGCCUCCGUUUGCUCCAUUUGAAUCUGCAAUAUACGCACCUGUGUCCAAGAAAAACAUGUCAAAAGCUUUAUCUCCCAGCUUGUACCAUUUGCUGCAGCCUCUCAGCCUCUUCAUUGAGAUACGGCCUUACCGAAACAACUCUGGCACAACAUUUUAAACCUUUAAAACACUGACGAGAUUUGUUGUAAGAUGACAGCCGCGUUUCGAUUCAGAGCUCAACGACUUUUGAACAGCCACCAUUGUUUCAGAUCAUGUAUCUGUAUCAUGUAUUUGCUUGAAACAAGUCCAAGAUACCGGAAAGAAACGAACCCUGCCCUUCCCUACUCCUCUUGCAGUGAGCAUUUUGCCGUUUUUCCUAUGCUGAGUGAACUGGACAGCGGCAAGAUCGUCAGUCAGGUUCUUGGCUUUCUUUUCAGACUUUGGAAGGCACAACCUCACACAGUGUUAUCAUUGUCUGGAAAGACUAACCUUCAUACGCGUAAAUUUUGCAUAUAUAGCAGGAUCCAGCAAAAGACAACGUGACUGAGACCAAACAAAGUUGUAAGAUCUGGAAGAUACGACUACCUGGAGGCCUUAACGAAAGCUUCAAAUCGUGAAAGAGGGUCUAAAUUACAAUCGCGUUUUUAACAGAAAACAGAAACAUUGAAGAGAGAUGCCUUCAUCUCUGCAAUUUCUUGCUCCUUGUUUGACAGUUGGAUCAGCAUGACAGUUUCCUUGUGCCUGGAAGAUGCGCGCUGUGAAAAGACAAUCAGAAAACAAAGGAAAAUACACAACUCUGCAACACCAAACUUGCAAACCUGGUCUUUCAAGGAUGCUUAGAGAAAUUAUAUAUGGUCCAAGAUCACCCGAGGAUCUAAUAAAUUAGUAAUAACAACAUAUAAAAACACAAACAUAUAAGAUUAUGUAAGCUGCAAGAGUUUUGGGAGGAGAACUUACAUAGAUGGAAUGGGAUCUUUGGCUUCAGCAGCAAUUUUUACAGCAUUGUCACAAGCUCCACAACCAAAUCUAAAGGACUAAAAUCGCAGGAACUGGACACGAAGUGUGGCCUGCGAGGAGAAAAGAAUGUAAGUCGGACGAUCCAUGGAGUGACAAUUUCAGUACCUUAGCAAACUUGGAUCUACGAGCUGCUGCUUCAGCGUCACGGAUUUUUGCUGUCUUCAAAUCUCUCCCCAUCAAAAUUGAAAACUCGGAAAGGACUUCUCUCGCCUUUGCCAGUCGCGUGCUGAAUCUGGGCCUCCGACGCCGCGGGCUCCGACGUAUGUCUCUUAAGAUAAACCCUAAAGGUCCAAAAUCCAAAAUCCCUAUUAAACCCAAAAGGGUCCAAAAUCCAAAAUUCUGAGCGCCAAUCCCUCGCAAGAAUGCGGACGCCAGGGCAUCGGUGAGCUCCUCCCCCACGGAGAUCGCCGCUCCAUCGCGGCAGCAGGGCACCGGCGAGCACGCGAUCGUGUUGAAUCACUACAGCAGCCGCGUGACGCAGCCCAAAUCCCAGCUCUAUGGCGUGGGGCUGCGCGACGAGAACAUGGCCAAGGCGCAGGUCGGGAUCUUCUCGGUGUGAUACGAGGGCAACACUUGCAAUAUGCAUUUGCUCAAGCUCUUCGAGGCUGUCAAGGAGGGAGCGGCAUGGUGGGAUUUCGAUUCAACACCGUGGGCAUCUCGAUGGGGACCCCGAGGGGAUGUGCUUUAGCUUGCAGUCGCGGGAUUUUAUAGCUGACCGUCAUGGGUGGACAGUGGUACGAUGCAAAUGUCUCCAUUCCAGGCUGCGAGGUGAUCGACUAUGCUCCCCUUUCUCUUUGUUGUUUCUUUUUGGUCUUCUCAUUCUUCCUUUGUGCUUUAGAUGCCAGGAACUCUCAUUGCAAUGGGAAGGCUGAAUCGACCAAGCAUUAUGGAACUAUCAAAGUAAGUUUUCUCUAUCUUUUUGGUUUCUUUUGUUCGCACUUGCUGAAACUGUUGGUUCAGCCAGGAAUCCUGAACGGGCAUGCGUACAAUAUAGUGUCAGCUUUCCAGGUAUUUCUGGUUCGUUUUGUUUCUCAUGGUGGUCACGUAAAUGAAGCUUAUGCUGUGUUUUCAUUGUCUUCUCGGUUUGUUUUUCUUAACGUACAGACAGCUACUGAGAAUAUGUUGGUGGUCACAUUUCUGACCAGCAGCGACUGAACGUUUUGCAACAUUCAUGUCCAGGCGCUGGAGCUUAUGGUGGAAUGUACACGGCAAGUACCAUUGAAGCCUUAGGCAUGUAACGCUGUCCAGGUGAGCAGACCAUGCUUGGGCAUUCUCUGAGAUAUUCUGUGUACCUCUUCCAUAUACCCGUUUUAGGCAUAGGCUGGGCAUCCGGUUGAAGAGCGAUGUGGAGUCUGGAUGUUUCAAUGUUUGACAUUUGGCAGUAUGAUAAAUUCUUUGUUGUUUCAUUCCCCUUGCUGGCAUUACUAGCUUUGUCCUUGUCAGCAUCCAGCAUUGUCUGCCUAUUUGAUUCUAGUUUUGCCUUUGUCGCCAUUGUCACCUUUGGUUGUUAUGCCACUAAUUCCAACUUCACCCAUGCCUUCAUUGUCUUAGUUUUUGGGAAGAGUUUUGAGCAACAACUUUUUGAAUAUCUUCUUGCAUGACUUAUUUAUAUUGAGUUAUUUGUGCAGUUAAAGGUGAAAUUGAAAAUGAUGUUUUGUGCAGUUAAAGGUGAAAUUGAAAAUGAUGUUUUGCACAGUUAAAGGUGAAAUUGAAAAUGAUGUUAAGCGCAAGUGGAACAUAAAGUUUAAUAUUACUAAAUAAGUUGUUCAAGAAAAUAUUUAAGAAAUUAUCGUUUAAAGCUUUUUUUUAAGGAUGAUGAUGAUAAUGUGGUUGAAAUUGGUGGUGUGCAAAGCAGUGGAUACUGAGGAUGAUGUGGUAGGUGAGGUUGAGGAUGAUAUGGUGGGUGAGGCAAAGAAUGUUGACAAGGGUGAUAAGGUAGUAGUAGCAGCUGCAAAAGUAUUUUGAAAAUAUCCUUCAAAGUUGAGAGGACAUUGUUUGUAAUGGGUUUUGAUCAAAAUGUCAUAUUUUGCUUUAUAGUGAAUUCAAAGAUUUUUAAUAAAUUAUAUUUUCAUUGUUAUAGUUGGGUCCUAGCACUAGAAAGAAUCACACAGAUACUACACUAUAGAAAGGCUACCUCACGUUUUUGGGUGACAAGAACUUUUCCAGUGAAUGUCGAGUGAAUGUCGCAGCUUUUUGAAGUCCUUUACCUGAAAUAGCACAAAAGACUGGAACAUUGAGAAUGAAGCAGACCUUUAGAUAGCCAACUUUGUUGGCGAGCAACACAAUGGUGGGGAAUCAUCAUUGGCAGGGGAUCAAAGUUGCCACUACCCAGCGCCUUUACAAGGACAAUGGCAUGUCAAGUGACUCUCGUAUCUUUCAGCUUCAAAAACUCUGUCAAGUGCUUUCCAGGCACUCUUGAGGAAUGGAAAGUGUGAUUCCAAGUCUUUAAAUGGAAUGGAAAAUAUGCAUGUACAAAAGAAGUAAGUUCUAUCGAGAAGAGACAAAGACCUGUAUAAAGGACCCAAGGCUUCUCUGGCACUGGCCAGCUGUGUAUAUUCCGCCACAAGCUCACACGAAUGCUGCAAAUUUUCAGUCGCUGCUCGUCAGAAGUACGUUAAACAACACAUUCUCGACAGAAAAAAGAACAAAAAAUAUGCCUGGUUGGUGGUAGCAUUUGCAGCUACAAACAAAAAAAUGAUAACGAUAAGAAAGAACUCACGUUGACAGUUCCUCCGUGAUCGAUUACCUCACCAUCAACGUCGAUGUAUCCUCCUUGGAACACUCUUCCACCGGGAACGCUUGCACCUAUAUAUGCAUCAAAGAUCAAACAAAGCUUCGAAUGAGACAUACGUGAGAUACUUGCAUUCCACCGCUGUAUGCUCGUAAGCAGGCCAAUGAACUUGAGUCCCAGAGAACAAUGAGAUCCAGAAGACCAUCUGCAAACUGCUAUGGACGUAAGAGAAUGCGAAAUCUUAAGUGUGACCUUGGACUCGGGGUUACCCCAAGGAACGUUUUGCCCUCCAUCACUCUCCAGUUGACGAGGAUACCAGUUAGGCGUAAGCCAUGCGUAAUUGCCUCUGCAAAAGGAGUGGCUCUAUCUUGAAGCUAAAACACACCUCGACAAAAACGCGAAAAGCUCCAUCAUACUGCGUGAUAUUCACUGAGUUGGCCAUCUCUCUCGCAUGAAGCUGGUGAAACAGAGAAAGUUUUAUGUCACGAGAAAACACCUUCUUUUGUGAUCUCAAUGCGAGCUGCUGGGAGUUAGUCUUCAUUGAUGAAAACGAUCGAUCUCUCCGGCCUCCCUAAAGAAAAACAAAGAAAAGUCCAGGAAAAGGAAAUCACACUCAGCAAGAAGAUCUACUUACAUGAUCGGCAUCUCACAGUCCUCUUGCGCUGAUUGCCUCCACAGCACCCCUUCUCUGUGAAUCCAUGAAUGUCGGUGCUGAUCCCAUGGCCGUCAUUUCAACACCCCCGAGGAGCUGAAAGACCGAGCAGGAGCUGUGCAGCUUACGUAGUUUGCUCGGAAGGACAAACUAUCAAUGCUUCACUUAAUAGAUCGGCAAUAAAUCGAAUUUUCUCACCAGGAUUUAGGGUUUUGGACCCUGUAGGUUUAUGAUUAAUUACGAUAAAUACGUCCAGGUAAUUCUUUGUUCCUACUUUCUUUCAAAAGAAAAAGGUGGCGAAGAGUCCAAUCUCUCUAGCACGUCCUUCGUACUUGGGUACUGUAUGGCUGGCAACUGUAUUGACUAAGAAAUAUACGGCAGCCAUGACGUUGUCGUACUGCAAAGUGAGGCAAGACAUGUAAGCACUGACGGAUCAGCCGGCGCUUCUUGCCAGGCAGGAUAUUGGGGGGAUAAAGGGGGGCCAGAGGGUGGAUCUUGGAGUGGACCGGAGCGAUCGAUUCGACUGUGGAUCGACACAGAGGUGACAGGCUUGACCACUUCUAGCCGGGUGAGCCUCGCCUGGGCUUACGCCCGCUUUAUUCCACCACUACAACGUGGUCUUCUGGAACGCGUCUAAAAGAGAAAAUCUUAUGAAAGCCGCGACGAUCUAUAACUCUAAAGCGAUGAAUCCAAAAGAAACCUUUUGACAAAAGGGAGAAGUCUAGCAAUCUACCUCACACUCCAGGCUUCUUCCACUGGAAUGUAUACAAAUAAAUAGACAAUCACAAUGUCUAUAGAACUCUCUCUUUACUUCUCCUUGCUUUGCAAUGGGGAGGCCUCCUCGCCGGAGCAAAGAGGGACUCACUCGCUUACAUUCGGAAACACGGUCACGAGAAUCGCUACCGGAGAAACCGGGUGAAUCGAUUUCUCACAUCUUGUUUCUCCUAGAUCUUGCGAGCAGGACUCAAUCGUUGCGGUGCAGGCUGCGAUGGACAAACUAUCUCCGGCCGGAUAUAAAACGAGGCGGGAUCACAGCCCAAGAAGAGCUUCUCAACAUCUAGCUGCAUUCAAUCCUGUGAAACCGGUAACAGUUUGUAGAGUUUUACCUCUAAAUUCUGCGUUCUCUAAGUUCUUGCGUGUUUCACUUUCAGGUUGUCCGUGAUCGCAUCGCACAUUCCUGGACGAACUGACAACGAGAUUAAAAACCACUGGAACACACACCUCAAGAAGCAAUUGUUGCAAAUGGGGAUCCUGUGGUUCUGUUCUUCACGUUUUCAUAUUACAUUUAUAAAGGAUUACUGUAAGAUUUAAAUCAGACAAGUUUCUAAUAUGGGCAAUAGUUUCAGAAGUUUACUAGAAGCAUGAUCUUUGAAUGUACAUUCGUCAACAUAUCAACCCAACUACAAAUAAAAUACUGAAUGCCCGAGUUGUUCUGGUACGUCCAGAAUCUCAAUGAAGAGGCUGAGAGGUUGCAGCGAAUGUUACAAGCUGGGAGAUUUCUUUUCAAAGCUUUUGACAUUUUUUUAUUGGACACAGGUCCGUAUACUGCAGAAUGAAGUGGAGCAAAAGGAACGCAAACGGAUGAAUCAAGAACGAAAAAAAGUAUCUGUGUAGCAUAACUCUCACGGACAGUGGCAGCAAAGUUCAGGCAUGUUCUUGCGGAACGAGAUCAGCAGCUGUAGAAUCUGUAGCUGAACUCGCUUCAGAGCCCGUAACAGUGCCACUUUGAUUUAUAGCAUCAUGGAGGCACCAAAGAUGGUGUGAACAUAAAAACAUGUGAAAGAUUCUGAGUUGGAAUGCUGCUCCAGGUCUUACUCUCAUAAUCCAGAAAAUAAAGCUUUUCCUCCGGAAUCAUGAAGGUGCCUUCGUAAAAACAGAUUGGAGGGAUAGGAUAUUGUUCCUCAUUUAGCUUGCUUUAGCUUGCAGUCGCGGGAUUUUAUAGCUGAUAGCAUCGAGACCGUCAUGGGUGGACAGUGGUACGAUGCAAAUGUCUCCAUUCCAGGCUGCGAGGUGAUCGACUAUGCUCCCCUUUCUCUUUGUUGUUUCUUUUUGGUCUUCUCAUUCUUCCUUUGUGCUUUAGAUGCCAGGAACUCUCAUUGCAAUGGGAAGGCUGAAUCAACCAAGCAUUAUGGAACUAUCAAAGUAAGUUUUCUCUUUCUUUUUGGUUUCUUUUGUUCGCACUUGCUGAAACUGUUGAUUCAGCCAGGAGUCCUGAACGGGCAUGCGUACGAUAUAGUGUCAGCUUUCCAGGUAUUUCUGGUUCGUUUUGUUUCUCAUGGUGGUCACGUAUAUUGAGUUAUUUGUGCAGUUAAAGGUGAAAUUGAAAAUGAUGUUAAGUGCAAGUGGUCUAAUGUAAAUAAGUAAUAUUUAAGAAAUUAUUGUUUAAAGCUUUUUUUAUGAUGAUAAUGUGGUUGAAAUUGGUGGUGUGCAAAGUAGUGCAUACUGAGGAUGAUGUGGUGGGUGAGGCAAAGAAUGUUGGCAAGGGUGAUAAGGUAGUAGUAGCAGCUGCAAAAGUAUUUUGAAAAUAUCCUUCAGAGUUGAGAGGACAUUGUUUGUAAUGGGUUUUGAUCAAAAUGUUAUAUUUUGUCUUAUAGUGAAAUUCAAAGAUUUUUAAUAAAUCAUAUUUUCAUUGUUAUAGUUGGGUCCUAGCACUAGAAAGAAUCACAAAGAUGCUACACUAUACAAAAGCUACCUCACGUUUUUGGGUGACAAGAACUUUUCCAGUGAAUGUCGAGCGAAUGUCACAGCUUUUUGAAAUCCUUUACCUGAAAUAGCACAAAAGACUGGGACAUUGAGAAUGAAGCAGACCUUUAGAUAGCCAACUUUGUUGGCGAGCAACACAAUGGUGGGGAAUCAUCAUUGGCAGGGGAUCAAAGUUGCCACUACCCAGCGCCUUUACAAGGACAAUGGCAUGUCAAGUGACUCUCGUAUCUUUCAGCUUCAAAAACUCUGUCAAAGUGCUUUCCAGGCACUCUUGAGGAAUGGAAAGUGUGAUUCCAGGUCUUUAGAUGGAAUGAAAAUACGCAUGUACAAAAGAAGGUAAGUUCUAUCGAGAAGAGACAAAGACCUGUAUAAAGGACCCAAGGCUUCUCUGGCACUGGCCAGCUGUGUAUAUUCGGCCACAAGCUCAGGACCUGGACACGAAUGCUGCAAACUUUCAGUCGCUGCUCGUCAAAAGUACGUUAAACAACAAAUUCUCGAAAGAAAAAAGAACCAAAAAUAUGCCUGGUUGCUGUAGCAUUUGCAGCUACAAACAAAAAAAUUGAAAACGAUAAGAAAGAACUCACGUUGACAGUUCCUCCGUGAUCGAUUACGUCACCAUCAACGUCGAUGUAUCCUGCUUGGAACACUCUUCCACUGGGAACACUUGCACCUAUAAAUGCAUCAAAGAUCAAACAAAGCUUCGAGUGAGAGAUACGUGAGAUACUUGCAUUCCACCACUGUAUGCUCGUAAGCAGGCCAAUGAACUUGAGUCCCAGAGAACAAUGAGAUCCAGAAGACCAUCUGCAAACUGCUAUGGACGUAAGAGAAUGCGAAAUCUUAAGUGUGACCUUGGACUUGGGGUUACCCCAAGGAACGUUUUGCAGCAAAACCAUCACGGAUGCUCCCUCCAUCACUCUCCAGUUGACGAGGAUACCAGUUAGGCGUAAGCCAUGUGUAAUUUCCUCUGCAAAAGGAGUGGAGCUCCAUCAUACUGCGUGGUAUUCACUGAGUUGGCCAUCUCUCUCGCAUGAAGCUGGUGAAACAGAGAAAGUUUUAUGUCACGAGAAAACACCUUCGUUUGUGACCUCAAUGCGAGCUGCUGGGAGUUAGUCUUCAUUGAUGAAAACGAUCGAUCUCUCCGGCCUCCCUAAAGAAAAACACAGAAAAGUCCAGGAAAAGGAAAUCACACUCAGCAAGAAGAUCUACUUACAUGAUCGGCAUCUCACAGUCCUCUUGCGCUGAUUGCCUCCACAGCACCCCUUCUCUGUGAAUCCAUGAAUGUCGGUGCUGAUCCCAUGGCCGUCAUUUCAACACCCCCGAGGAGCUGAAAGACCGAGCAGGAGCUGCGCAACUUACGUAGUUUGCUCGGAAGGGCAAACUAUAAAUGCUUCACUUAACAGAUCGGCAAUAAAUCGAAGUGAUCUAUUAUAAGGCGAGCAAACUUUGUGGCCUGCACAUCGCGAACGAAUUCAGUAACCAGAAAAAUAAAGUUUCCACUACCUCGAGAUUGCGAUGUCUUUGUCGAUCCUCAUUACAAGGACCAUGGCAUUCUGAAGCGACUCUUUCGUGCUCAUAAGCUCCAUCAAGGGCUUUCCAAGCAGCCGGUACUCAUGUAACUUUAGAGGGUCUUCAGAUGGAAUGGAAGAACUACACUUAACAAAAGAAGGAAAUCAGUUUCUAUCCAAAAUAGACAGAGACCUAUAAGGAAGGGACGUGCAAGGCUUCACUCGUGUACAUUCCGCCACAAGCUUAGCACCUGGACAUGAAUGCUCCGCCGCUCGUAAGAGGUACAUUAUAAAAAAAUCGCAGCGUGUUACGCGAAUAAACAGAACCAGAAAUACCUGGAAAGCUGAACACUGAUCGUAUGUAUCCCCACAACAGCAUUUUCAGCUAGUACGAAAAAUAAAUGAAAGCGAAAAAAAAAAAACUCACGUUGAAUCUUAUAGAGAGAUGCCUGGAAUUGAGACAUUUGCAUCGUAACACUGCUCCCAGCUAUCAAAUCCUCGUCACAACCCCGCCACUGACAUCGAUGUAUCCUACUUGGAACAGUCUUCCACCGGGAGCGCUUUCACCUAUGCAUGAAAAGUUUUACGCUCUUCCUGUAAGCUUUUUGAGCGACUUACUUUGACAUACGUGAGAUACUUCCCUUGCUGUAUGCUUGUAAGCAGGGCGAUGAGCUUGCAGUCCUGGAUAGAAAUUCGUCUGCAAACCGCUAUGAAAAGACAACGAGAUCUUAGAGUGUGUACCUUGGACUCGGAGAAGCCUUCACUAGCCCAAGGAACUUUAAACAUCACGAAUGCUCCCUCCAUCACUCUCCAGUCGCUUCUCAGCGACGAGGAUACCGGUCCCGAGUAGCUGGUCGCAGCGCGUUUCCUUCUCUCGCUGUCACACUCGACUUUCAUGCCAUCGAGCUUGCCGUAGUAAGGUGCUCCAGGCGCUGGACCGUAGGUGAAAACACCGUUGUACCGCCAGAAGCGUAAGAUACGUAUCAAGCUCUGCAACAAGAGUGGAGUUCACAUGUUAUUUUAGCUCUUUCUUGAAGACCACUUAUGUAAAAUCGAAAUACAUCGAUACCUUUCGGAUUUAAUGUCGACAUCUGCGACAAAUCCUGAAACGCAGCUAGCAGUCUUUUAGAAUGUAAACAUUCUAUGUACCCCAUGUCAGUAGAAAAACGCUGUUUUUUGGUCCUUCUACAACCGUGGCGACAUCAACCGCUGGUUUGUGACUUAACGCAAAUAACUCCCUGAACGAUAUUCACGGAUUUUGGCCAUGUCUCUCGCAAGCUGGAUUUGAGUCACUGAAAUAAAAUAAACUACAGACGAGAAGAAAACAAAACAAGUGAAAGUGAAACCUUUUUUUCGUGACCUCAAUGCGAUGUCCUGGGAGUAGUGGCAAAACACCCUGAAAAAAAAAUUCCAGGAAAAUACAGCUUGUUCUAGGAAAAGAUCUACGACUCCAUUCUAUAAAAAGUUUCGCCCUAAUCUAAAGUAUCUCUGGUAUAUAUUCUUCGCAUCUCUUCAUUAACUUCAUGCAUGGGUUUUUCAGCUUCAUUGCUGAGAAAUCGAUACCAUGCGAGCCUCGCGGAUGAAACUCACAUAAAUCCAGUGGCAUUGAAGCUGAUGGCAACACUCCACAAUCCAGCCACUGUAAAAACAUAUAAAAGGAUUAAUCUUCCUGUCGACUAUCUUAUUGGCAACUUCUAGCUUUCAAGAAAACCUAUACCGAGGAACCGAAAUGUUUAUCUAUAGCAUAAAAUCCUCUUUUGCCGUGCGUCCGUACGAUUUUUUUGGCAAGCUCACAUCUGAGCCGUACAAUUCGUGGCGACGGUGCAGAUGUAAGCAAUUGUGAACCGUUUGCUGAAAGUAUAGUUUGCACAAACUAUCUCCGGCCGGAUAUAAAACGAGGCGGGAUCACAGCCCAAGAAGAGCUUCUCAACAUCUAGCUGCAUUCAAUCCUGUGAAACCGGUAACAGUUUGUAGAGUUUUACCUCUAAAUUCUGCGUUCUCUAAGUUCUUGCGUGUUUCACUUUCAGGUUGUCCGUGAUCGCAUCGCACAUUCCUGGACGAACUGACAACGAGAUUAAAAACCACUGGAACACACACCUCAAGAAGCAAUUGUUGCAAAUGGGGAUCCUGUGGUUCUGUUCUUCACGUUUUCAUAUUACAUUUAUAAAGGAUUACUGUAAGAUUUAAAUCAGACAAGUUUCUAAUAUGGGCAAUAGUUUCAGAAGUUUACUAGAAGCAUGAUCUUUGAAUGUACAUUCGUCAACAUAUCAACCCAACUACAAAUAAAAUACUGAAUGCCCGAGUUGUUCUGGUACGUCCAGAAUCUCAAUGAAGAGGCUGAGAGGUUGCAGCGAAUGUUACAAGCUGGGAGAUUUCUUUUCAAAGCUUUUGACAUUUUUUUAUUGGACACAGGUCCGUAUACUGCAGAAUGAAGUGGAGCAAAAGGAACGCAAACGGAUGAAUCAAGAACGAAAAAAAGUAUCUGUGUAGCAUAACUCUCACGGACAGUGGCAGCAAAGUUCAGGCAUGUUCUUGCGGAACGAGAUCAGCAGCUGUAGAAUCUGUAGCUGAACUCGCUUCAGAGCCCGUAACAGUGCCACUUUGAUUUAUAGCAUCAUGGAGGCACCAAAGAUGGUGUGAACAUAAAAACAUGUGAAAGAUUCUGAGUUGGAAUGCUGCUCCAGGUCUUACUCUCAUAAUCCAGAAAAUAAAGCUUUUCCUCCGGAAUCAUGAAGGUGCCUUCGUAAAAACAGAUUGGAGGGAUAGGAUAUUGUUCCUCAUUUAGCUUGCUUUAGCUUGCAGUCGCGGGAUUUUAUAGCUGAUAGCAUCGAGACCGUCAUGGGUGGACAGUGGUACGAUGCAAAUGUCUCCAUUCCAGGCUGCGAGGUGAUCGACUAUGCUCCCCUUUCUCUUUGUUGUUUCUUUUUGGUCUUCUCAUUCUUCCUUUGUGCUUUAGAUGCCAGGAACUCUCAUUGCAAUGGGAAGGCUGAAUCAACCAAGCAUUAUGGAACUAUCAAAGUAAGUUUUCUCUUUCUUUUUGGUUUCUUUUGUUCGCACUUGCUGAAACUGUUGAUUCAGCCAGGAGUCCUGAACGGGCAUGCGUACGAUAUAGUGUCAGCUUUCCAGGUAUUUCUGGUUCGUUUUGUUUCUCAUGGUGGUCACGUAUAUUGAGUUAUUUGUGCAGUUAAAGGUGAAAUUGAAAAUGAUGUUAAGUGCAAGUGGUCUAAUGUAAAUAAGUAAUAUUUAAGAAAUUAUUGUUUAAAGCUUUUUUUAUGAUGAUAAUGUGGUUGAAAUUGGUGGUGUGCAAAGUAGUGCAUACUGAGGAUGAUGUGGUGGGUGAGGCAAAGAAUGUUGGCAAGGGUGAUAAGGUAGUAGUAGCAGCUGCAAAAGUAUUUUGAAAAUAUCCUUCAGAGUUGAGAGGACAUUGUUUGUAAUGGGUUUUGAUCAAAAUGUUAUAUUUUGUCUUAUAGUGAAAUUCAAAGAUUUUUAAUAAAUCAUAUUUUCAUUGUUAUAGUUGGGUCCUAGCACUAGAAAGAAUCACAAAGAUGCUACACUAUACAAAAGCUACCUCACGUUUUUGGGUGACAAGAACUUUUCCAGUGAAUGUCGAGCGAAUGUCACAGCUUUUUGAAAUCCUUUACCUGAAAUAGCACAAAAGACUGGGACAUUGAGAAUGAAGCAGACCUUUAGAUAGCCAACUUUGUUGGCGAGCAACACAAUGGUGGGGAAUCAUCAUUGGCAGGGGAUCAAAGUUGCCACUACCCAGCGCCUUUACAAGGACAAUGGCAUGUCAAGUGACUCUCGUAUCUUUCAGCUUCAAAAACUCUGUCAAAGUGCUUUCCAGGCACUCUUGAGGAAUGGAAAGUGUGAUUCCAGGUCUUUAGAUGGAAUGAAAAUACGCAUGUACAAAAGAAGGUAAGUUCUAUCGAGAAGAGACAAAGACCUGUAUAAAGGACCCAAGGCUUCUCUGGCACUGGCCAGCUGUGUAUAUUCGGCCACAAGCUCAGGACCUGGACACGAAUGCUGCAAACUUUCAGUCGCUGCUCGUCAAAAGUACGUUAAACAACAAAUUCUCGAAAGAAAAAAGAACCAAAAAUAUGCCUGGUUGCUGUAGCAUUUGCAGCUACAAACAAAAAAAUUGAAAACGAUAAGAAAGAACUCACGUUGACAGUUCCUCCGUGAUCGAUUACGUCACCAUCAACGUCGAUGUAUCCUGCUUGGAACACUCUUCCACUGGGAACACUUGCACCUAUAAAUGCAUCAAAGAUCAAACAAAGCUUCGAGUGAGAGAUACGUGAGAUACUUGCAUUCCACCACUGUAUGCUCGUAAGCAGGCCAAUGAACUUGAGUCCCAGAGAACAAUGAGAUCCAGAAGACCAUCUGCAAACUGCUAUGGACGUAAGAGAAUGCGAAAUCUUAAGUGUGACCUUGGACUUGGGGUUACCCCAAGGAACGUUUUGCAGCAAAACCAUCACGGAUGCUCCCUCCAUCACUCUCCAGUUGACGAGGAUACCAGUUAGGCGUAAGCCAUGUGUAAUUUCCUCUGCAAAAGGAGUGGAGCUCCAUCAUACUGCGUGGUAUUCACUGAGUUGGCCAUCUCUCUCGCAUGAAGCUGGUGAAACAGAGAAAGUUUUAUGUCACGAGAAAACACCUUCGUUUGUGACCUCAAUGCGAGCUGCUGGGAGUUAGUCUUCAUUGAUGAAAACGAUCGAUCUCUCCGGCCUCCCUAAAGAAAAACACAGAAAAGUCCAGGAAAAGGAAAUCACACUCAGCAAGAAGAUCUACUUACAUGAUCGGCAUCUCACAGUCCUCUUGCGCUGAUUGCCUCCACAGCACCCCUUCUCUGUGAAUCCAUGAAUGUCGGUGCUGAUCCCAUGGCCGUCAUUUCAACACCCCCGAGGAGCUGAAAGACCGAGCAGGAGCUGCGCAACUUACGUAGUUUGCUCGGAAGGGCAAACUAUAAAUGCUUCACUUAACAGAUCGGCAAUAAAUCGAAGUGAUCUAUUAUAAGGCGAGCAAACUUUGUGGCCUGCACAUCGCGAACGAAUUCAGUAACCAGAAAAAUAAAGUUUCCACUACCUCGAGAUUGCGAUGUCUUUGUCGAUCCUCAUUACAAGGACCAUGGCAUUCUGAAGCGACUCUUUCGUGCUCAUAAGCUCCAUCAAGGGCUUUCCAAGCAGCCGGUACUCAUGUAACUUUAGAGGGUCUUCAGAUGGAAUGGAAGAACUACACUUAACAAAAGAAGGAAAUCAGUUUCUAUCCAAAAUAGACAGAGACCUAUAAGGAAGGGACGUGCAAGGCUUCACUCGUGUACAUUCCGCCACAAGCUUAGCACCUGGACAUGAAUGCUCCGCCGCUCGUAAGAGGUACAUUAUAAAAAAAUCGCAGCGUGUUACGCGAAUAAACAGAACCAGAAAUACCUGGAAAGCUGAACACUGAUCGUAUGUAUCCCCACAACAGCAUUUUCAGCUAGUACGAAAAAUAAAUGAAAGCGAAAAAAAAAAAACUCACGUUGAAUCUUAUAGAGAGAUGCCUGGAAUUGAGACAUUUGCAUCGUAACACUGCUCCCAGCUAUCAAAUCCUCGUCACAACCCCGCCACUGACAUCGAUGUAUCCUACUUGGAACAGUCUUCCACCGGGAGCGCUUUCACCUAUGCAUGAAAAGUUUUACGCUCUUCCUGUAAGCUUUUUGAGCGACUUACUUUGACAUACGUGAGAUACUUCCCUUGCUGUAUGCUUGUAAGCAGGGCGAUGAGCUUGCAGUCCUGGAUAGAAAUUCGUCUGCAAACCGCUAUGAAAAGACAACGAGAUCUUAGAGUGUGUACCUUGGACUCGGAGAAGCCUUCACUAGCCCAAGGAACUUUAAACAUCACGAAUGCUCCCUCCAUCACUCUCCAGUCGCUUCUCAGCGACGAGGAUACCGGUCCCGAGUAGCUGGUCGCAGCGCGUUUCCUUCUCUCGCUGUCACACUCGACUUUCAUGCCAUCGAGCUUGCCGUAGUAAGGUGCUCCAGGCGCUGGACCGUAGGUGAAAACACCGUUGUACCGCCAGAAGCGUAAGAUACGUAUCAAGCUCUGCAACAAGAGUGGAGUUCACAUGUUAUUUUAGCUCUUUCUUGAAGACCACUUAUGUAAAAUCGAAAUACAUCGAUACCUUUCGGAUUUAAUGUCGACAUCUGCGACAAAUCCUGAAACGCAGCUAGCAGUCUUUUAGAAUGUAAACAUUCUAUGUACCCCAUGUCAGUAGAAAAACGCUGUUUUUUGGUCCUUCUACAACCGUGGCGACAUCAACCGCUGGUUUGUGACUUAACGCAAAUAACUCCCUGAACGAUAUUCACGGAUUUUGGCCAUGUCUCUCGCAAGCUGGAUUUGAGUCACUGAAAUAAAAUAAACUACAGACGAGAAGAAAACAAAACAAGUGAAAGUGAAACCUUUUUUUCGUGACCUCAAUGCGAUGUCCUGGGAGUAGUGGCAAAACACCCUGAAAAAAAAAUUCCAGGAAAAUACAGCUUGUUCUAGGAAAAGAAAGUAUCUCUGGUAUAUAUUCUUCGCAUCUCUUCAUUAACUUCAUGCAUGGGUUUUUCAGCUUCAUUGCUGAGAAAUCGAUACCAUGCGAGCCUCGCGGAUGAAACUCACAUAAAUCCAGUGGCAUUGAAGCUGAUGGCAACACUCCACAAUCCAGCCACUGUAAAAACAUAUAAAAGGAUUAAUCUUCCUGUCGACUAUCUUAUUGGCAACUUCUAGCUUUCAAGAAAACCUAUACCGAGGAACCGAAAUGUUUAUCUAUAGCAUAAAAUCCUCUUUUGCCGUGCGUCCGUACGAUUUUUUUGGCAAGCUCACAUCUGAGCCGUACAAUUCGUGGCGACGGUGCAGAUGUAAGCAAUUGUGAACCGUUUGCUGAAAGUCCCAUGGAGAUAGUUUUGUUUUUGAAUCCUCACAACCUUGUUCAUUCAUUCUAGGGUUUCGGGAGGGCGGGGAGCGCGCGUCGCCGCUCGCGUGGAUCUUGGUAAGCGCCUCGAAUCUCUCUCGCUCCCUCAAUCGAUCUAGCAGGCAUUGUGAGAUUGUUCGUAGCUCCCUGACCUGAUCAGUUUGUGUUCUUGGAGCUCUGCUCCAAGAAAAGCUCCUGGACAAUCCUUCUAUUCUUUCAACGCAGUGUAUUUGUCUGGCUAACUGAUCUUAAAACACCGUUUUUCUUGUCCUAAGAAAUGCCUUUUGGUUUGGUACUUUAGCCUGGCUUUAAGAUUGAUGAGCUCCUUCUAAGCAUUCGAUCUUUCUGUGCCUCGAGGCAUCCGACCUCCUCGAGAUCACACAGACUUGGCAGCUUUUCUUUCCAUGCUUGUUUUUCGUUUGCUUUGUAGUUCAUUUGUCUGGCUAACUAAAUUCCUUUGCUACUUUUCUAGAAUCAUCGAGCCGGAACGAGGUGCUCUUGAACUUCUUUCGAAGUCCUUAUAAGUUUUAACGCUACUGCUUUCAUGAACUUCUCCCGACUGAUCGCUCGCUGUUUCUUUUUCCACAAGGCAGCGUACCUGGUCCUUCCAGGAUCGAUCAAACUUCCACGAGAUCUGGCAACGCGCACCGCCAAGCAGCGUUUUUGACUUGUAUGGAGCUAUCAGAUGUCAACCCGCGUAUCUAAACCGCUCAAACCGGGGCUACAAACUUGCGACUUACGGGGCCGUUGUGGACCACUCCAAAGCUUACUCAGCUUCGCGAAGAAUCUGGAAAUCUGGUUGAGAGCAGAUAACUCGGCGGCUUAUAUGAUUCGAUGCGAUCUGAUACGUUGAAUCCUUCUUUCAAGUCGGCCGAUGCUGAUCAAGUCAACCGAGUAAAUCUCCAAAACCGUGUGGCGCACAGGUCAGUGGGACGUCUUUCUUCUCCGUACUUAACUGUGGUUUCUAGUCAGUUCCAAGCUUCUAACUGGUCGAUUUUUUCUUGUUUGCUGAUACUGCUACGAGCCAGGGACAAUAAAGGAAGAUGUGAUCCAGUUGACCAGUUAUAGAUCAAAGCUCUCGGAAACAUGGGCCACCGUUCUCACGUGGGCAGCCCGCCUUGGUCACCAAUAACAGUGCCUUGUGGUGGCGAGCCGGGCCCUUGAGUUGCAUAGAUUCGCGAGCGAAAACGAACUGUAUGGUAUCCCAUUCUCGACAGCGGACGGCGCGUGGAGCGAAGCGGGGGUCCGUUGUGAAGUAUCUAUCGAGCUCACGUGAAAAUUAUCCAGAGCUGCUUCCUUUCAUUAUGUAUAUAGUCGGGGAGCUAUAAUGGAGCAAGCUACGAGACAACAAAACAAGCAGAGAGGUAUGCUUGAGAAUUGAUGUGAGUUUGGAAUUUUCGGGUGUGGUGACACUGGAUAUUGACUUUGAAAUGUUUUCCCCAUUCGAUUUUAUAGGAAAGGAGAUGGCGAAGGAGAUGCAGGCCCUAGGAGCUGCUAUUUCUCGUCUUCUUCUUUGUUUUUUUCUUUACAACGGGAGGAGGUACGUUAUGUGUCUCUUAUCGGGUGGAAUGGAAACAUCAGGGGAUCUGAGCUCUACUAUCGAGCGUACGGGUUCUUGUGGGCCUCUACAACAGCGACGCAGUCGACCCUGAGAGCGAUCCGGAUCUGCGAAAAUCCUGCUGCUCUUAACAGAUCUCGGAACUCGCGUUCAGAUCUUUCCUUGCCAAGGAAAUGCGCCAUCAUGACCAAGUCGUAACUUAGAGCCACCCGAGCUCGCUGGCUGUGAUCCCCCGGGUCAGGUGCGAGGAACUCCACCAUUAUGAUCUUGCCUCCGUUCUUGAGCGACUUGUAGCAGUUGUUCAACACUUUGAUGCAGGAAUCGUCGCUCCAGUUGUGCAUUAUGUGCUGCGGCAUUAAAAGCACCAGGCAAGUUAGACACUCUUUAUCAACUGACGGACUUGGAUAGAUAAUGCAAAAGCUUUUAUGCAGGUCUUGUCGAGUUACCUUUAAGUACAUCCCGUCUCCGCCUGGGAUUUGCUCGAACAUAUUUCCUCCAACGUGCUUCAUUCCUGAAGAGGAUUGAAAGAUAAGAGCCAUCAGCAACGUGAUAUACUUCUCAAAGCCAAAGCGAGCAAGGCACACGAAGGCAACAGGAAAACAAACAGGAAAGCAAACAGGAAGAAAGCAGAAGAAGGGAAAGACUAGUACUGACCAUCGUACUCCGGAGCACCAGCAACAACGUGAGGAAGGUCGAAGUUAAUCCCGUGAAUGUGGGGAUACUUGGUGAGUAUCAUUGCGAGGCUGGAUCCAGUGCCACCCCCGACAUCCACCAGCGUCUUGGUAUCCUUGAAGCCGUGGUAAUUGUUCACGAUGGCUUCCAUGUAGAUCUCCGACAUGUCGGACAUGGCAGUGUUGAAGAGGUUGCUCUCCUGGGGGUUGGCUUCCAGGAACUCAAACAGGUUGCGGUCGUGAGCCUUUGCAAACGGGACAUCGUCCCCGAGCACGGCAUCGUGGAGGUGAUGCAGCGACUGGAACAGCUGCUUGUCGUGCCUCACCAGCAGCAACGUCGACAGUGAAGCCCCGCCAGCGUUCCGCAGCAAGUACUUGCAAAUCGGGGUGAGGCCGUAGACUUGCUCCGGCUCGCCCGACUCGUCGUCCACCUUCUUGGCCUCGAAGAUGUCGCAGCUGGCCAGGAAGCGGAGGAUGCGGUCCAGGUGAUUGACGUUAACGCUCUUCUUGUUCUUGUUGGAGCUGACUCGCUUGGAGAUCUGUCGUGCAGACAGCAUGGUGCCUUGCUCCGCGUCAGCCAUGAUCUGAGGCACGUCCAGGAGAGUUAUGGCCUUUAAAGCCAUUGGGACAGUGCUGAGCGACAUGAGCUCCAGGAAAUUGAGACGCUCUCUGUCGUCUGACAGCACCUUCUCCUUCCUCCCGGUACCGUUGGCGCGAUCUAUGCACUGGAGCACCUCAAAGUGGUUGUGACUGCGGAUGUGUUCGUCAGCAACGCUCUGCUCAAUCUCAAGCAUCUUCGAUCGCUCUCUUUCUCUCUCGGUAAGUAUUUGCAAGCUUUUUUUCUAUUCUUUUUUUCUUUUUUUUGUUCUCUCGGCCUUACUGAUUGCGCGACUGCAGGGAAGCGAUUCCUCCGAAACAGAGUGAUGGCUUUUUAAGCUGCUUCAGGACAAACCACACGAGCGAGAAGUGGAAAAACAAAGAAUUUACGAGCUGAGAGAGAUGCUUUGGAGCCGCCCGACAAGAUGGAACGAAUGCGCAACGAAGCACGAACAAGGAAUGCGAGACAGGUAAACGAAUGGCCACUAGGCUUGCUUGCUAGCACAGCCAGUGCCGUGUUUCGAGAAGAAAGAUUGUGCUUGACUUGGUUUUCGUUGAACUGUAGAUUCCGGCUGGUGUUUCGCGCAAUGAUGCAAAGCAAACGCCACCGAGGAAGACAAAACAAAGACAAAGAGGAGAGAUUUGGGCCCAAGCAAGCAGCAGCAGUGCCGGCGAGAAGAUUGACGAGCGAACAAAAGGUGAGCUACUUUUCUCGCUCGCUUCGCUUCGCUUCUCUCGCUCUCUCGCACCCUCCCUUUGUAGUAGUGGUGGUGGUAGUAGUAGUAGUAGUAGCACUGUGUAUUUUUGGAAUGGCACUGUGUAUGUACUUCCUCAGGGUCUUCUUAUAUACAGAACAGGAGGGCUUUGGGACGUGCGUAAGCCCUACAAGUCCCGACGGAAAAGAAUGGAAGGAUGGAAAAAAACUAGAAAUAUUAACUGUGGAGGGGGACAUGCUUCCAUCUCUCAACCACCACCUUUCAUGAUCUUGGCAAUGCCCGAAUGUAUUGACUUGCUCAAACUGGGGGGGCCAAUAUGGCCGGGGGUGUCGGUCGGAUUGUGUUGCGAAUUUAACGCUAAACCCGUGGGAAGUAUGGUGUGAAGAGACCGCUUAACCAUAGGGCGAGCUGGUUGAUAUCAUAUAAUAUGAUAUGGAUUUGCAGACACCAUAGGGCGAGCUGGUUGAUAUCAUAUAAUAUGAUAUGGAUUUGCGGAAUGAUUUGGUUGUCACCAUCGGGCAAUUUGCAUUUGGUUCCUCCUCCCAUAUCUGUAGACGCGGGGAGGUUUCAAUCGCUUUGGCGAGCGAUUGCUACCCGGGAGUGAAGGGGGUGCUGGCGAUGUGAGCACAAUUUACAGCUCUCAUGUGGCCUGGCAUGGGGGACGAGAGACAGUUUUUAGACUCGUCAUAUUUUGCUUUUUCUUCUUCUUCUUCUUCUUCUUCUUCUUCUUUCGUCUUCUCCUCAGUUCGAUAUAGUGCGUAUACAUUCGUGUCAGACUCGAACUUUGCAAGCUGUUCUAAAUUUGUAAUCUUUUUUUUCUAGCUUUCCUUUUUUUUUUUUCUUUCCUUUUUUGCUUUUUUUACGGAGGAACACAUUACUGUCUUCUGAGUUGUUCGUACAUGCUGCCAAUCUUGUCAGAGGCCGCGAGGUGCAAAACCACGUAAGUCGGACUAAACAUUCUCUUUUCCUUUCUUUAUAUUUUCUUAUUUCCCAAUAUCCGCGCAAAUCAAUAAUUAUAUAUAUUAAUAUGUCUUUUGUAAAGUUGGAGAACACGAAAUGAGACUGAACGUUUGACUGAGAGCAUCUGGUUCCCAAUUAAUAAAUAAGGAAGAGUCAUAUUCUAUAAGCAAGAACAAGAAAGAAACAUUCCCGCCGCUGUAACUUGCAUCGGAAAACCAUAUGAACCGGAUAACAUUAUCAAUUCUCGAGAAACAAAAAACAGAAAGAUCUUCCAUGGGCAUGGUCCAUUUCGCGUGCUUUGCUUGUGUAAAGGCUACGUCUGGUCUAGUAUACCCCAUUUUGGGAUUAGACUUGUGUAGGCCAAACACCCAUCCGAUGUCCAAAAAACGAUACGGUGCUGCAACCAGGUGCAUUCAAUUGGAGCACACUCUGUCUGAUUUCUCGGGGAGAACAUCUUGGCAACGACACGACAGGAUCACAUGGAAUUAAGGCCUCCGCGACAGAAGGCUUACAAAAGCAACAGACGAGGAGCGAAAACAAAGUUGGUCUUCAGAUAUUUGGCGAGAAAAAACUUUCGGAUCCGACACUGUUCACAAACCACGAUACCUGGAUUCUCAGCCAGCGCCCAUAAACAUUGCUUGUCUCGGAAGCAGCGAAAACAAACAAGAAAGCGCAAAAGACCAAGAGAUUGUACAUGCGUUCUUCAAUUGCCUUGCUCGGGAGAUCGGGACCAUCCACGUGGACGGUCAGAAACAGCACAUGAGGAGCCCUAAUUCGCUCGCAGCUGCCUAGGGCUUUAUUCGCAAGGGGCGGGGUUUGGUCCAUCCGGAAAGGUAUGAUGCCCGUCGUUUUUGCUAGAGAGAGCCCACUCUGCAUCUGGGCGCCACGAGAUUCUGGAUCUACAUCUAGCAGCGGUAAAAAAAAAUUUGGGCUUUGUUUUGCAGAUGAUUGAUGAUCAGGAUCUGGGCUUCUUUGCAAACUUCCUGGGAAUAUGCAUUUUUGUGCUGGUGGUGGCAUAUCACUAUGUAGUGGCAGACCCCAAGUAUGAGAUUACCACAUAGGUAGUUGAAAUCCAGUUGAAUUCAGCAAAGGUGAUGCUGCUGCUCCUGUUUUUUUAAUAAAGAGAGGGGAUGGGGUCAACUGAUCUUCCCUGAUUUUUCCUUGUUUUUCUGGAGGCUGUUCAGCAAGUCAGAGGGGUGCUGCAGCUUUUGUAACAAGUGCAGGGGAACAUCACCAACAAGUUGUGGGGUUUCUGCUGGUGGGUGUUGUGGAAAGGAAAGGUGCGAUUCAACUGCUAUUGUGCAAAUUCUGCAAAUGGUGGCUGGGCAUACCCAUGAAUGCAACAAAAUCAUUCUUUUUUCUCCUCCUUUUUUCUGGUUGUUGUUGGCCUUUGUCUUCCACCCCCUCCAAAUCAUUUGAGGCAUCAUAAUCAUAAAAAAAAUGAAAAACCUCUCUCACACACAGAUUUGGAGUUACAGGACUUUUAUAGCUACAUUUGUCCACAUGUUUUUUCUGGUUUGUUUCUUUUUUUUAAAUAUCCUGGCGCAACCGAAACAUUGCUCUAAAUUGCCACAUGCUGCACAAAAACACAAACCAAAGAAACUGAAAAAAAAAUUUAAAAUUUACGAAGGAUGGAGGAAUUGGUCCCAACCUCCUCUUCUAUGCAAAUGCGCUGCCAUGGCACUUGCAAUUGCAAUUCAAGCACUUGCUCCCUGCAAAAAGGCGCGCUUCUCUCAUGUGAUUUCUUCAAUAGCUCUGGAAUAUUCCCUGGCACGAGAAUAUUCGUAAGGUUUUGGCGGCGACGAAGUAUUUUUUGGCGGGAGUUUUGAAACCACGGCAAAGACCUAAAGAUAGCGUGCUGGGACAGCCGUCCACGUCGAGCGGCUGCGAUGCCUCCACGUUACAGAUCGUGAAACGGCCAUAACAUCUGUGCCGUUGAAAUAAAGCCCUAUCUUGCCAUUCCCGCUUCUCUGUCGGUUCUUCUCCCCUCUUGGCGGCGUCUUUGCAAACGCCCUUCCUCGAGGGAGUUCUUGGUGUUUCGGCGCCCGAUCUGUGAGCUAGCGCGGCCGCUACAUCGUUCCUGCGAAGAUGAGGGAGUGCAUUUCGAUCCACAUCGGUCAGGCCGGAAUCCAGGUCGGAAAUGCCUGCUGGGAGCUCUACUGCCUCGAGCACGGCAUCCAGGUAUGUUUCUAAGAGCUACAUUGGGUAGAUCUGCUUGGAUCUUGCGUUCUUGAUGCCUAGAUCGGAGAUUUUGGGUGUUGAUUGCUAGAUCUUAGCGAGUUUUUGGGGGUUUUACUCAAAUGCGUCUUAGAUGUCGGAUCUUGCGCUGCUUGAGUGUUUUGGCGAGAUUUCUUGGUGUUGUUUCUUGAUCUAGUGCCGUAAUAAUCGAUUUGUUUUCUUACUCAGCCGGAUGGAACAAUGCCGAGCGACAAGACUGUUGGUGGGGGCGACGAUGCCUUCAACACCUUUUUCAGCGAGACUGGAGCUGGAAAGCACGUCCCUCGCGCUGUUUUCCUCGAUCUUGAGCCUACCGUGAUUGAUGAGGUCCGCACUGGAACUUACCGCCAGCUCUUCCACCCUGAGCAGCUCAUCAGCGGAAAGGAAGACGCUGCGAAUAACUUUGCUCGCGGUCACUACACAAGUAAGAUGAAGCUCUUUUUUUUCGCAAACGAUGGCUAAGUUUUUUUUUCUUGGUGUAGUUGGAAAGGAGAUUGUCGACCUUUGCCUUGAUCGCAUCCGAAAGCUGGCUGACAACUGCACUGGGCUCCAAGGAUUCCUGGUGUUCCAUGCCGUCGGCGGUGGCACGGGUUCUGGGCUUGGCUCCCUCCUCCUGGAGCGACUUUCUGUCGACUAUGGGAAGAAGUCCAAGCUCGGAUUCACCGUUUAUCCAUCGCCUCAGGUGUCCACCUCCGUUGUCGAGCCUUACAACAGCGUCCUCUCGACGCACUCUCUCCUGGAGCACACCGACGUUGCUGUGCUGCUGGAUAACGAGGCAAUCUACGAUAUUUGCCGGAGGUCCCUUGACAUCGAGCGCCCGACUUACACCAAUCUUAACAGGCUCGUCUCACAGGCAAGUGUUUCUUUUCUCUUAAGUGUUGGCAGCUUUCUUACUUCAGUUUUCUUUCCGCACAGGUCAUCUCGUCCUUGACUGCCUCGCUCCGUUUCGAUGGUGCACUCAACGUCGACGUGACCGAGUUCCAGACCAACUUGGUGCCAUACCCGAGGAUCCACUUCAUGCUCUCGUCCUACGCGCCGGUCAUCUCCGCCGAGAAGGCGUACCACGAGCAGCUCUCGGUGGCCGAGAUCACCAACACCGCCUUCGAGCCAGCGUCCAUGAUGGCAAAGUGCGACCCCCGACACGGAAAGUACAUGGCCUGCUGUCUCAUGUACCGCGGCGACGUGGUUCCAAAGGACGUGAACGCGGCCGUGGCUACCAUCAAGACCAAGCGGACGAUCCAGUUCGUGGACUGGUGCCCGACCGGAUUCAAAUGCGGCAUCAACUAUCAGCCCCCGACGGUGGUUCCAGGCGGAGAUCUUGCCAAGGUCCAGCGCGCGGUGUGCAUGAUCUCAAACUCCACCAGCGUCGCCGAGGUGUUCUCCCGGAUCGACCACAAGUUUGACCUCAUGUACGCCAAGAGGGCGUUCGUCCACUGGUAUGUGGGCGAAGGCAUGGAGGAAGGGGAAUUCUCCGAGGCCCGCGAAGAUCUGGCAGCGCUCGAGAAGGAUUACGAGGAAGUCGGGGCCGAGUCCGCGGAUGGAGAGGACGAAGAGAACGACGAGUACUAAAAAGCUAGCUAUGGAGUUCUUGAAGUUCUUCGUUUCAAGUGUUCUUACUAAAGUGGUUUGGUUCUACGCUCUUUUCUCACGAGUGGUUUCACAGUAGAAGUUUGCAAUUCUAUGAUCUAUUCUCUUGGAAUUUGAUAGAGCAUCGUUUGACUUCCAAGAACAUUAGACAAUGGUGUACGGUAUGUCGCGUUCUUACCGUUCGUACAGGAGAAUAUAGCCGGGUUGAAAUGUCGGUGCGUCGUGUGCCACGUGGCGGGCCGUAAUUGGUCGGCGGCGGCUUUCGAGAGCGAGGCGCGACGCAUCCAAUGCAAAAGGGCCCCCGCGUCAGUCAAAAGUAGAGGAGAAUUUUAGGGUUCUUGCGCUUGGCAGCGCUGCGCUGAGGGUUUAGAUUGGAGCGCGCGCGCGCCUGGGCCCGGGGAUGAUCUACUCUCUGGUGGCUCAGCUACUCGCGGCGGCAUGAAUCGUCAUCUGCUGUUCGUCACCAGCGUUGUCGGAUUCUCGCUCGUGGGAUUCUACGUCGCGGAGCUCGUGGAGCAGCGGUACAAGGUAUGGAUGGAUUGGCGGGCGCUUCUUGCCUGCGAAUGUAGGUAGAUCCAGCAUGGCUGAUUUCUUGUUUCUACGUUCUUGGCUUGCAGCGAUCGAAAUAUCAAGAAGCGCUGGAUCAUCUUGCGGAGCUCAAGGCCCUGGAGAGCGCGUCUAUGCUCGAGACUGCCAGUGAGCGCAAGAGGAGCGAUUGAUUGUCGCGGUAGCGUAGUGUCAAAUGAAGGAUGCUGCUUCACUUUCGAGAUCCAUCAAAGCUCAAGACAAAGAGAGUAGGUGUUCUUGAUUUACUGCUCGUAAAGCUUGUUUGCUGUGUUUCUAGGUGGUGUUUGAGGCUACGUACUAUGCCCGCGACUCUGGAACCUUGGAACAGCUCAAGGAUCUCAGCACUAAAAGGAAAGCGAUUGAAGAAUCCAUCAAUGGAAGUAGCAAUCUCACCGCCGCAAUUGCGAGAGAGAUGGCUGGCGGCGUUACAUCUCCCAUCUUGCAGGUAUGUGCCUUUCGAGGAUUCUUUGCUGAGAAUCACUUUGUUUUUCUCUAGGACCUACAAAAGCUGGAGAAGUAUCUUCCUCUGCUUGAGAAUCUAGUGGCAAACGUGCUACAGCAGCAGAAUUUGCAGAUCCUGCAGUGGACAAGUGACUUGAAACUUCGGUGGACGAGUGCUUUGUGUGGUCCUUCCGGCCAUGGCUUGGGAGGGCCGAAGUACUGCCGGAUUGACGAUCUACGUUUCGAGCUAGCAAUGAUGCUCUCUCUUUAUGCGGCGUUGUUAAGAGAAAGAGCCAUGGAGUUGCUUGCGACCGGUAAGAUUUCCUUGUUGAUAGCCUGAUUGAUUUUGACUGUCGUUUUGCCAGACUUAGUCGAGUCCGCAAUGCUUUUCCGUAGAGCGUCCGGUGUGUAUCAUCACUUGUCCCAGGAUUUGCUUCCAGGAUUGCAGCCGUUACUAUCAUUGGACAAAUCUCCCGAGCUUACUUCGUCAAUGACAACGGCGAUGAGUCUUGUUUGUUUGGCUGAGGCGCAGGUACGAAGCAAUUAUUCUCACCUUCUUUGAUGUAACCAGCUUUUCCAGGCCGUCACCGUUCGCAAAGCCGAGCAAAACAUGACGAGCGGGAGCCUCGUCGCGAAACUCCACUAUGGCGUCGUGAUGUUUCUCGAGGAAGCCAUCAAUCUAUUGCAAGCUAGCUCCACUGACUGGAUUGACGUCUCAGACAAGCUAAAGGUGCGUUUUUCUUUCCUUUUUCUAGUUUCACUGAGAAAUGCUAACGGAGAUAGAUUCAUUCUAGAGGUUCGUGACUGCUUCCAGUGUUCUCCACGAGGCGAGAUGCCGGCGACUCAUCGCGGAAGAGUUUAAGAAGAUCGAGCGGUUGGGCAUGGCCGCGGGGAUUCUCCGUCUGGUGUCGAGGAAAGCACACCUUGCCAAGCCUCCAGGUUUGGAUUGGAUCACUUUUGGAUCAAUCAAUCUCAUGAAAGCGAAUUACUUUUCCUUGUUCCAGGGGAUGGUACGUCCAAGCUGGUGUUCAAGGCAGAGAUCACAGCACUGAACGAGAUGCUGCGAAAAUGCGAGCACGAAAACGAUUUCAUCUGGCGAGAGAAACUCCCACAGCCCGACGAGAUUCCACUCAUGGAAGGGAAGAAAAUUGUGUCGGCGAUUCCAUACAAGGCAUCGGGUCUGUGGCGAGAGCUUAUCUUCGUGGUGUGAUGGAAGAAGGCUUUUUUUUUUUUCUCGAGGAGACAAUUUUGGAAUAAAACUAGAAUAUGCGGUCGGAUCUUUAUAAGCAUAUACUUAAGGAUAUCCGAAGGGAUGUUCAUUGUUGCCCUAAAGUGGCAUCGUCGUGUUGGAUCGUGAUGAAAGCUUUGGAGCGCUUGCGGAGUAUCGCGUUGGGUCCUCGAUCAGCUCCAGCACCCAAGAGUGAGUACGCGCUACUUCUCUGAUCGAUCUCGCUCCUAUUUGCGCGAUUUUUCUCGAAGAUUUCUCGUAAUCUGGAGCGAGCGAGAGAGGAGAGAGAUAGGGAGAGAUAGAGGGCCCUUGCAUUGAUUUAGUACUUGUGCUUUGCUCCAGGCAAGUGGGCUGAGCCACGGCGAGAGGAAGUGGUGGUGCCAAGGCAAUCGCUUCUCCUCAAAUUGCGAGGCUUUGUGGGCGUCUUCCUCGUGAUCAAUGUCUGCAUUGGUGGUACGUAAAAAUCUCCCUGGUUCUUCUUCAUUCUUGUUGACUCUUCUCGUGAAUCGAGAGGCAGCAAAGAUGAAGAACAAAAAAAGAGUUUGAUGACUUACACUUGGUUUUUUUUUUGUUCUUCGUUGGCCCAGGCUAUUUAAUUGCGAAGACUACACCAAAAUCGAGCAAGAAGCAGCGUGCGCAGAAAAAGGACGCCGCAGAGUCGCCGCCGGCGGCCCAAGCUCCUCCCGCGCGAGUUCCUCACAGGAAAGUCACGGCCAACGAGCAGCGCCAGCUUUUCCAGUGGAUGCUCGACGAGAAGAGGAAGAUCAAGCCCGCGAAUUCCAUCGAAAAGGCCCGGAUCGACGACGAUAAAAAGGUCUUGAAGCAGUUUCUUCGAUCUACGAAUCUACCGCAGAUAUAGAACAUUUUUAUUUGUUCUUCUGGAGACAGUUUUGGUAGUCGCGAUUUAUGCGUUUUUCAUUCGGCGAACGUUUUUAGUGUAGUCGAUAUUUGAUUGAAUCAUUCGAUCCAAUGUUUGUGGAACUGGUUCUUAAAUUUAAAAUUUAAAUUUAAAUUUAUAACAGCUUUAAGUCAAAAGCAACAAAAUUCGUUAUUAUUAUUAUUAUUAUUAUUAUUAUUGAUGAUGAUGAUAAUAAUAUUAGGAGAGAAAAGAAUGUCAAAUUGAUGUUAUACAGUCCCAAGGAAAACCAAGAAGAAGAAGAAAGAGAAAUAAUUUUACUUUGGUGAGAUCCCAUACCUGUGGGCUCACUCUUAUAUGCUAAGUUAGAAGAAAGAGAACAAGUAGAAGAUCUUGGAAAGUUUUUUGUUGUCUUCUCUCUCUGUGAUCUCUCUCACCUUGAUAGGUCUCAAAGAUGAGAUUUUGCCCCUCCAAGAACUUGGGAAAGGAAAGAACUCACUCCUCCAGCAGCAGCAAAAAAAACCCUGGAAAUUCCCUCCCGAAGGAACUUGGACAACAAACAAAGCAGGAAAAAAAGGAGAAAAAGAAGGAAAAAAAAAAGAGAGAUUCAUCAAAAUGGUGGCCUAUUCCCAGCUGCUGCCCAGGCCAAGACUUCAGGUGGCAACUGCCCCAGUGAAUUCUGUGCCAGGUUUAACAAGGCCAUCUCCUGCUGGCUCGCCCCACCUGAGCCUCCCCCAGGCCCACCGGGCGACACAUUCACCAGGUGAUGGUUCCCUUGGACGCCCGGAUUCUCGCCACCUGUCUCGAGGCUCUCAUCCAAUGGCAGCCGAUCGUACGUCGCCCCUACAAAUGACGCGGCGAUAACUAGUACCGGGCUAGCCGCCAUGAGCACCCCGACCACGCUGCCCCCUAAGACCUGCCCCUGUUGCGCCCCGGCCAGUGCCACCGUCAGCCCCGCGACCGCGACCGGGGCUGGCGGCGGUAAAAAGGCACCGGAUAUGCUAAGAAUCUCGAAUCUACCGUGAAAGGUGACAGUGGAUCCCGGCGCCGCCAGCUGCCGCAGCGUCACGUUGGCCACGGUACCGCUACCGCCCAGUACGCAAAGUCCGCGAGCCCGGCGUCGCGCGAAUGCCGCCAGCGUCUCGCCCACGUCACAGCCGCCGGCGAUCUCCAGGACGUGGGGGCGCAUCGCGUUGCCCGAGUCGCGCGUAAUGAUGAUGGGCGGCUUGGGCUUGUUCUUGGAGCCCGGCGGUCGUCCGCGCGGUUUGCGUACUACCACCUCGCCGCCACCAACGCCGCCUGCGCCGCCGCCGCCGCCGCCGCCACCGCCGCUGUGGCUGUGAUCUUUGAGCAGCAGCGAGGAGGACGAAGAGCCGGCCUGGAGGAGCGCGGCGUUGUUGUUGUUGUUGUUAAUUCCUUUGGAGUUGCUGUUGUUGUUGUUGAUCCGUCCUCCGCCCACGACUCCGCCACCGCCUUUGCUGCCCCCGCUGCUGUUGUUCGAGUGAUUCUCGUCGUCGUCGUUCGAGUGGCCGCCGCCGCCGAGGUGAUGGUGUUGGUGAUGCUGCUGCUGCUGCUGCUGCUGCUGCUGUUGCUGUUGCUGCUGCUGGUGGAGGAGCUGGAGCUGGUGCUGGAAAGAUCCUGGAAUUCCAGCCAUGGAAACUUUCUGCUUCGCGGAAGAUCACCUCAACGCUUGAGCUGCUGUGCGAUGCUUACUUGAUCCAAGAAGCUUAUGCUUUGUGAGUCUUCUUCUCAAGCUCCAUAGCCGCGCAUUUGGAUCCUAAGAUCGCUCCACCACACUGUGGCAAGGAAGGAAACCCACUAGACUGUACAGAAGAUGCGGCCCUCGGUAGCACUGGAGGCUCGGUGACGUUCUUGUGCUUGGAUCCAAUCCAGUUCUUGAGAGAGCUCUAUCUAGAGAGGAGAAAGAGAGGACGUAGAGGGGAGAGAGAAGUGUGAUGUCCAGUCGGGACAAAAACCAAACCUUGGAAAGAUUCUUCCUCCUGUCACUGGCCUUCAUUCAAGAAGAGAGCCCACCGCUCGAUCUUUUGGGGAUAAGCUCGAGGACGCGACGACCAUUGCGUUGUGAAUCAAAAACCCUCCUUUUUCUCGCUUUUGUGCUGGUUUCUCUCUCCUUGCGAGCAAGAUCAAAUGAUGGUCUCCUGGAUUUGAUGGUACACUUGGCGCGCCGGGAUGGGGAAGAUCAAACUUUUGGUAUUGUUCGAGCUUCCACUGGAAAGCUAGCAAAGGAUGUAUGGAUUGGAUCAAAGAAGAAGAAGAGAAAUCUAGCAAUGCCGGAGAGGGGGAGUUUAGUAAAACGAAGCGAGCGGAGCGAGACAAGAAAAAACGAUCCGGUGUGAUUAAAAAGAAGAGCGCGUGUGUGUUCGUGGGGGCGAUUCAGCAGCUAUGAUCAUUUGACAAGUCGACCCUCUGAUUGGAUGAUUGAAUGGAGGGGGAAUUGACUGCUUCGUCGUCACGGCGAGACAACCCAAGCACUCAAAGCUGCUACUGCCGCUGCUCUCCUGAGCUCCUGUUACUGCUCAGGAGCUGAAUUAUCAGAAGGAAAUCCUUGUACAAAAGUCUUGUUAAAGUACCUUGUGGCCAGGUAGAGAAAGAAAGAAAGCAAAAAAAAGGAAAAAUGAGGAAAAAAAAGAGAGAUAAACGUUUAAGUGCACACCCAAAACAGGCUUCUGCUGCUGCUGCUGCUGCUGCUCCUGCUGCUCCUGCAACUUAGCCAAAAUCAGCCUCCUCUUUCUCUUCGAUUUGUGGAGAAUACAAUGAGCAAAGAUGAGAGCAAACAGGCUUUCGUUUGUGAGAGAGAGAAGAAAAAAAUAAGAGUAAACAAAGUGGUGUGCACAGCAGAUGAGGAGGGAAGUGAGGUGGUGGGCUCUUGAAAUAUAUAUAAUAUUUUUCUAAACAGGAAAAAUGGUUUUCCUUGAAACUUUUUUUCUCUUUUUCCUUUUUCUUUUCUCCUCUAAUGGAAACAUGGUUUCAAUGGUGAUGGUGAGAGGCUUGUGGGGAUUUGUGAAAUUUUGGUGACCCAGAAUUGUGGUGGGUGGAGCAGAGGCUUUGGGAUGAAUGAGAGUUGUGUGUGUGUUUGGAAUGGAUGGGAUUUGGGAUGAAGAGAUGGUUAGCUGACCAGUCUGACCCAAGAAUGUGGGGGUUUUGACCGGUCCUUGACCAUCUUUGACCGGCCACUUUUUGCUGGAUUUGAAAGGACUGGUGGCAGCAACCAACGAACAAACCUUCUCAAAUCCAACACAUUGAAUGUACGAAGCGAUGGAAAGAAUUGGUGGCUUGUAAGCUUUCAGAGAGAUACUGUGGCCCAUGGCACAGCCAGUGGGAUGGAUACUAUCAAAUUGCUAAAGCAUUAUUAUUUUGAAUAAUUUUGAACUUUUUUAUAUGAAUAGUUGUUUUCCAAAUUAUCAGAGAAGCGACAAUAAUGGUUGGCAGAUCCCAAGGCCUCCACUGCGACCACGUCGCCCUCGCGAUCCGACGGCUAUCAUUGCUCGUAUAUGACGACAAGUUGGCGUAGUCGUACCUUGGGGUAAAAGGUGAAAGUAAAUGUACAAAGUUAGAUUGGCCGGGGUUAGAAUCUGGUCGGCCGCAGCCCGACAAGCGUGCGUUAAAUCGACGAUUUCGAGAGGUCGCCUUGGUAUUUUACUGACGGCCUCGAAGUUAGUGCGCGUAGAAUACAGGUAUAUUCUUGUUUCUAAAAUACAAACAGCCGACCGUACUUUUCUGGUGAUCCAAGUUCUCAGAUGUUUCUGCGAGCCAGGAUCAAGCCAUAGAUUUAUUAAACGUUGCUCUACAUCCAAUUUUUUGUGGUGAGAAGAGACAAAAAUCGUGGAAGUUGUUUGAUUGAUUGAAAGCGUAGCAUCAAACCCAAGAAAAUGGAGUGAAGUGGAGCAAGAAUACGAAGAUAACUUAGAUCUAAAAAUCUAGUCUAGACUUUUGGCAAAGAAAUAUUCAAAGUGGUUUCUUUAACCCACUCUUAUAAGGUCAAAAAAAUUCUAGCAAUGAGUAAUAAUCCAGGAUAAAACAUUAGAAGGUGGAGAAAGACAAUGUUUCCUAGUAUGAAGUUCCAAUGAUAACUUGCUUGAAUCAGCUUCAAACAUUUCACAAGGUUCUCUAUACUCUCGAAAAAGAACAAUUUAGAAGAAAAAAAACUAGUCAACUUGUAAUGUAUCUCUAGAUUGCGUUUGCUCGCAACUCAAAACUGGAACUUACGAAGGAAUAUGGGGCCAUGGGGCAUUAACAAAGCCGAGCACAUACAAAACUAUAAUCCAUCCCAGCUAGAAUCUAUCGCUCAUUUUGGCUUGGCCCAAGAACAAAAGUCCUGGACAAAGAACUCGUUCAAAACCUGAAAAAAAAUUUGGAUUCUUCUUUUCUUCCUUAGAAAAACAUAAACCAAGCUCCUUUAUAGAGCUUGCAAGUAUGCAUUCCGCUUGGCCCGAAAGUACUUGGUUUCGUGUCACAAAUCACUAAUGCAAAGAUGCCGAGCAUCCGACCCAAGUGUUAGCAUUGAGCUGUCGAUCAUUCUGUCGAGAACAUGUGGGGCAUAGCGUGAUGGAUUAGCUCAACUUGGUUCUCACUUUAAACAUUGAUUAUACUAUCUUAUAAUAAUUAAUAUUGAAUUUUAAAGUGAUUUAACAAUAUAAUACCACGUAAUAACAGUGAAUGCGAUCCUUUGGACACCAGGCAAGAAUUAUUAAUCGUGGCUCUCCUAAAGAGCGAAGGGGAGCGAUCGCUUUCGAGUGAUGCAUAGACCCUGCGUGGUGUUUCUGGAGAUGGUGGUGUUGAUCUUGGGACGAUUCGAGUGGCACCGACUCGUAUAGUGGCAUGAUGUACGAAGCAAACACUAAAUUAAUGCGAUGCUCGGUGCUUAUUUUCUUGUCCAGGCUAGAAAACACCACCAUUUUACUUAGAAUAGCGUUUUCUAAUGGAACCGGCCACAAAGUCAAUCACAUGUUUUCUGGAAUCAAUUGUUAACAACGCGGCCGAGCAAAUCCAUCCAGGUCAGUAUGGAGUCGGGGAUUAAAAAAUGGCGACAAACAACGGAGAGAGAAAGAACAUGGGAUUAAAAAAUGGUGCAUUAUUAUUACUAAUAUUAUUAUCUAAACUAUUUAAAGCUAUAUUAUCAUCAUUAAGAAAUGGCAAGCGCACGGCAUGGACAAUGGAGCAACGAUGUUGAUUCCAUAUUGUAACACUGGCAUUGAGGCAUUUGCUCUACACUUAAUAAUUGUUCCACAUGGUUGGUCUCAAGCCCCACAUGGUUCUCAAAUUCCAAACCAUGUACCUCCAUUUAUUUUAUUGCAGAUAGAUCAUAGGCCAUAAAAAUAUGUAUAUUUGUAACAUCAGGGCCUAUCAUACAUUGUAUCGUGGUGUGAGCCCCCUUGAAUCAAGGAGACGGUGUGUUACAACCAAAGGCGCGACGGUCAGGCUUCCUUAUGCCACGUAGGACGCAUCCGACGGCUGCGAUGCGUUGCGACUUGGCGGUUUGAAAGAAUGACACGUGUCGAAUAUGGCCACGUGGAGGAUAUGGCCGCGAGGGUUUUCUGUUGCCCUUGUUCUUCCUCUCCAUUUUGCGCCGGCAAUGCAGGGCGGCGCCGGGCUUCCUCGCGGCGGAUUCGAGCGCUGGGGGAGAUUGGCGAUGGCGGCGAGGAUGGAAUCCUGCGAGGAGGUAUGUCGGAGGAGCUCGACAAGCUUUUCGGCGAUGAGGAAUCCAAGGCGCUGCUCCGGGAUUUGUCCGCGGCUGCUCGGCGCCUGGAUGCCGCCAAGCGCGAGAUGGAGGAUCUGGCCGGCAAUGUGGCGAGGGAGGAGGAUGAUCCCGAGCUCCAAGCCCAAGAGCGUCUUGUAGGUUCUAUAAUCUCUCUUCCAGUGAUGGAUUCUUUGGAUUGUGGAUGUUCCAGGUGGAGCAGUGCGAAGAAGACGUGAUCUCCGCCCAGGCCGAGCUGAAAGCCGCGGAGAUUGCUCUCAUCGUUGCUCGCGCCGGUGGAUCCAAGUGGGAAACUUCGGACGUGGACGAGGACGUGGAGAGGAUGGAAUCGGGACGAGCAGCUCUCGUCUCGGCAGUGGCUGGAACUCUUGCGAGCUUGCCGCUGGCUUUGAUCGGUCGAGAGGUGACAGGAUUGGUUAUCAGCGAAGCUCUGGUUCUCGUCACUUGUGCGGUGUUUGGAGUCACGUAUCGCUACAUCGUUCGAAGAGACCUUGGAAACAUCCAGCUCAAGAGCGGAGCCGCGGCAGGAUUUGCUCUCGUUCGAGGUAAAAGUUUGGUCUUUUUCUUCUUCUUUCAAGUGUUCGAUCUAAAACGAUGGCUUGUUAGUGUAGUUCUUGGACAACUCGAGAGUACGCAAGUUUUACCCGGUUCUUGGACGGCUUUGGAGUACCAAGCCGUAGCUCUUUUCGUCGGGCAAAGCGUGGUGAUGUUCUUGGCUGCUGCCCUGGCUUUGGAUCUGUGCAUGAAGUUGGAAGUCAUCCAACCUUUUCCAUCGCGAAAAAGCGUCUAAGUGUUUCGCAAUUCCUGUAAAAUGAAUAGUAACUCUAUCAAAGAACUUGAUUGGUUUUUAGAAUACUUACACGCUUUAGACUUGAGAAAGCUUUCGGCGUUUGUUCACAGAGCCAUCUUCAUGGCUAUUCUCUGGUGAGAUUCGUAGUCGACGAGUUGAAAAUCUUUGGCCGUGAAGGAAUCGAUAUCCUUGUUACUGGUCGCGAUUUUCAGAAUCUGUAACAACACGGUAGUGUGAGAUCGAACUAGGAUUGUUCUUUCACUCACAGGGAAGGGCUUUGGAACGUUCUCCAGCUGCUCUUUGAGCGGAUCAACAUGAUUCGUGUAGACAUGAGCAUCGCCAAGAACAUGAACGAAGUCUCCAGGCGCCAGAUCUUUUUGUCAAUACGAACAGCCAAAUAGCAUAUCGAGAAACAAGAAAAUGUAGCGAACAUACCACAGACGUGCGCGAUCAUGCAAGUUAAGAGUGCGUAGGACGCAAUGUUGAAUGGAACACCGAGUCCCAUGUCACAAGAGCGUUGAUACAUCUGGCAAGAGAGCUCGCCAUUGGAAACAUAGAACUGGACACACAGUCACGCUUCAGAGAAAACAAAGACGAGAGUUCUAGACUUACUUGAGCGAACAUAUGACAGGGAGGGAGAGCCAUUUGCUUCAAGUCUGCGGGAUUCCACGAUGAUAAAACGAUUCGGCGAUCAUCCGGCUUGUUCUUUAUUUUGUCUAUGACUUCCGCUAGCUGAUCUACACCUUGUCCUGUGUAAUCAUCAUGCAUGGUGGAGUAUCUGACAAAAAAGAUCAAAAUCUUGCGUUAAGAGUCGAGAAAAUCGAUUGUUUAAAACGAACCUGGCUCCAAAAUGCCUCCACUGAAAGCCAUACACGGGUCCAAGAUCGUUCUCUUCUCUUUCAGAGAGGCCAAUGCUAAAUGAAUCAACGUAGAAUUACUUGAAUCCAGAAAAAUAAAACAGAAGCACAAACCUGUCGAGGUAUUCUCUUGAGCCAUUGCCCUUCCAUAUGUGAAUUCCUUUGUCCUCGAGAACCUGAUAGUAAGUAACUGUGAGAUCUGGUGUUUGUAAAAUGUACGCUACUCUCUACCUUCGCGUUUGUGGAUCCACUUAUAAACCAAAGUAGCUCUUCGACAACUCCCCGCCAAAACACCCGCUGAAAAAAGAAUUAUUUGGCCUCGACAUUGUGAAGAGAAGUUUCAGCUCACUCACCUUUGUUGUGAGAAGUGGAAAAGAAUUACGGAGGUUAAAACGCAUCUGGUUUGAGAAAGAGUUAGCGUCAGAAGAAAAAUGAGGCAUAUAAGAAGAAGAGUUCUUACCUGACACCCAAACUUUGAGAUUGUCCCAGUGCCAGUGCGAUCGCUCCUCGUGUUUCCAGUUUCUAUGAUAUCCUUGAUCAAGUUUAGAUACUGAUACUCCUCGUGUCUCUCCCGAACAAACUCUGGAAUCGGCAACGAGCAUGUCCCAGCGACGUUUCUCACAUCGAGUGCCUUGUUUCGAACGUAAGUAUGGAAUGAAUGCCGGACGUUGUUCACUGUUGCGGGUGAGGACGCAUACCAGAGACGAAAACAAGUGAGAUCCAAGGCCGGCAUAAAAGUGUCACACUCGAAGAAAGUUUGUAUCUCCGUCAAGUGGAUUGCUGUGCAAAGAGGAGAAACCAUAGCCUCCCUACCAAAGAAAAAAACGAGUAGUAAGUAUCGCCACAAUCACUUGCUUACCGGAAGACUUCACCACCUCCAAUCACGAACACAGCCUCCACGCUCGAAUCAAACGGUGGAGCCGCGAGAAUUCCCAGCGCCGAAUCCAAGCUCGAGCACACAAUCGCCUUAUCUCCAAGCUCUAGCCCAGCCCGGCUUAAGACAACAUUCACUCGGCCAGGGAGCGGUCGAAAUUUGGCUGGAAUGCUCUCCCACGUCCUCCUCCCCAUCACCACCGCAUUCUUCUUGCGCGCGUCCGCCGCCUCGGACGUGAUCCUCUUGAAGAACGCCAUGUCGGAGGGGACGCUCCACGGCAGCUUCCCCUCCUUCCCUAUUCCCAGAUCCCUCGUAGCGGCCACCACUACCUGGAAGGCCCGGAGAGUAGCGGCAGCUGCUGGCGGCGGAGGCGUCCCAUCGAGCACCAUGGAAAGCCUUGAUCUGCCAAGAACCCUAAAACCUCUACAUGCUGCGGCCAUAGCCAAUGAAAACAUUUCCCGCCAAAUAAUAUAGUCAAAAUUAUGCUUUAUAAUUUUUUUUUAAACACCUCCAUGAUUAUUUUAUGGAUUAAUCUUGUAUGACAUUCUUUUUUUACUGCCAUGUGGGCAAGAAGUUGGUAUUGAGGGAUUGAUAAAGAAUUUAAACGUUGAUCUCUUAGUGAGAAAAGAAUAUUUGACAGGACUAGUUAGCAGAUUAUAAACAUUUUCCAGAUAACGUUACCUUUUCCAGAUUAAUCUGGAAAAUACAAGAGGGAACUAAAGCAAUUUUUACUAAGAUAUAGUUAUCGUCACAUAACAUUUUAUGAAGAAAGAACUUUAGGGAUAAGGGAAAUCUAAGCUUUCAAAGUACAAGGAGGGUUCUAAUGAAGUAGAUCAUUAUAAUCACUAUAUCAUAGAAAAACUAGCUUGAUGAUGCAACAUGAUAAUAUAAAAUUUACCUUUACAUAAUUCAUUAGUGAUUGAGUGAUUAGAAAUGCUUGUGUCAUUCUCUCAUCAGUGUUGACUUAUUAAGACACCUUAUAUGACAGUUUGCUAAUGAUAACAUUUUGGUGGGAUGGUGCUAAAUAGUACACUUCCAGAAGUGGGAUAAAAGAAUAUACAAUAGGAUGAGGGGCAGAUAUGCAUGCAUAAGCAAAUAUAGAGGGGGAAGUUGUUAUUAUUGAUCCAAAUGUUUGGUGAUUGAACAUUUUGCAAUACCUAAUCAAAGUUUAUAUCUAGAGAAGUCUAUUUUUUCUCAAUGAGAUAUUUAUUCAAAAAGUUUUGUAAUAUUUAAUCAUAAACUAAUUUUAAGUAAAAAUUGAUGGAAAACUUGUUCUUUAUAAUAGUUUUGAUAUUACACUCUAGUCUACUAAUACAUUUUGUUUACCAGAACCAAAUUGUGUUGCUCCUUAUCUUCGUAUUCAUAAUAAUUGUAAUGCUAGAAAUGAUAAUAUAUGUUUGGGAAUCUAAACCUCAUUACUAAUAAUUUAGAGUUUAUAAUAAUUUCUUAAAUAAAUAUGAAUAUAUAUAUAUAUAUAGCAUCAAAAUUAAAUAAAAACUCCUGAGAACCUAAUUAUUUUUCCUACUAAAAGUUUAUUCUUAUAUAUUUUAAAACUAUAAAAAGCUGUGAUACCUUUAUGGAAGGGUAAUUUCCCUCACAUAUAGUGUGAUUAAGUUUUUCUUCUUCUUUUUAUUGGAAUUUCAAAAUGUGAUAAGAGAUAUCCAAGUUUCAUAAUAAAUAUAAACCUCUCAACUUUUUAAAGGAAGUAAUCCUCUUAAAUAAUUAUAUAAAGGCCUUUGAGUAAACACUAAUUUAUAUUUGAUUGAUUUCUCAUUAGCAAUAAAGCUAAGUUGAUAGAAUGGAAAUGUAUGGAUUGGCUGAAAAUGGUGUUAUGGUGGUGGUGGUGGUAAAAUCUCAAAGUUUAAAUAGUUCUUUUCAGCUUCAUGUUGAAAAUGGAUACAAAUGCUUAUAUGAGGUGGCAAAAAUUGAUUAGAUGGUGAUGAGUAAGAUGGAAAGGAUCUUGAGUUUAUUAAAGUGACUAUAGAAGUAUGUGACUCUUGGUGGCACUAGAGGAUUGCUAGUGGUAUUGCUCAAAAAACAAGGAGAUAUAGUAAUUAUAGCAUGUGAGAUUAUCCAGAUUUAAGACUAUUUUCAUUAAAGUAAUCAUAAUAAAAUGUGACUAAAUUAAUGCUAUCUAAUUAAUAUUACUAGGAAGUGCUUAUAAAAGUUGCAUAAUUAAUCUAAAUGAAUAACAACUGUAAGAUUGUAGAAUAUCCCAAACUAUUCAAGUAUAUUUUAAGUAUAUUUAUUACCACUCCAGUCCCCUAUAAGUUUCUUAAGAAAAGUAAUAAUUUGAUACUCAUUAUUGCAAAAAUUCUUGAUUUUAUUAUUUAUUUAUAUAUUUUUUAUGACAUACAUAUGUUCAUAUGUGUAUGCAAUUUAUAAUCUACUGUGCUUGUGCUCUUUAUUUUUUAAUUUAUUUCGUUUUUUAUAAAUUUUAUAGUCCGAGUAACGUUAUAGUAGAAAUAAUUUGUAUCUAAAUAUUAUUAAACUUAGAAUCAAAUUCCUAGAUAAAUAUCCAAAUAAAUUAUUUACUGUUUUGUUUUUAACCGUCAUGUUUUUAAUUACCCUUAAGUAAAUACUUAAAUUCGGUCCCCCAACAUUGCAAAAAAUCUAGUCGGAAAAGGAAGGAGUUCCUCCCGCCAACAGCUUUUGACUUUGGGUGUUCGAGAUGAACCUUUGGAAGCGUGAGCAGAAAUGGUGGGGUUGACAAAAAUCAUGCAUUUACGCGCUAGGUGUUAUUAUCUUUUCAAAAGUUGACUGCUUCUGGAAGCUUAGACUUCCUGCAUUCGAAGAUGUUGCUGAUCAUGCAUAAAAAGAGAUUUGUUAUUGUGGGCUGUUGUGAUCUCCCAAGCUUUUUGCACCCGUGUUGUCUUAUCAUUUGGGUGCUAGAAAGAUGAGCCCUGUGGCUCUCCUUUUGGUGGCAUGGACACAUUUCCUGGCAGCAGCAGCAGCUAGGCCAAUCCUUGAUCGUUUUGAAGUUUCAGUGUCUUGUGAUGUCUGCAGUGAAGGAAAUUUCGGUGAAAACAGCAUCGUUUUGCCUGGUAAAAGCAACAGAAACUUGGCUCAUACUUUCAAGAGCUGAACUUUGCUGUCUCAAAAUUUGCAGAUGUUCCUGUUUUUCUGGAAUGCAAGGAGCAAAGGACAGGCAUAAGAUACCAAGAAAGAGGCAUCACUGGAGCCAAUGGGAAGAUUUCCAUGCAAAUCCCAUCAGAAUUUUCAAAUCAAUGCUCUGUCGAAGUGUCGAGACCUCCAGCAUUUUGCAGCAUCCCGGUGAAUACUGCAGGCUCAAAUCUCAGCUCUGAUUUGGAUUCAAGUUUAAAAUCUUGGAAGAUUAUGUAUCAACCUUCUUUUGAUCAUCACCAGAUCCACUGCGAUAGAAAAAUUGAUAGAUUUCGGAUCUUAGCUUCUACAAAUUCUUUGAGGCUUGGGCCUCCUGAUCCUCCGAACCCUUGAAGAGCUAGCUAGUAGAUCAUAGAUAUAUUCAUGUAUAAACUCUACGUGUUUAUAUAUAAUCAAUAUUGUUUUCAUGGUCAACUAUGUCGGUGAAAAUGCUGUGCUUUCACUGAGAGUUGAACUCAGGACCUCCCGCUUACUAAGCGGAUGCUCUAACCAACUGAGCUAUGAAAGCUUUAGAUUAAAACAUAAUUAAGAUAAAAAUAAUCUCACAUGCCAGGUGGAUUCGACCUCUGGACUAUCUCUGUCUAGGGUUUGUGGAGCUCUCAGCGAUGAUUUCCCAGUUCUUCGUCCUCUCGCUCCGCGGCGACAACAUCAUCUUCCGCGAUUGUGAGUCUGGAUCUAGCUCCCUGCAGCUGGAAUACUUUGGAAUGCUCUCAUUGAUCUGAUCGGGCUGCAUUUAAGGCAGAUCGCGGGGAUGUGAGCAAAGCCAGCGCCGAGAUUUUCUUCCGCAAGGUGAAAUUCUGGCACAGCGAGGAAGGCGAGGAUGCGCCUCCGGUGUUUGUGAGUAGAUUUUGCUCGUUUGAUAGGCUAUGGUUAUAAUCGAUUAAUGUGGCAGAAUGUCGAUGGAGUGAACUACGCGCAUGUCAAGGUCGCUGGUUUGCUCUUCGUCGCCACUACUAGAGUGAAUAUUUCUCCAGCUCUGGCAUUGGAGCUCCUUCAGCGGAUCGCCCGCGUGACGAAGGACUAUCUUGGCAUUCUGAACGAAGAGUCACUCCGGAAAAACUUCGUUCUUGUGUAUGAGCUGCUAGACGAAAUGCUGGUUAGGACAGAUAUCUUUCUUCCUGGCUUGCUUAUGUUUUUGCCUUUGCUUUUGCAGGACUUCGGCUAUCCUCAAACGACCUCGACUGAGGGACUCAAGUCUUUCGUUUUCAAUGAACCAGUCGUGGUAGAGUCGGCCAAAAUCCCUUCUCUUGGGCCAGCCGGAUUGUUCAUGGUAAGUGUUUUUGCUUCACAGUUCCAAUCGUUCCAACUUUCUUCUUUGUGUUCUAUUUGCAGCAAGGAUCAAAGCGGCUUCCCGGAACGGCUGUGACCAAGUCCGUGGUUGCUAGCGAGCCUGGUGGCAAGAAACGGGAGGAAGUUUUUGUGGACGUCAUAGAGAACAUCAGUGUGACAUUCAAUGCGAGCGUAAGUGUUUUGUAGUUUUCGUUUUAGCGUAGAACUGGCUUUAUCAACUUCAUCAGGGCUACAUUCUUACGUCGGAAAUUGACGGAACCAUUCAAAUGAAGAGCUACCUUACUGGUAAUCCGGAAAUCCGGGUCGCUUUAAACGAAGACCUGCAAAUUGGUCGUGGCACACACUCGAGUCUAGGUGAGUGUUUUCAUCCAGGUGUUGGUCGAGGCAUUACUUGCAUCAUAUGCAGGAGCGGGUGGUAUGGUGCUACUGGAUGACUGUAACUUCCACGAAUCAGUUCGACUGGAUGAUUUUGAUUUGGAUCGAACUUUAACGCUGGUCGGUAACUUUUAUUCUUCCUUUUUAUCUAAUGAUACUUACAAGCUUAUGAUGCAUCGGAUAGACACCGCCAGAUGGAGAGUUUCCUGUCAUGAAUUAUCGCAUGACGCAAGAAUUUAAGCCUCCUUUCAGAGUGUAUCCCGCCAUUGAAGAAUCUGGUCCAUUCAGGGUACGAGAGUGUGUCACUUUUUCAACGUAGCUGAUGAGUUUAUUCUCAGGCGGAAGUUGUCAUCAAAGUGCGGGCAGAUUUUGCUCAGAAUGUAACAGCCAAUACGGUGCUGGUACGCAUACCACUUCCAAAAACAACAAUGAGGUAUGCUUUGUUUCCUAUUUGCCAUUUAACCUGUGUCGUCCAUGCAAAAGAUGCGGUUUUGAGCUGGAGGCGGGAGCAGCUGGACAGUCAACCGAUUAUAAAGAAUCAACAAAACUUGUAGAAUGGGGAUUGAAGAAAGUAAGUGUUUUGACUGUUCAUCUCCCAGAUAAAAAAUUUCGAUGGAUUUUUUAGAUUUCUGGCGGCUCGGAGCAUGUAUUGCGUGCUAAACUUACCUUGUCUCAAGAACGCAAUGGUAAUAACCAAGAGAACUUCUAUUGCUUUGUAUUUACUACUUUAUUUUUGGCUACUUGCUUUACAGUAAACAUAAAAAAGGAAGUUGGACCGAUCAGCAUGACUUUCACUAUUCCCAUGUUCAACGCCUCCAAAGUACAAGUAAGAGAAUCCAGCAGCUUUUUUUGCCUUUUCUAGUUUCUUAUGUUUUUCCCAGGUGAAGUACUUGCAAGUUUUGAAAAAAUCAAAGUCCUAUAAUCCUCAUCGAUGGGUUCGCUACGUGACCCAUGCCGAUUCUUAUGUUAUCCGGACAUAGAUUCUGUGUAUCUCCAUACGGAGGAACAGGGGCAUGCUACGUUUCAGAAGGUUGGCUGUUUACAUUCCAGCAUGUGUAACUGUUUUACUCACUCGUUAAUUUAUUCCUUUUCAGUGGCCUGAUGCGAUGGGGUGUCACUGCCGGUUCGCUUCGUCCCAGUUACGGAACAGUUGCCGUUUGUCUCGGAUUUUGUCAUGUUAGUCUUAACUGCUAUUCUGCAGUUAGGACAGGAAUCGAAAACGGGCGGGCGAGAUUUUCCCGCAAACCGUUAGCUACGGAACAUAAACUGCACUAACGAAUAGGUUGGUGCAAUCUAGUCUGUCGCAGCUCGUCACUCCCGGUCUGCCAUAGCCACAACCUCCGUGGCUGCGUAGAUUGUUGGCUUGUUUUGCUCCAUUCAUUCAAAUUGUAGCUGGUUACGUGUUCAAGUUCUUGGUUUGAGCUGCUAAAACUUUCUUGAUGUGAAAAGUGCGAGCUGGAAUUAUUCUCCAGGAUGAGGCCGCGAGGCUUUCGUGCGGUUGCUCUCAUCCUCUGUCUGCAGCUGCUCAUCUCGAGCGGUAAGCUUUUUGUUGCGUCGACUGCAUUGGUUGUUGAUGUCUUUGAGUUUGUGUUGCAGGGGCUGCGUCCGAGGUUGCGACUGCAGAUCAACGUUUUCCAGCUGGUAAGCUGUUCUUUUUCGACCAUUUUAUGCUUCUGAAGUGCCGAGCAUGAUGUUUGUUUGUGCUGCCAUAUUCCAGCUGGGUCGAAUGGAUCAGCAGGUGCUGAUGCUGAAUGUCUCGGCUGUGGCUAUACGCCGGAUGCUCCAGCUCGUGGCAGUGUCCCUCGAUGCUCAGACGUUGUCUGUCUUGUCCAAGGACUUCUUGACAGGAAGAGCUUGAUUUACAUUGAGCAAGACAUCGACGUAUCAGGUCAGUCUGUUUACUUAUAUAUUUCCGGACGCAAGCGCUCAUGUGAUUAGUGCAGGCAGCGGUCCCCUUCCGGAUGUUACGUGCGGGGUCACGAUCAUGGGGACGUGCGGUGAUGGCUCGCCAUGCAAAAUUGAUGCAAAGGGCAGCUCUCAGAUUUUUGUAGUUGGACUCGACGGCUAUCUGACGCUAAAGGACUUAGAGAUCACUGGAGGUGCCUGUGCAAGAGGCGCUGCUGUGACAGUCUCGGGUUCUGGAUCAAAUGACUUGGCAAGGGGAGGCAAAUUUGUGGCUCUCAAUGUGAAGUUUACGAACAACGUCGCUUCUGUAUGUCGUAGCUUUUCAGAUGUUUAACUUCGAUUGAUCGUGACGCCUUUACAGGAGCUAGGAGCAGCUCUGCACGUUGAAUCUGGCGGUGCUGUUUAUAUUCGGGACUGUGUCUUCCGCUCAAACAAGGCAAGUAGAAUUCAAUUCUAUAACGAAGGAUUUUUUCCGAGCUUGGGCUUUCUUUUACAGGCUGCAAAGGGAGGAGCAGUAUUUGUGGGAUCCAGCAAGGACUUCCCGUCAAACCACACAGAAACGGAAGCAGUUCGAAAUGUGUGUGCACUGAACAGCUGCACAACGUUUUUAAAUACUGAGUUCUCUCGGAAUUCCGCCGAUUAUGGUGCCGCCGUAUACGUUGAUGAUGCUGCUGAAGAGUGCAAGGACAAUGGAGGUGCUAAAUUCGACUGCACAACCUGCGUAUUUCGCGAUAACUCGGCUCAGGUAAGAAAGCGGUUCUUGAAACGACCUGACAAUUUGUUCAAACAGCAAGACGGAGGUGCUUUGUUUAUCAACUUUCAAUCCGCUGGUGCCAUUUCAUUCCUCCGUCGGAGUCGUUUUGCGAGAAACACUGCAGGGGUAUGGUGCUCUGAUUGAUGGUGUGUUUUUCAAUGCCCUUUUGCAGAGUUACGGUGGUGAUAUUGCUACGCAAGAAGGAGUAUAUGGAACUCGUGGUGCUCAACUUUAUGCAUAUCAAGUUGUAUUUACUGGAAGCAAGGCAUCGGUAAGCUUUUUUUCGUUGUGAUUCACAAUGUUACGUUACACACGUUUUAACGACGGACAGAAAGGCAGCGCUGUUGCAGUCAAACCAUUCUCCAUUUCUACGUUUGCAAGAUGUGAAUUUUCCCAGGGGGUAAGCCUUUUGAUUCGCUUAUGAAGCUCUAAAAUUUGGCGUGACAGUCUUUACUCGAAUGCGACGGCGUAUGUGACACUUUCUGCCCAACUUUGUCACCUCUGGUGCGUAAUAUUUGCCUCAAGAAUGAGACAUGUCUUUUAUCGUUUUCUUUCUGUCUGCAGUCAAAUGGCUCUAUACCAUACGGAAGAAGUGGAGGUGCGUACAUAAUUGGCUCCUGAAUUCUUGGUCUAACGUGAUCUUCUCCUUGCAGAGUCGUGUCCUGUUGCUCCGAUGCCUUUGUGUGGCUGGGUUCCUGACGAGUGCCUAGAAAGUCCAUCUCCAUCCGCGACACCAUUACCAACACCUUCACCAUCACCAUCGUUACCAUCUCCGCCUUUGCCAUCGCCAUCACCAAGUCCAUUGAGUACGCCGCCAGCAGAAGCACCAGGAGAGGCAGCCGGAGAACCGAGAUUUAGAGCGAAGCGUCCUUUCUCGCCACCUCCUUCGCCACCUCCUUCCCCACCUCCUUCAUCACCUCCUUCAUUACCUCCUUCGCCACAGCCUUCACCACCUCCUUCGGCCUCAGCUGCUGCUCCGGCAUACAGGCAUAGAGUGCGUGGCAGACACGCGCACCACCGCAAUGGAAGUAUCACAGGAGAUCCUCACUUUGUUGGCAAGCAUGGCGAGCGUUUUGAUUUCCACGGCAGAAGCAAUCGCGACUACUGCAUACUUUCGGACAAGGACUUCCAUAUCAACAUGCACGUCUUCAAAGGCAUACACAGGCACUCCACUGUACGUAUUGUCAUUUUUGCAGUUCAUCUAGUCUGAUGUGGUUUUGCUUUUUUUUCCAGUUCAUAUCCAAGAUUGGGAUGCUGUUCAAAUUGGACAAGGUUUUGAUAGACGCCCAGGCCGAUAAGACUGCUUCCCGAUUUGAGGACCAGUGGAAGGUUCUUGUGAAUAAUGUGAGUAUCAUUUUUGUUUUUCUUCGAUGCAAACUCUGAAAGUGGUGGUUGUUCUUUUUUCACAGGUGGAGUUGCUUGAAGGGCAUGUGGUGGGAACUCCAAGCGGAUUGAAGAUCGUCCAUUUUGUCGGGUCGGUUCAAAUUGUCAUUCUAGACGAGCUAGAUAUGAAUGUGACAGUGAUGCCUCCGGGUUUCGGGAGGUUUGGAUCGGGAGCAAACUACGUAAGCAUCUUAGUUUCCUCUUAUCUUCUAAUAAACCCUCUUGUUCUGCAGCUGGAUUUCCAAAUAAAUCAGCUGAAAGUGUCUCCCAACGUCCAUGGCGUUUUAGGUGACGAGAAUCCUCUCUAUCAUUUUUCUGAUUAAGUCAUGGAUCAAUGCAGGACAAACGUACCAGGAAUCCCUGCGAACAUACAAGAAGAUCCACGAGGUUAGAGACAGGAGGCUCAAGAGAUCUAGAGCAGCGGCACUGUUCGUGGAUGGCUCCGAGAGUGAUUACUUGUCGAGCAGCAUCAUGGCGGCCGAUUGCAAAUACUCAGCCUACAUGGUAAAGUAUUUCACGAAUUUUUUUACUGUUUCUUAUUUGUUCUUGUUUCUAGGAUCAAAGCCAGAUCUCUCAGAGAGUCCAGAGAAUGGUUUUAGAGGGUGUCCAAGUUUUGCUGGGAAAGAGGGAGGAGACUGUGAAGCAAUGUACUGGUUUUGGGCAUUUUUUGUGCCUUUUGGAGAUGGAAGAGGAAGGAGAAUGAGAGGUUUGUAUACUUUUUCCUUGUAUAGUAGAUUGGGACGUCAAGUCAACUUUUCAAAUGUAUAAGAUGGUAUUGUGCAAAAUUCUCUUGUUUUCUCCAACUUUUACUGAGCUUAUUUCCAAUGGAUGUUCUUUCAUGUGGAGUUGCUAGAAGGACAUGUAGCGAGAACUUCAAGUGGAUGGAUGAUUGUUCAUUUGGUCAUGUCAAUUCUAAUGUCAAUUCAAAUUCACAUGCUAGAUUUGAAUGUGAUGCUUCUAGGUUUUAGGAGGUUUGGAUCGGGACCAUCUUCUAGUAAACCCUCUUGCUCUGCAGCUAUCAACUAAAAGUGUCUCCCAAGCUCCAUGAGAAUCGUUUGUUUCAGUUCAAAAAAAUUAAACAAAUUACCAGGAAUCCUUGGGAACAUACAAGGUUAGAGACGGGAGGCUCAAGAGGUCCUGUUCGUGGAUGUAACUGCUUGUCGAACAGCAUCAUGGCAGCCGAUGCAAAUACUAAGCCUACAUGGUAAAGUAUUUCACGAGUUUUUUAUUUGUUUCUUGCUUGUUUCUAGUAUGCUUCUUGUGCUCUUCUGCAAAAAGAAGUUUGCUUGUUGUAUACCCAAAAAGACAAUGAGAGUAGCAUACCCUCUUCUUGCAGGAUUCCAUGUAGGUGGGAUCUUCCUCGUCAUCCUGCCCGACGGAACACGGGCCACAAAACCAAACACCGAGCUUCCUUGCGUCCCCAAGCAUGAUGCACUCUUGGUGGUACGGGGACUGGCAAAAGUUGCACUCGAUCCAAUCGUUGGCUUGCCUGAGCAAGUAUAGCAAUAGUCUGAUUUGAACCCCCUUAGGUGGAUCAGCCUCUCGUCAAUCGCCUUGAGACUCUUGUGAACGUCUGUAAAGCUCAUGACGAGCUGAAGAGGCGAUUCGGAUGUUUCCAUAUGUCCACAUCUUCUCCGUAUGUGCUAUCCAGCACAGUAGCUUCUUCCUCAUCUCCUCCCCCUUGAAGAGCUCAUUCGCAACUUCUAGAGUGCGGCGAUGGUACUUCAGGUAGCCUCCAUGAUAGAAACUUGGAAAACUAUAAUCUAGUCCCGCGACACAUAAUACACAUCCGCUCCCAUAUGCGUAAGCUUGAUCGGACAAAACAACGUUGCCAUGUCCUUGCAGCCGGCGAGUAACUGCUUCGAAAAUCUUCCCCGGAACUGCACAACCUUCUCCGCCUUGACCUCUAUCACAUGGCCUAGGAGCUCUAUUCUGGGCUCCAUGAACUUCAUUGCGAGAAUCUUCAGCAUUCCAACCUAUGCGAGAGUAGUGUCGAUGGCGAUAGCAUUCACCCAGCGGGCCACUUCCUCCGAUAUGAGCUUCAUAGUCGCCAGGUCUGUCCGUUCCGCAAUAAGGCCAAGAGCAAACGCCUUCAGAUAGCCCGUGAUGCACCUGGCUCUGCGAUUCUUGCCUCGAUAUAUUAUGCGAGGAUCCAUUACGCUCGGCAAAUACUCCAACUCCUCGCCUCUCGCUCCCUGGGCCAACUCCGCAAGGUUGCCUUUGUUCACGUAUUCGACAACCUCUUUCUUGUACCAGCUGAAGGCCGACUUCAGCUUUUCCUUCCGGUCACGAACGUAGUAAGUCACGAGUAGCGGCACCGGUCUUCCACUGGCCACGCUUGAUAAAACAAGGAUUAAAACUACAACUUAAAUCAUAGCCUUACCAUUUUCCAUACGGGAAAGUCAGCGUCAUCUGCUGGUUCGUCCAUUUCCUUGUCUCUGCACUCGUCCUUUGCUUGUCGGGGUGGCGAGUCAGCGUCACCCCUUGUCUCUGCACUCCUCUGCCUUUGCUUGUCGGGGUGGCAUGCAAUAGUCAGGAUUACCAUCCAGGAUCUCGCACGUAUGGUUGAUAUAAUCAAGCUCCUCUUGCUGCAAAUACAAAAUGAAUAUGUUAACCAGCGAAUAAAACCCAAAGACUUACCUCAUAACCUCCACAAAUAAGCAAAUGCGGGGCACUUUUGUCUUUUGAUAAGCUGUUUCCCGACAGAGCUCUGAAACGACGCGCAGAUGACCACGUUGGAUACUGAUAAAGGGAGAACUCUGAUAAAUCCCCAGGCUUUUUCUUUGUCAGCUUCCGAGCAUACAUUUGGAGAUCUAAGCUUGUUUCCAUUGUCGAAAACUACGUAUACUUUCCGCUCAAGCUCCUUCAAAUCUUCCAAAACCUUGAAAACGCUUUUCAUCUCAAGGUCCUUAACGCGUAGCAGCACGCCAAAAGCUUGAUCAUCGUUGAUGACAGCGAGAACAAGAGCUGAGAAUAAGGCGUUGCCGGGUUCGCGUAUGAAUGGCUCGACUGGCACGAGAGCGAUGCCCCUCGACUUGAUCUUGUCGCUCGCAAACUCUGUAUGCAAAUGGCCAACCGCGGCGGCAAUACUGCAGCUUUUCCCAGAUCCGGGAGUGCCAGUUAUGCAGCGAAUACCCAAAACAGGGUCAAACUCGUUCGACAUCAAAGGGCCAUCAUCGAAGGACCAUCAAAAGUCCAAGAUAAAUUUGAUGACAUCCAGAGUUACCUUGCGGCCCAUGUAGUGAACCAUCUUGUGCUCGGUGGAGGUAUAGGAGGCCACUUCUGGGAUUGCAAGCUUCCUGAAUGUGGUUACCUGGCCGAGAUGAUCUCGGGUAAUCCCCGAAUGACGAUCCUUGAGCAACGCAUCCACCUUCCUGGCUUUAGCUAUCAUGCCACUCAGAUCUUCCUGGAUGGACGCAAUAGGCGUCUGGAGCUGUGCGAUUUGCUUCCUGAGAUCUUCUACUGCGGCCUUUAGCUCCUCCAUUUUAGGUCAAGAGAUAACCCUAAGCCCCUAUACAUGCAUUUGCUAUCACGUGUAGAUUUACGACUACCAUACCCAAUCUUCAGGCUAGGCACGUUUUAUAUGCGUUACUUUCUCAUGUAGAAGAGCGUGAUUGGGACAAUAAAUGUAUGUUGCAAAACACAAGCUUUGCACUACAGGUUUUUGCUAGGUUGAUUUUGUCACUGCCGGAAAGUUAGCCAAAUGGCAGGAUUCAAAGUGGACCAGAAAACACAGUUUCAGACCUUUGUGCUCUUAUAUGUUGCUUACAUGUUAUUAGAUCCUCAGCUUAUCUUGGACCACAUAACAUCUCCUGAAUCUCACUUGAAAGACCAAGUUUGCAUUAUGAUUUUUUAUUGUAAUGGCACUUUAGACUCUGAAGCUUUCUUUAAGGUUGUAUCUUCUAGACCUUACAACUUUGUUUGGUUGCAGUCUCAUCAAGCUUUUGCUGGAUCCUACUGAAAUUACAUGUAUGAAGGUUAGUUUUCUUCCAUCCAAUAAUUUAAGGUUGUGACUUCCAAAGUCUAGAGUGUUAUGAUACGGCACUAAACAACAAAGAUAAUGAGACCUAACUUUGCCUAGAUUACAUUACACCUCCUUUUGUUGUUCUUCACCACCCAGCCACCCUUGAGCUAGAUCUAUAGGAUAGGUUAAAUUCUUUACCUUAAAUCUAUGAGUGAUCAUUAGUGCAAUUCUUCUUUCAGACAAAGUGUGUAGUUAUGAUGUGGUAUAGUAUUAUUAGUGCAGUGGGAUUUUGAUACCCAUUAAAUUGGUUUUAAUCUGGACCACUUAUUCAUAUAUAUAAAUUAAGGUUUUUGGGCUAAUUGGUUUUUAUAUUCCAUGCAUUCACAUUAUUGGAGGUGAGAUGAAAGUGAGAUUAUACCUCUUAAAAAGUGCUUAAAUUUAUACUUGGCUUUGAAAUAUAUUGCCUACACAAUACAAUAUGGUUACAGUUGAAUAAUAAGACUCAAUUGAUAGUAGUGUUCAUAGCAUGUGGUGUAGCUCUUUCUUGCUCCUGUUGCUAGUCCUCUAUUUUCAAUCCUUUGUUGUGUUAACUCAUGAAUUUGGACUUUCUAGGCACCCAACCUAGUACUAUUCAAAUAGUAUUAUUUAAACUUAUUUUAAAAUUCUUGAUUAAUUGGAAAAAGGGGUGCACUUUUAUUUAUAAAUUUUUUCUUUUUAUAUUUGAACCUUUAUGGACCAUUUCUUGAAUUAUUCUCUUUAGUUACUUACAUGCUGUUAAUCCUCUUUUACCAAUCCUCACAUUCGACAAAAUUUCUUCCAUAGGAAUCUUGAUAAUGAUAUGUACUAUUGAUUCAAUUAUGUGAUUGCCACCUAUCAUUCUUGGGAUAAUGCUUAAUGUUUACAUGAGUUUUCUAUAUAUCUGAAAAUGAAUUGGUAUAAUGGUUUUAGUGCACCCACCUAUGCAGAUUAGAACCUUCUCUUAGACAUCUUUAAGCACAUAUUUGGGUAUGUUGAUAACUAUAAUAAUGUGUUCUAGCAAUUGCAUCAUUGUCUUCAUUAUUAAAUUAUAAUGUUUUUGCUUAAACACGAUAAGGCACAUUUUUAGGUUAAGAUGAGUUCUCUAACUAAUGCUUUAGCACUCUAAAGUAUAAAAGAGUAAAGUAUUAACAUUAUAGUAUGGGUAGUACAAAGAAGUUAUCUAGUUACUUAAAGAGAUAUAGCUAUAUGGUUACUUAGAAGAGUUUAAUGCAAAGUUAUUAGUUAUAUGCAAGCUUAGAACUCUCACCAAACUUCAUCCUAGAAUAUGAUCUCUUUUAGUAAAAUUUUAGAAUUCUUAUCACAUAUUAAUUAAUUGGAUUGUUAAAUAAUAGCACUAUUAUAUGUAUUCAUUAUUAAUGAAAUUAUUUUAAUUUAUAUAAUUAUAUUAUUGUGAGUGUUUGGAAUAUACAAAAAAUGUGCAUAUCAAUUAGCCCAAAAACCCUAGCUUAUAUACAAGAGCGAGUGGUCCAGAUUGAAACCAAUCUAACAGCUACCAAAAUCCCACUACGCUAAUAUUAGUAUACGACAUCGUAGCCGUACACUUGGCCCUCACAUCAUCCCCUUCUCUUGGAAUAAUGGAAGACUAUCAAGGUUUCCUUGUAAAUGGGCUGGGAUCUAGAGGAACAUUAGGAGGAGGUAUCAGUGGAUUUGUACGUGGUAUUAAUUGCUCUUGAUCCCUUUGUAUGAAGCAUUUUAACCACUACAUAUGCACAAUCUCUGAAGGAUUGGCCUAUUAGACGUCAUGCUGAACUUCAUAAACUUGUGGUCCAACUUGCUGCAACACCAGAUACAGUCCUUUCCACUGUGGAAAGAGCCCCUUAGAUAAACCACGUACCAUAAGAUGGGGAAAAAAGACUAACACCAAAUCAUCCAUGUUAUACUCCGCAAAUGGACGAUGAUGGGAGUUGUAGCGCCAUUGUUGUCCCACUUGUAUGAGGCUUAAGUGUUCAGCAGACUCAGUUCGGACAAAUGGAAGAAUGCUUGUCAAAUAUUGAUCCCACGACCUAGUAUCGACAACUCGUGGCAAUCGCGAAGGUAAACCCAACUCCGUUGGUAAUAUUGGAUCAUGACUAUAUAGGAGUUUAUAUGGUGAAGCACCAACAGAACCUUACACCCCUGUGACAUAUGCAUAUCGAAGAGAUGGCAAAUAACCAUUCCAAUCUAAAUGUUGAAAGUUCACAUACUUCGCAAUCAUCCCUUUGAAUGUCCGAACGAGCUGUUCCACCAUACUGUCUGAUUGUGGAUGAUAAGCACUCGUGAAAGUGUGGCAUAUCCCCAAUUGAGAUGUCAAAACAUGAAAUGCCUUAACCAUAAAUGCGGGACCAUUAUCUGAAAGAAUCCGCUCUGGAUAAGAAUGCUGGAACAACCCACCUAGAAUAGGAGAAUCAUGGUAGGCAUAAAGAAACCGCGGAAUAAAGAUAGAAGGCACUCAAAGAGCUAUUAAUGACUCUUCUAGUUUUGACAUAUCCUAACUACACUUGACUUUUUAUUUUGCAUGUGGAUGUUUCUGAUAUUAGUUUUGGAGGUGUGUUGAUGCAAGAGAGCUCGAGUGUGCCUGGUCAGCGCCAUCCCAUUGCGUAUAUAAACUAUACAUUACAACCAGUGGAGAUGAACUACUCCACAACAAAGGAGUGUUUAGCAGCAAUCUGGGGUUUCGAGAAACUUCAUGCAUAUUUACAUGGUUCUUGGACGUUACUUGAAAGUGACCAUGCUGCAGUUACUUCAUUAUUGAAGCAGAAGAACUUGGUUGGUCGUAUUGCUUGAUGGGCUUUGAAGCUUCAAAUAUAUGAUUUUGAUGUUGUUCAUCACCCAGGGAGUUCUACGGCUAAUGCUGAUGCCCUUUCUCGAGCUCCUCUUCCUUCUCCACUCUCUUCUCAUGUUGCUGACGAGCCUGUUGCUCCUACAUCUGUGGAUUUUCUAGAUGAGGAUUUUGUGCCAUCGACGAUUGUUAUACUUGACGUUUAGUGUCCACAAGGCGUAAAGCAAGAUCUACCUUCUCUUGAUGAGGUUCGCGAGGCUCAAAAGAUUGAGCUAUGGAUUCGAAGGCUUCGAGAUGGGUUUGAGAAUCCUACAUCAUUUGCUAAUGACUUGCCUUUCCGGCAUUUACAUUCUCAAUAUCACCUUGACGAUAGCCUUCUUUAUUUUGUGGGGACGGAUCCUGAUGAUCAUUUACGACUGGUGGUUCCAUGAAUGCUCGCUCACAAUCCGGAGACUAGAUGAAAGAUGACAUUGAUGGCUUCAGCAACACUCACAACGGUGCAGUGUGAUCAGAAAAAUGAUCCACAAAACGACCGAGAUACUACACCUUGCCCAAGAAGCACUGCACAUUAUUUCACACACUUUGAAGUAGGGAACUUUAGAACAACCACAAGUUUGUCAGGAUCAACUUGCAAACCCUCACGAGAAAUACAAUACUCAAGAUAAGUUGUGUUCUUGGUCCCAAACAUGCAGUUCGACUGCUUCAGCUAAGCUCUAUUUCGUUAAAGUGGGAUUUAUUCAGUAAAAUGGGACUAGGUACAAAUUUUCAAGUAUUUGAAAAUGAUGUGAAAUUAUAUGUUUUUUGUCCAUGGGUGUCGCGAAUGUGACUUCGGGUAUCGAAAGUUACCUGUCGACCAGUCCUUACGGACACUCUUUCCUUACUGCCACGAUGGUGGGAGGUCGGUAUUGCUGGACCCUUUAUCAGCCCCUCUUGUUCAAGUGUUAGUAAACUGGACUUAGCAUCUGUACUUGGCCGGAUGAGCAUAAGGACGGAAUUCUUAAGUGUCUAUUUGGCCAAGCAUACUUGGCUCGGCUUUUUAGUUCUCUUUUGCUCUGUCUUGCACUGGCUUGACAAGAACCCUCGCGUAUUGAGAUUGGUCCCUCAAUAUCGCUGGAUGAUAGCUUACCGUGUCUGCCAAACACCCUCGCUAUCAUGCCCUUUGUGUUAGUCUCAUUUCGGUCCCAAAUACUAUUUAUGGAAAGUGUCUAGAUUUGGUCAUUUGGCAUAUCUACGGAAUGUAGAGAUCGGCCUGAACACAAUGGUGUUCGUCCCGUGUCCAAAUUCACAUUCUAAGGACAUUCCAUAUUUAGUAAGUUUCAAGCUUGUCCCAGAGACUAACUCCUGAUACUAAGGGAGGCUUGGGGUGAAAGCCCAAAGCGUGUGUUCCUCAAGGGGGGGGGGGCUGUGGGGGGUUCCAAAUGUAUAGUAGGGAUAGUGGGUAGGUCGGGCAUGGCCGACCAACCUGAGGCAUAGUCUAGCUCCCGCUUGCGUGCCUGUCCUUGUUCUGCGUCCGGCUUGGGUCUAAGCCCAAGUUCCAUUCCAUGCUAGCUGGUGGAGUACCCAUAUCCUCACGUUAGGCCACCGGUAUGCCGAAAUAGUGCCAGACUCCGUUUGGCUCCAUUUUGCAUGCUGGUCCUGGCAUUGGGAUGCUAGUUGCUCCAGGACUGUUCCAAGUCGCUCCGGGCUCCUGUCCCUUCGCUCCUUGGGCUAUAUGCUCGGGAGUUGCUCCAUGGUUUGGUUCCAUCACUCCUCGGCUCCAUGCUUGGGAGUUUGGCACCGUUCCUUCGUUCAGUGGCCCAAGGCCCUGAACCUCGGGUUCCAUGGACACGUGGCAUGUGACAUGUGGCAUUUGUCACGUGGCACAAAGAGGGUUUAGGUUCCGCUUCGUGGUGUUAUCCUAUGGUAAAUCACUGUAGGAUAAAGGGUCAAAACCAUGUGCGCUACAUUUGGUAUCAGAGGAUGAGUCUCAGUGAGUACUAUUCAAUGAGAUUGGGCAACUAGUCUCGUUGCAUACGCAGAGAUGAAAACGAUGAUCCGAGUGGGUACACGUUUGGGUGCAAAGGCUUCGCAAUUGGUUCCUUGGGUAUGGAUAUUGUUACCUUGUUGUACCUUAUGAUGUGAGCUUGCGCUUGGGCUCAUAGGAUGGUUUGGAGAUGUUCCGUUUGCACGAGUUUGAGCUUGAGCUCGUGAGUGAGGCACAUUAGCAACUCGAGGUUACAUUUUGAGUUGGCAGAAUUAAUGUUAGCCUAUCGUUGGUUCCAUGAGUUGUUCCAUGUACCAUGGGUGAAAGCAAACCUCCCUGGGUUUGCUAUAAGUGGCAAAUAGGCUGGUCCGUAGCUGUUUAGCACGGCACUAGUGGAUCCUUCCUAGGUAUGAUUAUAAGUGGAUCAAUCAAGACUAUAGGGAUUAGUCUAUUGGUUCAAGUAAUCAUGACCGUGCUCUCUCAUAAAUUUUUCUUGGAUUGAACUGAAGGCAGUGCGAAAGCAAGCUUGAGGUUUAGUCAAGAUGAGGCCGGAAAGAGAGUUGUCAGGGACGAAGGAUUAAAUACGUAAAUCAUUUUCUCUUCUUGGAAAGAUGAUUUGCAACGAGGUGUUAACUCAUUGCUUGUGUUCACAUUAUGCAAUCAAGAGUCCCUACCUUGAUGCAUAUUGGAAGUGAUGGUCUUACAAGUGGUGAGUUGUGGGAUGGAUAGUGGUGAAACGUUAAACCAUUUUGUCUAAAACUUGCUAUUGGAAGACUUAAGUUGCAAUGCUCAAUUCUUUUCUGGGGAACCUUACUAUUGCUCCUUGAGUAGCUUAGUGUUGGAUUAGUGUUGAGUUUGGUCGGAAAGAGAGUGGCAUGAGCUUGUCCAUGUUGUGAACAAAAGUUAGUGGUGUUGGGUGUUGUAAAUCUCUAUUGAUAGGGUGUGGCAUUUAUGUUGCAUUUUGUCGAAUCGAGUUAGCACUUGAUAUUCACAUAAACCUUUGCAGUAGUGACAUGGGCAUUGCUCAUAGUGUUGCUUGAUUGAUGAUCAAGUCAUUGUGAUUUAUAUCAUAUCCAUGUGAUAAUGAGCAAUGUGUUUAUGAAGUUGCUUGGUUAAAUGAUGAUCAACCCCAAAGUGGUUGAUGGAGAAGCUAGUCUACUUGCACGAAGUAGCAUUGUAGUAGCUUUGACUGGAUUCUCAAUGGUGGUCCAUUAUGCUAAGCUUAUGUUGGUACCUUGUUACCUUGAGGGUUUGCCCAUUAAGAUGUUGGAAAAGGGUUAUAGCAUUCAUUUGCUAUGGCUUGUUGGUUGAUCCGUUAGCACUUGGAGUAGAUUGUUGGAUGGAGAAGAUGUAUAGUUGGGGCAUUGACAUCACUAGCACUUGUGUUAGUGGAGGUGGCAUUAUUAUUUCAAGUGAUAAGGAAGUUUCCUUAGAGCUUGAUUUUCCAUGUCAUUUUUCUUGUUAGUGUUUUGGCUUCACAUUGGAUCUUGAAGGUGGUUGAAGAAGAGUGUUAGUGUAAUGUGGAUAUCCAAAGAUGUGGUCUUCGUGAUCAAGCCUUGGAUGUUCAUUUUGCACUUUGCGGAUGUCGGUGUUGGAUAUCGGUUAGAUGGGUAGAGAUGUUCGAGGCUUAAACAUACUAUGGGUCAUGAGAAUUUGUGUUGAGGUGAACCUAUGUGAAGUUGUUGGUAGAAGGAAGUUGGUUGAGUCUUGAAAGUUUGCAUUCCUGGACUGAGAGUUAUUCUUUCUCUAGGAUGGAGAUUUUCCACAAAUUUUCUUAGACUUUUCCAAUGGCUGAUCUAUUGAUCAUUUUGUCCGAAAACCAUUCCAUUUUCGAAAGCCAGUACAAACUAGUGAAGGGGUUGGAGUUGACUUCGGUUGGCUUAGAUCUUAGUGUAAGCGACUAAAUUUUCCAUUCUACUUUAGUCACUUAACCACACCUCCGACCACUUGGAGGAGUCUCAUUCACAACCUCCAUAAGUCCAAUCCAGGACUUGGGACUUGCUAGCCCCGAGAAUGGCAUCCAUGCCACUCAACAUUUGCACUUGGUCCAAGUGCUCCACGUGUCCGAUCCCAUGACCGACACUCAAAAGUACCAUCGACAUGCCAGCCCGUUACGCUAAGGCCAUGCCCAAUCACCUUUGCCACACUGGUAGUCCAUUACCACUUGCAUCACAGUCUUGGCUCUCCAAGACUAGGCAAACCAUCCGUGAGUGGUCAUCUGAGAUCCACUCCUUAGCACCCUUAGGAUGCCCACCGACAUGGGGAAUAGCCUUCCCCAAUAUCCCUCUGUCAGUCCCCACUAAGUCCCUUUCUGCCCCUGGCCGUGUUUGCCAACACUGCCACUGGAUCGAGACCCACAGGCCCGACCACCAAGUCCCCCAGUCCUUUGGAACUUCCUCACCACACGACUGUGUCCUUGGUCACUACCCCAGAGGACUGCUCCUCUUCCUUUCCACAGUCUAGGCCUUUGGGACAACAUUUCGGAACACCGUGGCCUUACGCGAGCCACCUGGGUACUCUCCUCGCCUUUCGCCUUUAGGUGCUCUAGCCAUGGGCUUAGAGCGAGGUUCCGCUGAGCCACGCCUGGUAUCCAAGUAGGUAGUGCCACCCACACUUGGACUGGGAGCAUCGGCCAGUCGAUCUCCCGGGGGAACUAGAGCCGGCUCUUGAACACUUCACCAAGCUACCCCGCUUGGCGGUCUGUAUUCACUCUAGUCUUGGACUUCCCAGUGGUCAGUUCAUCACCCAACACUGGGUCUGGCCUUCCUGGGCCAAACUGGCCUUUCCUGGCCAAACUGGCUCCACUGCAGUCCUCCCCCUUACUAUACUUUUGGAGCUCACCAAACCCCCCAGGGUCUGGGAGACGAACGCUUUGGGCUUUCACCCUCUCAGGCUCCGGACUCGGACUCGGACUCGGACUCGGACUCGGACUCGGAUUCGGAUUCGGACUCGGACUCGGGCUCGGGCUCGGUCUCGGCCUCGGCCUCGGUCUCGGUCUUGGUCUCGGUCCCGGUCUUGGUCUCGACUUCGGACUCCAUCUCGGACUCCAUCUCGGACUCCAUCUCGGACUCCAUCUCGGACUCCAUCUCGGGUCCAUCUCGGGUCCAUCUCGGACUCCAUCUCAGACUCCAUCUCGGGUCCAUCUCGGACUCCAUCUCGGACUCCAUUUCGGACUCCAUUUCGGGUCCAUCUCGGACUCCAUCUCGGACUCCAUUUCGGGUCCAUCUCGGGUCCAUCUCGGACUCCAUCUCGGACUCCAUCUCGGACUCCAUCUCGGACUCCAUCUCGGGUCCAUCUUGGGUCCAUCUUGGACUCCAUCUCAGACUCCAUUUCGGGUCCAUCUCAGGUCCAUCUCGGACUCCAUCUCGGACUCCAUCUCGGGUCCAUCUCGGACUCCACUUCGGACUCCAACUCGGGUCCACCUCGGACUCCACUUCGGACUCCAUCUCAGACACUCCCACGUGUCAUGUGUUGGUCCUUUUGGGUCCCUUUUUGGAGCCUCGCCUUUUGCUCGCUUCGUGCUCGUUCCUCGAGCACUUCGUUGGGAGUUCCACUCCCGCUCUUGACUUUUCAAGUCGGAGCUUUUGGUCCAAACGUGUUACGCUCGUUUGGCUCUCGCUUCGGCCACUACCAUGUGGCGCCCUUCCGGCUCCACUUUGGGGCCUAGGGAUUUUGUGUCUCACAACUCCACCACCCAUAGACGAAGUUCGAUGUCCUCAUCGAACGGUGAACCAUUUUAUAAAGUAACACCCGCAUGUGUUACCAUUUCCAUCCUUGGCGCGUAGCCAAUAUUUGUCAAUGGUGUGACAUUGAAGGCUCACCAUACCUUCUCCAUAUUCGUCAAUGGUUGGACAUUGAAGGCUCACCAUGCCUUUUGCAUAUCCUCUAAGGAGGGUAGUCUCUCCAACUUAGAGACUGAUUGGACCACAUAUAGUGGUUCUCUCCUUUUAUUGGUUUAGUUCUCGCUAAACCUCUUAGAGACCCUCCUCUAAGUCAAUCCCACUACUCCUUCUCGAGUAGUCUCAAUUUCCAUCGAUAUAACUUUUGCACUUUGGAACUUUGAAUUUUGACUUCUUGGAGUCAAUUUCCUAGGUGUCUCCGACACCUUGCCUUGCACCUUUUGUGCAACUCCACUUCCCAUCCUAGGAAGUUCUUUUCUCGAGGGCACCAUCAUCCUCUCUUCUAUUUCGUGCCAAAGUUCCAGUUAUCAUACUUUGUGCUAGGGCUGUUCAUGGCCCUAUCAUUUGGCUACCUUACCGCUCCUUCCCUUGGAGCUUCCACUUUCGCCAAACCGGAGCAUUUUGGAAUCCCUCCUUGGAAACACACUUCCUUUCCCGCAACUUGUUAGCGUCCAACACAUUAGUGUUCCUCGCUUAACUUUGUCACUUGGAUUCCUUCCAAGGGAUUCCACGGCCCUAUCUUGGCCACUCCUCUUUUGCUCUUAUCCGUUGAUUGUUGCACCAAGCAACAUCGAAUCUCUACCUCCCUCCUUGAGGUAUUGUUUCGGUUCCAUAGCAAAGACUCUUCUUUGCCAAGUCCGGAGGAUGUUCACCCCUAGUACGUCUCUUUAGCAUCUUCUGCUAUGGGCUCUAUCCACGGCCCAACUUCGUGACCCUCCCAUAGGUCUUUUAUAGAGACUACUUUCCUCGGACUCACUAUGCCAUCGCACGGACAUAGUUUAUUUCCCUUAGGUGCUCUUCCCACUUGGUCAUCACGACCAAGCCACACCACCUUAAACAGUUCAAUUUCAACAUUUUGAACCAGGAACUUCAUUCCUUAGCCAACCAAGGAAUUUGUCCUUAUCUGCCAUAAAUCACCUAGGGAUCCUUAGAUCACCUCAGCAUCAGCUCACCUAGUGAUCUCACCUUGGCACAGAGGUGCCAAGAGGUACUUGGUCUUCUAGACCUCCAAGUUGUUGACUAUAACCCUGGGGGCAUCCCCCACACUUGGCGGUGCACCCAAGCUAGCCCUUACGGCCAAGGGUUCAUAGCAACUGAGAUUAGGUGUCCCCAUCUCACUCACCACGACCUUGGUGCCAUUUGCACCAAAGCGUUCAAGUUAGAUAUGCUGAGCUUUAACACUAAGCAAUCUAACCGUGCAUCACGACUCCGAGGCAUCCCUCGCUUGGCGGUGUGCCCAAACCAGUCUCCCCACUGAGAGUCCAUGACCACCGAAAUAUGAGUGUCCUCAUAUUCCAAACCAUCACCACGCCCUAGUGAUUUGGGACUCGAACCCAAGCACUAGAGGGUCGGGACUCGAACCCAACCUCCGUAUAUGCAUCUACGGACGGCAUCACACAAGAUGCCUAGCGUGACUCCCCACGCCGGUGCACCAACUUAUUUUUAAAGCGCGCUACAGAUCACAGCUUAGGAACCUAGUUCCUCCACACUGCCAAGUCCUCUCACUUGACAUGUCUGUGAUCAUGCACGGACUCCUCCAUGCUCGGCCCCAUGGCCCACCCUUUUUGAAGUUAUCACCUUCAACUAGGGUCUUUGUUCCCCCGACGUGCCAAUCUCACUUGGCAAGUCCUCCGACCAUUGUAACAUGGUUCCUGCAUAAGCGUGAAAGUCCUUGACCAUCGACUUUCGUUCAAAGCCCUCUCUUUGAACACUCGGGAACUACUUCCCUAACCUUGAUAACCUUGCCUCAUGGCAAGCUUCAAGACCAUGCUUCUGCUGCGCCACUCUGAUUUCGCGCGUUCCAUGAACCAUUUACACUUGGCCUUUCUAGGUACUACGCUACCUAGAAUCGUCUUUGGGGAACCUUGAAGGAACUCUGUCCCUCAGCUUGCUAAGGCCUCCUCUUUCGCAAGCUUUAUAGUUGCCAUAUAGUCUAACAUGGACAAUUCCAUAUUUUAAACUCUCCAUGGCAUCACGAUUGCUAGCAACAACAUCCUCAAGCACCCUCUUGAUUCUCCACUCCCAACUUUCAUAACCACUAUUGGAUAUACCCUUUGAUUUCUAUGGUUCAGUUCCAUCCCAAUACUACUUGCCUUUGGCUUCACACCUUUCCUUUGGUCAUUCUCCUCCAGACCAGGAGGAUAGCUUUGCACUUUUUAUCAUGCCUUAGCAAGUAUUCUUAGGGAUGAACCUACCCAAUAGCCCAGGGAGUGGUUCCUCAAUCCGGGUAUGCUCAGCUUAUAAUCCCACACACUGGGAUUACAUUGUUGCUUAUGGGCCUUUACAUGCCCAUCACUAGCCUUGCCAAAAUUCCAUUUUUGGCUUUGUCCAACUUGGGUAGACAGUCUUCUCUUGUCUCCGCAACCUUGGACAUUUGGAUAGCACCUUCUAUCCAUCAUUCGCUAGGGACUUAGUCCCUUGGGCUUUAUCCAUUGCCCUCGCGACAUCAAACACCACCUUCUGGUGUUCUAGAGUGUUCGGGUGUCCCAAUGAUGGCUUUCUUGACAAUGAGUAUUUCCUUUUAUGACAUUGACUCACUAUAUCGCAACAUAAGCAACUUAUCCCCUGUAAGGGUAUAUCCGACUUCCCUAUAUUAGAAGUCUUGGGUAGCUACCUUCUACCCGUUUAACCAGUUAUUUUGCACCUCUUUGCUUAGUUGCCUCAUAGUUGUCAAGUCCUACAACUCAUUGCUUGGUGCUUGCACACCUCCAUCAUUAUCUGGGUCACCGCACUCCAACUGCAUGCUCUGCCGCUUAGGCUAUGCCAUUCCCAUUUCCAUUGGGAUUCCUUUGGCAAGGGGUUCUCAUGAACCCACCAACAUAGCCUCAAGGUAUCACACCUUGGCACAUUUGGUGUCUCCACACCAUCAGCUCCACGAGCCUACCUCUAUGACACUUCCCCUUCGUGUUUAAGUCUUUGCCAAGACUAACACCGCUCUUUCUCAUGCCAACCAUCUGUUAGCACUACACCAUAGAGGUCACACACAACUUUGUGUCAAAGUUGUUUUCUUCUGGGAACAUCUUUCCCAUAACUUUAGCAUGGCACAUUUUGCCAUCGAUGAGAUACUCUCAGUUCUCAUCCUUGGAUCCUAUGAUCCCCCCCCAUCCUUUGUGGGGUACAACACACCUCAGUCCAAAUGCUUCCAUCAGUCUUUUUAGGACCAUCCGUUGACUCUACUUGAGUCAUCCAGCAGUUUUGGACUUGGUUAAUCCACAGACCCGUAAGGUCCUACUUGUGCGGCACUAGCUCACUGGAAUACACUUCUUGCAUUCCUGUCCUACUCAAAAGGACUAUUUUCACAAGUGUUACUCCGACACUUGAUUUUGUUCUCUGGGGGCAACCUUUGCCCCUUAGGACUACUUGUCCAUGUGAUGAGAACACCAACUCAUCCACUUAAUACACCCCCAACUCCUUGGGUUGUUCCAGCAUUUAUUAGAGGUAGCCCGGCUACCUUUUCAAGGACUUGAGUCCUCUUCCGUAUUUGACCUCCCACGGUCAUUACUUCUGGUCUCACAUUCAUGAGCACCAACCUCAACUAUAUGAGGAAAAUCUUGUGACUCCUUUAUUGCUUUGGAGUCUUUAUCUUUCCCGUGAUCCCAACUGUAGUUGUUUACCACAACUACAUUAGCCAGUUUGCUAAGUCAAACGCUCAUCUAGAUCACAUCCUCAACUCUUUGAGGAAAACCAUAUACUGUUCCCAAGAUCCCAAAGUCGUUCCAUUAUUGGCCCUUUUCUAUCCACCACCUUGUCUACAAGUUCACACAUGAACUGUAAUGGAGAGCCAUGUCUUCCCGACUUGCUACUCCUCAAGGAUAGGCCCACUCCUCGGACCUUCCGAUGCCAACACUAGUGGUGAUAUACUUGAGCACCAAUAAAAGUCGGACUAAGGAACAGCUCCGAUACCAAAUUGUAAGCGACUAAAUUUUCCAUUCUACUUUAGUCACUUAACCACACCUCCGACCACUUGGAGGAGUCUCAUUCACAACCUCCAUAAGUCCAAUCCAGGACUUGGGACUUGCUAGCCCCGAGAAUGGCAUCCAUGCCACUCAACAUUUGCACUUGGUCCAAGUGCUCCACGUGUCCGAUCCCAUGACCGACACUCAAAAGUACCAUCGACAUGCCAGCCCGUUACGCUAAGGCCAUGCCCAAUCACCUUUGCCACACUGGUAGUCCAUUACCACUUGCAUCACAGUCUUGGCUCUCCAAGACUAGGCAAACCAUCCGUGAGUGGUCAUCUGAGAUCCACUCCUUAGCACCCUUAGGAUGCCCACCGACAUGGGGAAUAGCCUUCCCCAAUAUCCCUCUGUCAGUCCCCACUAAGUCCCUUUCUGCCCCUGGCCGUGUUUGCCAACACUGCCACUGGAUCGAGACCCACAGGCCCGACCACCAAGUCCCCCAGUCCUUUGGAACUUCCUCACCACACGACUGUGUCCUUGGUCACUACCCCAGAGGACUGCUCCUCUUCCUUUCCACAGUCUAGGCCUUUGGGACAACAUUUCGGAACACCGUGGCCUUACGCGAGCCACCUGGGUACUCUCCUCGCCUUUCGCCUUUAGGUGCUCUAGCCAUGGGCUUAGAGCGAGGUUCCGCUGAGCCACGCCUGGUAUCCAAGUAGGUAGUGCCACCCACACUUGGACUGGGAGCAUCGGCCAGUCGAUCUCCCGGGGGAACUAGAGCCGGCUCUUGAACACUUCACCAAGCUACCCCGCUUGGCGGUCUGUAUUCACUCUAGUCUUGGACUUCCCAGUGGUCAGUUCAUCACCCAACACUGGGUCUGGCCUUCCUGGGCCAAACUGGCCUUUCCUGGCCAAACUGGCUCCACUGCAGUCCUCCCCCUUACUAUACUUUUGGAGCUCACCAAACCCCCCAGGGUCUGGGAGACGAACGCUUUGGGCUUUCACCCUCUCAGGCUCCGGACUCGGACUCGGACUCGGACUCGGACUCGGACUCGGAUUCGGAUUCGGACUCGGACUCGGGCUCGGGCUCGGUCUCGGCCUCGGCCUCGGUCUCGGUCUUGGUCUCGGUCCCGGUCUUGGUCUCGACUUCGGACUCCAUCUCGGACUCCAUCUCGGACUCCAUCUCGGACUCCAUCUCGGACUCCAUCUCGGGUCCAUCUCGGGUCCAUCUCGGACUCCAUCUCAGACUCCAUCUCGGGUCCAUCUCGGACUCCAUCUCGGACUCCAUUUCGGACUCCAUUUCGGGUCCAUCUCGGACUCCAUCUCGGACUCCAUUUCGGGUCCAUCUCGGGUCCAUCUCGGACUCCAUCUCGGACUCCAUCUCGGACUCCAUCUCGGACUCCAUCUCGGGUCCAUCUUGGGUCCAUCUUGGACUCCAUCUCAGACUCCAUUUCGGGUCCAUCUCAGGUCCAUCUCGGACUCCAUCUCGGACUCCAUCUCGGGUCCAUCUCGGACUCCACUUCGGACUCCAACUCGGGUCCACCUCGGACUCCACUUCGGACUCCAUCUCAGACACUCCCACGUGUCAUGUGUUGGUCCUUUUGGGUCCCUUUUUGGAGCCUCGCCUUUUGCUCGCUUCGUGCUCGUUCCUCGAGCACUUCGUUGGGAGUUCCACUCCCGCUCUUGACUUUUCAAGUCGGAGCUUUUGGUCCAAACGUGUUACGCUCGUUUGGCUCUCGCUUCGGCCACUACCAUGUGGCGCCCUUCCGGCUCCACUUUGGGGCCUAGGGAUUUUGUGUCUCACACUUAGUAGGUAGUUUGUAUGAUGCGACCCGAAAGGGAUGCUGACUUUUGGGGCUAAGGCAAUUGAGUUGGAUAGAGUCUAGAGUUGGUGUAGAAAAGUGGCUGUUGCGCUUUUCUAAGAAAGGUGACCCUUGUGCCUUUCUUUUGUAGCGUUGUGUUUGGUGGCAAUUUGCACCUUGCAUUAUGUUAGACUCUAUGAGAGUAGUGAGCUCUCACUGAUCUUGACUUGGUUUUGGUGGCCCUGCACCUUGGCUGAGGAUGGUGAUGUCCAACUUAGUUGUUUGAGGUUGAGAUGUUGUGUAGCGCACGUGGUUUUGACCCUUUAUCCUAUGGUGAUUUACCAUAGGAUAACACCACGAAGCGGAACCUAAACCCUCUUUGUGCCACGUGACAGAUGCCACGUGUCACAUGCCACGUGUCCAUGCCACGUGUCCACAGGAACCCGAGGUUCAGGGCCUUGGGCCACUGAACGAAGGAACGGUGCCAAACUCCCAAGCGUGAUGCCAAGGAGUGAUGGAACCGGACCACGGAGCAACUCCUGAGCAUAUAGCCCAAGGAGCGAAGGGACAGGGGCCCGGAGCGACUUGGAACAGUCCUAGAGCAACCAGCAUCCCAAUGCCAGGACCAGCACGCAAAACGGAGCCAAACAGAGUCUGGCGCUAUUUCGGCAUACCGGUGGCCUAACGCGAGGAUAUGGGUACUCCACCAACUAGAAUGGAAUGGAACUUGGGCUUAGACCCAAGCCGGACGCAGAACAAGGACAGGCACGCAAGCGGGAGCUAGACUAUGCCUCAGGUUGGUCGGCCAUGCCCGACCUACCCACUAUCCCUACUAUACAUUUGGAACCCCCCACAGCCCCCCCCCCCUUGAGGAACACACGCUUUGGGCUUUCACCCCAAGCCUCCCUUAGUAUCAGGAGUUAGUCUCUGGGACAAGCUUAAAACUUACUAAAUAUGGAAUGUCCUUAGAAUGCGAAUUUGGACACAGGACGAACACCAUUGUGUUCAGGCCGACCUCUACAUUCCGUAAAUAUGCCAAAUGAGCAAAUCUAGACACUUUCCAUAAAUAGCAUUUGGGACCGAAAUGAGACUAACACAAAGGGCAUGAUAGUGAGGGUGUUUGGCAGACACGGUAAGCUAUCAUCUAGCGAUAUUGAGGAACCAAGCUCAAUAUCGCGGGGGUUCCCAACACUAGCAACCAAGCUAACCAAAGUCGAAGAUACUAUACUUAGUAUCGGAGACCAAUCCUCUAACAAUACUCAGUUACAGAGAACACAUCUCCAAGUGGUGAUUCACUCUUGCUUUCUUCUAGCUUUGUCCUGAUGUUGAUGGCAUUAAAGUGAUGCCUUGUCAUUGAUGUUGUUGACAUUGAGAUUCGAGUGAAAUGAGAUAUCCUUCCAAGGAUUGAUAUUGAGUUUCAUUAGUCUUGAUGAAUAUAGUGUUGAUGAUUUGGCUAUAGCUUUGUGUUGUUGGCAUUCGUGCAUUUGCUAGUUAGCAACUGUGUUGACGUUCAAACGAACUGAGUGGCAAGUUGAGUUAGUUGUGUUCUAGACGAGAUUAUUUAGUAGAGGGUUGAGCUUUAGCUUUUCCUUGAAAAGUGAUUUAGUCGUGGACUAUGCUAACUCUACGAGAAGAAGAGUUAGUGAUCGAUAUUAGAAUGUUGAGUCCUUGCUGGAUUUGAGUUCGGAAUAUAGCAAUCAUUAAUGAUUCUUUUUGAGCUUGUUAUGAAGUGAGUUACGUCUUGCUAUAGAUGGAUUCAUGGAGGAUCGUUUGAUGAUCACUUGUUAAGCACAGCUUCGUUAUGCUUAGCUUUUGGAUUGAUGCAGAAAUGCUCUUCAUUAGCUUUGGCAUUAUGAAGUUUGGCUUAUGGAUGUGUUGAGGAAGAUAUUGUGGGUUGCACCAUGAUUUCUUCUUUAGCAUUGAAGUUAGCUUCUAUGAGACUCGUGAUCAUUAUUAGGCAAGACUUAGUUAUAGGCUUCUUCGAGCUUUUGGUUCUUGAGUUUUGUGCUCAUUGUUCCAUUUGUUAGAAGUUGUUGGGGAAGGCAUUUUGGCUCAUUAGCUUCGAUGUUGAAGUUAGUAUUUGCAUUUAGCAAUCAUUGGUGAUGAUUGACUAUCAUCUAGGAAAGUUGAUUAUCCUUGUCGAAGGUUUUGCUUGAUUAUCGUUGAUCUAGAUUGAUUUGCUAUUCUUCGGGAUGGUGGAUUCCUUCUAAGACAAUGAUUCUGCAUAUCUCUUAUUGAUGGGAUGAUUAAUGAUCUUUCAUGAUGGUUAGUUGUUCUCUUUGAUAGCUUUUGGCUUUUUGCAAUACCACCAGUUGUUUGUGGUUUGCUCUGGAUUGGUCUCUUGGGUUUGAUACGUCAGUAGGAUGUUGCUAACACUUGCUUAGGCAACUUGAGUUCCUUGGUAUUGUUGACUGGGAUCUAUUCAGAUUGGCUUUUGUGAUAGUUGGCAGGAAUGAGUGUUUGUUGGUCUUACCACAUUCAUUUUCUUCUGUUGAUUGUUGCUAGAGUUAGUUUUGAUAGAUUUGGAUGUUAUUUCCUUUGGGUGAUACAUUCGCGAGCAUUGUGCUUGUUAGUCAAUGAUACUUUGUGUUCUUUGAGUUCUCUCUAGUAAGUUGUUGGCUUACUGUCUACUAUCUUCGAUAGUUAAGUUUCAUCAUUGAGUUUCCUUGAUGAUAUACUAGCUAUUGAAUUUUGUUGGAUGGUCAUUCCUGUGUUUGCCAAAUUAUGAUGAUCUUGGUGGUUCCUAUCUACAAUACUACUAGUUUAUCGGAUGAUAACUUGUUUAGAAUACUUUUGUGUUCUUCUCUAAGAUAUAAUCACUAGUAAUUACGCGUCUUAGAUAUCAUUGUUUAUGACUUUGAUAUAGUCCCUAUAUAUUGAUCUUUGAGUUUGGGCCAGUAUAGGCAGACUGGCUUCGGCACUUCGUGUGCAUGGUGAAAUCUCUAGUCAUGGGGUAGCUACUGUCGACUGGUCACAUAACCCGCCUCUUUGUCGAUGUUCCUUAUUCCGUUGAAAGGGCGUGACCGUGUAAACAACUCUAACUGCCUGUUUACAGUAGUCUAUCUAAACCUUACUGACGGGUUUGGUUUCUUUGCUUAGGAGGGUAGGGGCCUCUGGCUUCUCUCUCUAUGUUCCUGCGGGCAGGGCAUAUCACACUUUUGUAAGCUGGGUGACUCCCAGAGCAGCAGGGGUGGCUGACUCCGUUGGUCAUUUCCUUGUCGGCGACGGCCGGAAGGUGUCUGAGCUGGUAGCGCAUCCGCGUUAGACAAAGAGGUUACCCCCUAACUCAUUUAAGUUGGUGCAUUUCUCACAUAGUGUGAGUACCGUGAACUUUUUAUGGAGUUGUUUCCUUGGCGGUAUUCUAGACUCGAGUAUGCAUCGACGAGGACGUCGAUCUUCCCAAGGGGGGGAGAGUGUCGCGCAUGUGACUUCGGGUAUCGAAAGUUACCUAUCGGCUAGUCCUUACGGACACUCUUACCUUACUGCCACGACGGCAGGAGGUCGGUAUUGCUGGACCCGUUAUUAGUCUCCGCCUAAGCUAGUUGAGAAACUGGUCAUCACAUGUGCACUUAGACCGGAAGGGCACUAAGGAAGGAAAUCCUAAGUUGUCAUUUAGUCAAGCAGACUUGACACGGUGAUGAGAAACUCAUGAUGUUGGCUUGCACUUGGUUUUCCAUGUUGGCAUGUCGACUUUACCUCUGUUGAUAUCAUUUGGUUACAUUUAGUCCGUAGUGUUGGAUUUCAUUGAGUCUUGGACGUGGUGAAUCACUCUUUGAUGAUGUGUUCUCUGUAACUGAGUAUUGUUAGAGGAUUGGUCUCCGAUACUAAGUAUAGUAUCUUCAACUUUGGUUAGCUUGGUUGAUCCAAAAAUAUGCUUAAGCAUCGAACAUCUUUGCCCAUCUAACCGAUAUCCAACACCGUCAUCUGCAAAGUGCAAAAUGAACAUCCAAGGCUUGAUCACUAAGACCACAUCUUCGGAUAUCCACAUUGCACUAACACUCUUCUUCAAUCACCUUCAAGAUCCAAUGUGAAGCCAAAACACUAACAAGAUAAAUGACAUGAAAAAUCAAGGUCCAAGAAAAAUUCCUCAUCACUUGAAAUAACAAUGCCACUUCCACUAACACAAGUGCUAGUGAUGUCAAUGCCCCAACUACACACCUUCUCCAUCCAAUAAUUUAUUCCAAGUGCUAAUGGAUCAACCGAUGAGCUAUAACAAAUGAAUGCUAUAACCCUUUUCCAACACCUUAUGGGCAAACCCUCAAGGAAACAAGGUACCAACAUAAGCUUAGCAUAAUGGACCACCAUUGAGAAUCCAGUCAAGGCUACUACAAUGCUACUUCGUGCAAGUAGACUAGCUUCUCCAUCAACCACUUUGGGGUUGAUCAUCAUUUACCCAAGCAACUUCGUAAACACAUUGCUCUUUAUCACAUGGAUAUGAUAUAAGCAUCACAAUGACUUGAUCAUCAAUUGAGUAACACAAUGAGCAAUGCCUAUGUCAUUACUUCAAACGUUUAUGUGAGUAUCAAAUGCCAACUCGAUUCGACAAAAUGCAACAUAAAUGCCACACUCCACCAAUAGAGGUUUACGACACCCAACACCACUAACUUUUGUUCACAACACGGACAAGCUCAUGCCACUCUCUUUCCGACCAAACUCAACACUAAUCCAACACCAAGCUACUCAAGGAGCAAUAGCAAGGUUCCCCGGAAAAGAAUUGAGCAUUGCAACCCAAGUCUUCCAAUAGCAAGCUUAGACAAAAUGGUUAGCAUUUCACCACUAUCCAUCCCACAACUCACCAUUGUAAGACCACCAUCUCCAACAUGCGUCAAGAUAGGGACUCUUGAUUGCAUGAUGUGAACACAAGCAAUGAGUUAACACCUCGUUGCAAAUCAUCUCUCCAAGAAGAGAAAAUGAUUUACGUAUUUGAUCCUUCGUCCCUGAUGACUCUCUUUUCGGUCUCAUCUUUGACCAAACCUCAAGCUUGCUUUCGCACUGCCUUCAGUUCAAUCCAAGAAAAGUUUAUGAGAGAGCACGGCCAUGAUUACUUGAACCAAUAGACUAAUCCCUAUAGUCUUGAUUGAUCCACUUAUAAUCACGCCUAGGAAGGAUCCACUAGUGCCGUGCUAAACAGCUACGGACCAGCCUAUUUGCCACUCAUAGCAAACCCAGGGAGGUUUGCUUUCACCCAUGGUACAUGGAACAACUCAUGGAACCAACGAUAGGCUAACAUUAAUCCUGCCAACUCAAAGUGUAACCUCGAGUUGCUAAUGUGCCUCACUCACGAGCUCAAGCUCAAACUCGUGCAAACGGAACAUCUCCAAACCAUCCUAUGAGCCCAAGCGCAAGCUCACAUCAUAAGGUAUAACAAGGUAACAAUAUCCAUACCCAAGGAACCAAUUGCGAAGCCUUUGCACCCAAACGUGUACCCACUCGGAUCAUCGUUUUCAUCUCUGCGUAUGCAACAAGACUAGUUGCCCAAUCUCAUUGAAUAGUACUCGCUGAGACUCAUUCUCUGAUACCAAAUGUAGCGCACGUGGUUUUGACCCUUUAUCCUAUGGUGAUUUACCAUAGGAUAACACCACGAAGCGGAACCUAAACCCUCUUUGUGCCACGUGACAGAUGCCACAUGUCACAUGCCACGUGUCCAUGCCACGUGUCCACAGGAACCCGAGGUUCAGGGCCUUGGGCCACUGAAAGAAGGAACGGUGCCAAACUCCCAAGCGUGAUGCCAAGGAGUGAUGGAACCGGACCACGGAGCAACUCCUGAGCAUAUAGCCCAAGGAGCGAAGGGACAGGGGCCCGGAGCGACUUGGAACAGUCCUAGAGCAACCAGCAUCCCAAUGCCAGGACCAGCACGCAAAACGGAGCCAAACAAAGUCUGGCGCUAUUUCGGCAUACCGGUGGCCUAACGCGAGGAUAUGGGUACUCCACCAACUAGCAUGGAAUGGAACUUGGGCUUAGACCCAAGCCGGACGCAGAACAAGGACAGGCACGCAAGCGGGAGCUAGACUAUGCCUCAGGUUGGUCGGCCAUGCCCGACCUACCCACUAUCCCUACUAUACAUUUGGAACCCCCCACAGCCCCCCCCCCUUGAGGAACACACGCUUUGGGCUUUCACCCCAAGCCUCCCUUAGUAUCAGGAGUUAGUCUCUGGGACAAGCUUAAAACUUACUAAAUAUGGAAUGUCCUUAGAAUGCGAAUUUGGACACAGGACGAACACCAUUGUGUUCAGGCCGACCUCUACAUUCCAUAGAUAUGCCAAAUGAGCAAAUCUAGACACUUUCCAUAAAUAGCAUUUGGGACCGAAAUGAGAUUAACACAAAGGGCAUGAUAGCGAGGGUGUUUGGCAGACACGGUAAGCUAUCAUCUAGCGAUAUUGAGGAACCAAGCUCAAUAUCGCGGGGGUUCCCAACACUAGCAAGUGCAAGCCAACAUCAUGAGUUUCUCAUCACCGUGUCAAGUCUACUUGACUAAAUGACAACUUAGGAUUUCCUUCCUUAGUGCCCUUCCGGUCUAAGUGCACAUGUGAUGACCAGUUUCUCAACUAGCUUAGGCGGAGACUAAUAACGGGUCCAGCAAUACCGACCUCCUGUCGUCGUGGCAGUAAGGUAAGAGUGUCCGUAAGGACUAGCCGAUAGGUAACUUUCGAUACCCGAAGUCACAUGCGCGACAUGUUGGUACCCGUACUAUAGCUUUGUCUAUGAGGAGGUUGUGUACCGAUAUGAGUCCAUCUCAUGGUCUUCACUUUAGUUUCGACUGAGUGUUGAUCACAUAGCUAGCCUCUUCAAGGCAUGCUCAGAGCUAUUGACUAAAUGCAUUAGUGGGCUUAUUGUGGUUGAGUUGGAUUCGAGUGGUCAUUUAGUUUGUGCUUGUCUAUGAACUUUUAUCUCGUACCUGGGGUAUCACGUUCAUGUUGGACAAGUAUAUAACUUGAUGACAAAGAGUUGGUGUUUGGGUCUUGUAAACGUAAGUUGAGGAGUGAUUGUUAGUUGCUUUGCGACUAGUGAUUACUUGUAGACUUCAUCAAGGACCGUUGACACUUGCUUUGCUCGAUGAUGAUUUAGCAGUGAUGGGCUUGCUUUACCGGAUGGUGUUGCGGAGGAUCGUGUCAUUAGGCUGGCAUGGUUUUUCCAUGUUGGCAUGUCAAUUCCUUUGUCGAUAUCAUUUGGUUACAUUUAGUCUGUAGUGUUGGAUUUCAUUGAGUCUUGGAUGUGGUGAUUCACUCCUUGAUGAUGUGUUAUCUGUAACUGAGUUUUGUUGGAGGAUUGGUCUCAGAUACUAACUAAAGUAUCUUCGACUAUGGUUAGCUUGGUUGCUAGAGAGUUUCAAGUGGUGAUUCACUUUUGCUUUCUGCUAGCUUUGUUCUAUUGUUGAUGGCAUUGAAGUGAUGCCUUGUCAUUGACAUUGUUGAUGUUGAGGUAAAAUGAAAUGAGAUAUCUCUCCAUAGGAUUGAUAUUGAGUUUCAUUAGUCUUGAUAAAAAGUGUUGAUGAUUUGGCUUUAGUUUUGUGUUGUUAGCAUUCAUGCAAUUGCUAGUUAGCAACUGUAUUGACGUUCAAAUGAACUGAGUGGCAAGUUUGGGUUAGUUGUGUUCUAGACGAGAUUGCUUAGUUGAGGUUGAGUUUUAGCUUUUCCUUGAAAAGUGAUUUAGUCGUGAACAAUGCUACCUCUAUAAGAGGAAGAGUUAGUGAUUGGCAUUGAAGUGAUUGAAUCCUUCUUGGAUUUCAAUUGAGAUAUAUCAAUCAUUAAUGAUUUUUCUUGUGCUUGUUAUGAGGUGAGUUACGUCUUGCUGUAGAUGGAUUCAUGGAGGAUCGUUUGAUGAUCACUUGUUGAGCAUAGCUUCGUUAUACUUAGCUUUUGGAUUGAUGCAGAAAUGCUCUUCGUUAGCUUUGGUAUUAUGAAGUUUGGCUUAUGGAUGUGUUGAGGAAGAUAUUGUGGGUUGCACCAUGAUUUCUUCUUUAGCAUUGAAGUUAGCUUCUAUGUGACUCGUGAUCAUUGUUAGACAAGACUUGGCUAUAGACUUCUUUGAACUUUCGGUUCCUUGAGUUUUAUGCUCAUUGUUCUAUUUGUUUGAAGUUGUUGGGGGAAGGCAUUUUGGCUCAUUAGCUUCGAUGUUGAAGUUGGCUUUUGCAUCUAGCAAUCAUUGGUGAUGAUUAACUAUCAUCUAGGAAAGUUGAUUAUCCAUGUCAAAAAGUUUUGCUUGAUUAUUGUUGGUAUAGAAUGGUUUGCCGUUCUUCGGGAUGGUGGAUUCCUUCUUAGACGAUGAUUAUGCAUCUCUUUAUUGAUGGAAUGAUUGACGAUCUUUCAUGAUAGUUGGUUGUUCUCUUUGAUGGCUUUUGGCUUUUCGCAAUACCACAUGUUCUUUGUGGUUUGCUCUGGAUUGGUCUCUUGAGCUUGAGACAUCCAUAGGAUGUUGCUAACACUUGCUUAGGCAACUUGAGUUCCUUGGUAUUGUUGGCUGGGAUCUAUUUAGAUUGGCUUUUGUGAUAGUUGGCAGGCAUGAGUGUUUGUUGGUCUUACCACAUUCAUUCUCUUCUGUUGAUUGUUGCUCGAGUUAGUUUUGAUAGAUUUGGAUGUUAUUUCCUUCGGGUGAUACAUUCGCGAGCAUUGUGCUUGUUAGUCAAUGAUACUUUGUGUUCUUUGAGUUGUGUUUUGUGAGUUGUUUGGCAUGCUAUCUGCCAUUUUCGGUAGUUCAGUUUUAUCAUUGAGUUUCCUUGAUGAUCUACUUGCUAUUGAAUUUUGUUGGAUGGUGAUUCCUAUGUUUACCAAUUAUAAUGAUCUUGGUGGUUCCUAUACUGUAAUACUAGUUUAUCGGAUGAUAACUUACUUGGAAUACUUUUGUGUUCUAAUCUAAGCUUUAUUCACUGAUAAUUAAAUCUCUAAAAAUAUCAUUGUCUAUGACUUUGAUAUUGUCCAUCUAUUGAUCUUUGAGUUUGGGCUAGUAUAGGCAGACUGGCUUCGGCACUUCGUGUGCAUGUUGAAAUCUCUAGUCAUGGGGUAGCUACUGUCGAUUGGUCACAUCACCCGCCUCUCUGUCGAUGUUCCUUAUUUCGGUGAAAGGGCGUGACUGUGUAAACAACUCUAAACUGCCUGUUGACAGUAGUCUAUCUAAACCUUACCAACGGGUUUGGUUUCUUUGCUCAGGAGGGUUGGGGCCUCUGGCUUCUCUCUCUAUGUCUCUGCGGGCAGGGGCGUAUCACACUUUUGUAGUUGGGUGACACCCAGAGCAGCAAGGGUGGCUGACUCCAUUGGUCAUUUCCUUGUCGGCGACGGCCGGAAGGUGUCUGAGCUGGUAGCGCAUCCGCGUUAGACAAAGAGGUUCCCCUUAACUCAUUUAAGUUGGUGCAUUUCUCACAUAGUGUGAGUACCGUGAACUUUUUAUGGAGUUGUUUCCUUGGCGGUAUUCUAGACUCGAGUAUGCAUCGACGAGGACGUCGAUCUUCCCCAAGGGGGGGAGAGUGUCGCGAAUGUGACUUCGGGUAUCGAAAGUUACCUGUCGACCAGUCCUUACGGACACUCUUUCCUUACUGCCACGAUGGCGAGAGGUCGGUAUUGCUGGACCCUUUAUCAGCCCCUCUUGUUCAAGUGUUAGUAAACUGGACUUAGCAUCUGUACUUGGCCGGAUGAGCAUAAGGACGGAAUUCCUAAGUGUCUAUUUGGCCAAGCAUACUUGGCCCGGCUUUUUAGUUCUCUUUUGCUCUGUCUUGCACUGGCUUGACAAGAACCCUCGCGUAUUGAGAUUGGUCCCUCAAUAUCGCUGGAUGAUAGCUUACCGUGUCUGCCAAACACCCUCGCUAUCAUGCCCUUUGUGUUAGUCUCAUUUCGGUCCCAAAUACUAUUUAUGGAAAGUGUCUAGAUUUGGUCAUUUGGCAUAUCUACGGAAUGUAGAGAUCGGCCUGAACACAAUGGUGUUCGUCCCGUGUCCAAAUUCACAUUCUAAGGAUAUUCCAUAUUUAGUAAGUUUCAAGCUUGUCCCAGAGACUAACUCCUGAUACUAAGGGAGGCUUGAGGUGAAAGCCCAAAGCGUGUGUUCCUCAAGGGGGGGGGGGGGGGGGGGCUGUGGGGGGUUCCAAAUGUAUAGUAGGGAUAGUGGGUAGGUCGGGCAUGGCCGACCAACCUGAGGCAUAGUUUAGCUCCCGCUUGCGUGCCUGUCCUUGUUCUGCGUCCGGCUUGGGUCUAAGCCCAAGUUCCAUUCCAUGCUAGCUGGUGGAGUACCCAUAUCCUCACGUUAGGCCACCGGUAUGCCGAAAUAGUGCCAGACUCCGUUUGGCUCCGUUUUGCGUGCUGGUCCUGGCAUUGGGAUGCUGGUUGCUCUAGGACUGUUCCAAGUCGCUCCGGGCUCCUGUCCCUUCGCUCCUUGGGCUGUAUGCUCAGGAGUUACUCCAUGGUCCGGUUCCUUCAUUCCUUGGCUCCAUGUUGGGGAGUUUGGCACCGUUCCUUCGUUCAGUGGCCCAAGGCCCUAAACCUCGGGUUCCAUGGACACAUGGUAUGGACACGUGGCAUGUGACAUGUGGCAUUUGUCAUGUGGCACAAAGAGGGUUUAGGUUCCGCUUCGUGGUGUUAUCCUAUGGUAAAUCACCGUAGGAUAAAGGGUCAAAACCACGUGCGCUACAAUGGGCUAGUCAUAUCUGGGGCAUGGUGACUAGCGCGGUGACUUUGUGUCCAGACUGAGUCCAUCUGGUUGUAUAAUAAAUCUCAUUGUCAAGAUGAACAAGCUGAAUCUGAAGUUACAUUGAAGGAGUUAGUUUCCGCGUCCUCCUCUGCAUCAGUGAUGCAGCGCCCCACCCAUAUCAUUUGUUUUUUAUUACUGGGUCUGACAAGCACGACCAUUCCUUUGCAGACCUGUACUGGAUUGAAUGCUGAAUCCGGUUUCUUGUUCCUCGGCCCACAAUAGUGAUCCUCAACAUCGUUAUCUGUCACUGCAUUUCCAGAGGACAUUGUUCCGCUACUAUCUGGUGCUUUGGGUUCUGGCCAAAAGGACUCUUCCAAUUCUUCAUAUACAACCAGCCCAUUUUGGAUAGUAGAUAUAAUCUUCUCCCAGUAUUCGAGCAAAGGCUUGCACCUCUGAAAAUAGGAUUCUCCACCAAACACCAACCCCCUCUUCCAGAAGGCAAUAUGCUAUCUAAUCCCGGCCACUAUACUUUCCUGGUCUUUGAGUCCAUCCGGGUGCAUCGGCCGUGGGGAACCCUGAGGAAUCAUAGGUUCCCCAGUUAUGGGAUCUCUCUUGAAGAGUUCAAUGCCGUCCACUGGCAGCCACACUGUGUCCCAUUCUCUCAUCUUGUACCUCAUCACUGGAGCACCGUCACGCAUGCUGAAAUGAAACUGAAGAGGCUUGGAGUGGCCAAUCAGCGUUUUGGAUCCAUCCCUGAUGUAGCCUCUUACAAACCCCUUAAAGUCUGGAACCUCUGUCACAAGUGCAGCUUCAACAGUGCCUUUGAUGCAAUUUUGGAAUUCAUCGUAGAGUUGUGGGAGGGUGAGGACAUUAGAUCGCCAGAGGGACUCUGCCAGGUGACUGAACAUGGCAUCGACAUCUUCAUGAGUGUGCCCAACCAUAAGAAAGCCAAGUGUAACCAUUUCAAAUAUGUCUUUGGCAACAAACAUCGCCAAGUACGCGAAGACGUACAUGUUUUUGUUCUCAUUGCCAGCAUUGUCUGUUUGGAGCAGAAGAUGGGGUGGAAGGCCACAUCGGCCGCAAGAACUUCCUUGAGAUUCUACUUCGUUUGGAUGAGGCUGUGCAUUCACCGGGCGACCAGCCUCAUCGGAAUGGCAUGAGGCCUCACGUGAUAACCCUACAAUCUGACAGCGAUGUUAAAAAACUAUAUUCCAACAUUGAGCCGUUGAGAGUGACUCCAGUUCGCGAAGUGAAGGGGAAGGGGGUCGAUUUGGAAACUACCCCAAAGCAGAAAAGGGUGGUCAAGCUCAAGCCGACGUCCGACUCUCCUGCUCCAAAAAAGAAGCUACUCAGUGAUGCCAUUGCCUCGGGUUCGAACACUUCACCCACCAAAAAGAAGAGCCGCAAAGAGUAGAAAGAGCAAGAAGAGGCAGCAAAAAUCAUCGCAGAUAAUAGUACUUGUUACUAUUCCAACAAAGUAUAUACAAUCGACGUGAGCCACAUCGACAUCCAAAGCAAAUACAACCACAGGCUAGUAUCUGAUGAGUGGGUGGAGAAACUGAAGCAGAAGAUGCUGGCAAGUCCAAUAACACCCGACAUCGCAGACGUGAUCCCCUACUACCGAACAAUGAAGGGCGAGAUGAGGUUUCCAGACUUGAUCAAUAGGAAGGUGUUGGACGAUCAGAACAUCCGGUUCUAUGCCAUCUCCGGGCAGCAUUCUAGCUUGGCGAUGCAAGAGAUAGUUGUGGAUAUUAUGGUGGGCGAGGAGGUGAAGAAAGUCUUCAAGACAAGAGUUGUCUGCCUGAUAAAAGGCAACUCGCCCCUCCGAUCUAUCAUAUACAUCUCCCACGCGCAGAAUGUCAAGCAAGAAACGUGCUACAAAUCGGGUCUGCACAAGACAUUGGCACGAACACGGAAGCUCUAGGUUCAACUGAAGAAGCCACAAAAACCAAGACAAGGACGUGCACUAGCAACUAGCGCCUGGCAGGUAAGCCUCGUUGCAUGUGGCAUAGCAUGUGGCCUCACACCAUUUCCAUUGUAGGAAUUCUCGAGUCUUCUCUCGAAAACACUGGGGGUCAAUGACACACUCAGCAUCCAUAACAUUCUACUCGCGACAAAAGUUGUUUUUGACAAAUGGGUAGAUGUGCUAAGGAGGUACCAUGACGGGGAGUUGCUAAACUCAAUGGGUGUGGAGGACAGCCGGAAGCCCAAUGAUUUGAAGCUUAACGCCUUGCAUUUCUCGCGGUCUCUAGACGACGACGACCUUCUGACAGUGGCUAAUGCUCUUCUACGUGGUGAGGUAGUCUUCAACAAGACCAAAAUGACUCCCGGCCAUAUUGUGACAUACGAGGACUUGUGCACAACUCUGAGAGCUUGUGCGCUAUUGAAGGAUUGGAUCUUCGAGCAAGUGGCCGUGGAGAGGGUGAGCAUUGACACCACGCAAGAGAUGAUGGAAGAGCUGGAGUUGUCAAAUGAAGACAUCGACGAGUACGUGAAGGGGGCCCCAAAGUUCAUCGUUUUGCUGCGGGAUGCCACGAAAAGUAAAGCUGAGAAGUUGGAUCAGUAUCCAAAUUUCAUUAAGAGGGAUGUCGACCGUCGGCUUCAAAAACAGCUCAACCCCGCAGCAGAGGCCUAUCGAGAACCUUACCGGGUAUACGUGAAUUCAGAUGAGGAUCAAAGGUGGAGGAGCAUCGUUUCCCGCGGAGAUGAGCAGGUCAAGAACAUCUUUUGUGUGAUGGACUUCACAAACAAGGAGAUCACUCAUGCAAACGAAGUCAGCUCCAUCAUUGACUUAAUGGUGGGACUUGCGGAGGUAGAAUCUUCAGUCCACUAUAUGAUCUACGACUCCGAAUCCUAUCACAAGUUCUGGAAGGCCUUGAACGAGGUGAAGACUCGGUUGAAAGGCAAGGAGAUGUGGGAGAUCCAUGGGAUAAUGGCUAGGAAGAAGAUACCGACGAAUGUCCACAUCUUCACACUCGCCCUUGUUAUUGGUCUUGCAGCAGUGUGGGACUAGAGUGACUUCCCAGCUUCGUUCAACAAGGCCGAUCGAAUUGAUCUGAGGGAGGUCAAUUUACCCAUGCCUGAGGAACUGAAGACGGCUAUGGAGCUUUCGAAUCCAAAGAAAGCUCCAGGUGCAGCAUGGGAAAUGCUCAGCUGGGUCUUCAACGCAAUAGCGGGUGGGUCACCUGCUUCCGACUCCAAGGGCAAAUGCGUUGUCGAGUACAACUGCGGCGGACUAUUCUUUCGAGCCGCACUACUCAAGGGUGUCCCGUGUGUUGCGGUGACAAACUCCAUUGAAUAGGUGACUUCAAUGGAGCAUAUAAUUACAGUUGCCAAAGAAAAACAGUAUCUUCUCUGCGAACCUGGUGAGUACGCACUUUAAGUUUGAAUGUUAUCUCACAAGCUCUGUAUGCAGGAGCGUGGCCACCCCCAGAUGCUGAAAUGGCGUUAACAACUGUUGUUGAAGAUACCCAUGUUGGGCCGAGCUCACAACCUACACAAGGUAAGGUCACGUGAGGCCUCACGCCAUUUUGAUUAUAGAUCGUUGUGAAUAUUCAGACACGAGGACUGAAAAGCGCAUUGGUGGCGCGUCGAAGAAGGACAAACAGACAAGCAAGAGGAAAAAAGAAGGUAUAAAUUAUAUUUGCAAUGGCGUGUGGUCUCAUGCCAUUCCUUGCAGGAGACACUUCUUCAAAGGGAAGGCACGAGGACGUACAGAAGGCAAAACAGGCAAGCACCAGCCAAGUACAACGGACAAGAGGUACCAAUCAUUGUUGUUAUACGUGAAUUCUCAUGCCAUUGCUUCUUGCAGCUCAAAUUCCAAAGAGACUAGGGCAAGCAGCGCAAACCUCACGACAAGAACCUGAAGGUUUGAUGGCGUGUGGCCCCACGCAAUUAACUAAUGUUCUUGUAGAUCACGUCGAGGAAAUCGAACGGAACAACGUGCCUCCAGUGGAGGAGGGGGAGGCCUCGAAGAGUGAUAAAGAGAGUUCCGAAACAAGUGAUGCACGAUUAGAGGUGAGUAAUAUUACCAUUUGACUUUCUCCUAACGCAGGAGGAUUGCUUGACUAUGGUCCAUGUGAGGGGUAGCAAGCCCAUCUUCGUCAAGCCAGAGGCUGUAGUGAUGAACCGGACUGCUAGGUCAAGUGAAAUCCUCAUCAUCGAUGACUCACCGAUUAAAACUGCAGCGAACACGCGUGCACCCCAUCUCUUGCAAUAUGGAAACUAGGGAGAAGAAACCGUAUGUUCUGGGGGACCUUGCAAAACGGCUUGGAGCAAUGGUGAUAGAGAACCGGCCAGUCCAGGAGGUGGCUGCAGAAAUCAACCAAAUGGCAGAUGGAACGGUAUAUUAGAAGUCAUUUGAUCAGACAGACACCAGUCAUCAUUUAUGGCAUGUAUAUUGUCUAGCCAAGCACUAUCCGCAUCUCCAUAAUCUGCUCAACUGGAUGGGUUCUUCGACCACUGAACAUGAGCGUGGACGUAUUAGAGAAGAGAUGGCAUUACUAUUGGGUUUAAAUCCUGAUAGUGUGGAGAGUGAUGAAAUUCCAAGAUUGUUGUAUAGGCGUUGGAGGCAAAAAAUAACAAUCUGAGAUGGCAUGUAUUUAUUUAAAAAUGUAACUUAUUAUGGCAUGGGGUUCCAUGCCAUUGUAUUAAUAUUAAAAGACAAUUCUUUGAGAGGAUUUGCAUUAUACUAGAAGUGUUACAGCAUGUUAUUGGAAGUCUACAAAGUUGUUUUAUUAAUAAGGGGAAAGUAAAGAUUGAAUGGGGACUUGGGCUCCACCUAGACUCGGAGCAACUGAGCCAAUAUUAAAAGGAUGGAAAGAAAUUAGACGACGAUGACAAGGAGAAGAGAGAGGUGAAGCAGUGGCAGGGGGAGGAGAAGUGAUUGAGUAGACAUUUCUUUGUUUAAAAUAAAAUGGCAUGUGCCUCAAUGCAGUUGAUUUUUGUUAUAUUUAUAUACUAUAUAAAGGUUUGGAAACCUUAUUUUACAAGUGGGAUAAUGACAAUUCCCACUUUAACGAAAUAGAACUUAGCUUUAAAUCCCUCAAUAUUGCUGGAUGAUAGCUUACUGUGUCUGCCAAACACCCUUGCUAUCAUGCCCUUUGUGUUAGUCUCAUUUCGGUCCCAAAUGCUAUUUAUGGAAAGUGUCUAGAUUUGCUCAUUUGGCAUAUCUACAGAAUGUAGAGAUUGUCUUGAACACAAUGGUGUUCAUCCCAUGUCCAAAUUCACAUUCUAGUGCCAUUCCAUAUUUAGUAAGUUUCGAGCUUGUCCUAGAGACAAACUCCUGGUACUAAGGGAGGCUUGGGGUGAAAGCCCAAAGCAUGUGUUCCUCGGGGCGGGGGGGGGGGGAAGCGGGGGCUGUGGGGGUUCCAAAUGUAUAGUACGGAUAAUGGGUAAGUCGGGCAUGGCCGACCAAUCUGAGGCAUAGUCUGGCUCUCGCUUGCAUGCCUAUCCUUGUUCUGUGUCCGGCUUGGGUGUAAGCCCAAGUUUCAUUCCAUACUAGCUGGUGGAGUACCCAUAUCCUCACGUUAGGCCACCGAUAUGCCGAAAUAGCACCAAACUCCGUUUGGCUCCAUUUUGUAUGUUGGUCCUAGCAUUAGGAUGCUGGUUGCUCUAGAAUUGUUCCAAGUCACUCCGGGCUCCUGUCCCUUCGCUCCUUGGGCUGUAUGCUCAGGAGUUACUCCAUGGUCCGGUUCCUUCAUUCCUUGGCUCCAUGUUGGGGAGUUUGGCACCGUUCCUUCGUUCAGUGGCCCAAGGCCCUGAAACUCGAGUUCCACACCACUGUCCUUUGGACAUGUGGCAUGUGACACAUGGCAUCUGUCACGUGGCACAAAGAGGGUUUAGGUUCUAUUUCGUGGUGUUAUCCUAUGGUAAAUCACCAUAUGAUAAAGAGUAAAAACCACGUGCGCUACAUUUGGUAUCAGAGGAUGAGUCUCAGUGAGUAGUAUUCAAUGAGAUUGGGUAAUUAGUCUCGUUGCAUAUGCAGAAAUGAAAAUGAUGAUCCGAGUGGGUACACGUUUGGGUGCUAAGACUUCGCAAUUGUUCCUUGGGUAUGGAUUUGGUUACCUUUUUGUAUCGUAAUAAUGUGAGCUUGCUCUUGGGCUCAUAGGAUGGAUUUGAGGUGUACCAUUUGCAUAAGUUUUCGCUUGGGCUCGUAAAUGAGGCAUAUUAGCAAUUCAAGGUUGCACUUUGAGUUGGCAGGAUUAAUGUUAGCCUAUCAAUGGUUCAAUGAGUUGUUCCAUAUACCAUGGGUAAGAGUGAACCUUCCCUAAGUUUGGUAUGAGUGGUAAAUAGGCUAGUCCGUAACUGUUUAGCAUGGCACUAGUGGAUCCUUCCUAGGCAUGAUUAUAAGUGGAUCAAUCAAGACUAUAGGGAUUAAUCUUUUGGUUCAAGUAGUCAUUGCCGUGCUCUCUCGUAAACUUUUCUUGGAUUGGACUGAAGGCAAUGCGAACGCAAGCUUGAGGUUUGAUCAAAGAUAAGACCGAAAAGAGAGUCCUCAGGGACGAAAAAUCAAACACAUAAAUCAUUUUCUCUUCUUGGAGAUAUGAUUUGCAACGAGGUGUUAACUCAUUACUCGUAUUCACAUCAUGCAAUCAAGAAUCCCUAUCUUGAUACAUAUUGGUUAUGAUAAUCUUGCAAGUGGUGAGUCGUGAGAUAGAUAGUGGUGAAGCGCUCUACCAUUUUGUUUAGACUUGCUAUUGGAAGACUUAAGUUGCAAUGCUCAAUUCUUUUCUAGGGAACUUUGCUAUUUCUCCUUGAGUAACUUGGUGUUGGAUUAGUUUUGAGUUUGGUCAGAAAGAGAGUAGUAUGAGUUUGUCCAUGUUGUGAACAAAAGUUAAUAGUGUUGGGUGUUGUAAGUCUCUAUCAGUAGAGUGUGGCAUUCAUAUUGCAUUUUGUCCAAUUGAGUUAGCACUUGAUAGUCACAUAAGCCUUUAUAGUAGUGAUAUGGGCAUUACUCAUGGUGUUGCUCAAUUGAUGAUCAAGUCAUUGUGAUUUUUAUUUCAUAUCCAUAUGAUAGUGAGCAAUAUAUUUACAAAGUUGUUUGGUUAAACGAUGAUCAACCCCAAAGUGGUUGAUGGUGAAAUUAGUUAACUUGCACAAAGUAGCAUUGUAGUAGUUUUGACUGGAUUCUCGAUGGUGAUCCAUUGUGCUAAGCUUAAGUUGGUUCCUUGUUCCUUAAGGGUUUACCCAUUAGGUGUUAGAAAAAGGUUGUAGCAUUCAUUUGCUAUAACUUGUCGGAUGAUCCAUUAGCACUUGGAGUAAAUUGUUGGAUGGAGAAAAUGUGUAGUUGGGGCAUUGAUAUCACUAGCAUUUGUGUUAGUGGAAGUGGCAUUGUUAUUUCGAGUGAUAAGGAAUUUUCCUUAGACCUUGAUUUUCCAUGCUAUUUUUUUUAUUAGUGUUUUGGCUUCACAUUGGAUCUUGAAGGUGAUUGAAAAAGAGUGUUAGUGCAAUGUGGAUAUUCAAAGAUGUGGUCUUCGUGAUCAAGCCUUCGAUGUUUAUUUUGCAUUUUACGGAUAUCAGUGUUGGAUAUCGGAAAUAUGGGCAUGAUAUUCAAUACUUAAGCAAACUAUGGGUCUUGAGAAUUUGUGUUGAGGUGAAUCUUUGUGAAGUUGUUAGUAGGAGGAAGUUAGUUAAGUCUUGAAGGUUUGCAUUCCUAGAUUGAGAGUCAUUCUUUCUCUAGGAUGGAAAAUUUUCCACAAAUUUUCUUAGACUUUUCCAAUGGUUGAUCUGUUGAUCAUUUUGCCCGAAAACCAUUUCGCUUUCGUAAGUUAGUAUAGACUAGUGAAAGGGUUGGAGUUGACUUUAGUGGGCUUAGACCUUAGUAAAUAGUUUGUAUGAUGCAGCCCAAAAGGGAUACUGAUUUUUGGGGCUAAGACAAUUGAGUUGGAUAGAGUUUGGAGUUGGUGUAAAAAAGUGGCUAUUGUGCUUUUCUAAGAAAGAUGACACUUGUGCCUUUCUUCUAUAGCAUUGUGCUUGGUGGCAGUUUGCACUAUGCAUUUCGUUAUACUCUAUGAGAGUAGUGAGCUCUCACUAAUCUUAACUUGGUCUUGGUGGCCCUGCACCUUGGCUGAGGAUAGUGAUGUCCAACUUAGUUGUUUGAGGUUGAGAUGUUGGUACCCGUAUUAUAGCUUUGGCUAAGAGGAGGUUGUGUACCGAUAUGAGUCCAUCUCAUGGUCUUCACUUUAGUUUCGACUGAAUGUUGAUCACAUAGUUAGCCUCUUCAAGACAUGUUCAGAGCUAGUGGCUAAAUGUUUUAGUGAGCUUAUUGCGGUUGAGUUGGAUUUGAGUGGUCAUUUAGUUUGUGCUUGUCUAUGAACUUUUGUCUCGUACUUGGGGUAUCAUGUUCAUGUUGGACAAGUAUAUAACUUGAUGACAAGAGUUGGUGUUUAAGUCUUGUGAAGGCAAGUUGAGGAGUGAUUGUUAGUUGCUUUGCGAUUAGUGAUUACUUGUAGAUUUAGUCGAGGACUAUUAACACUUGCUUUGCUCGAUGAUGAUUUAGCAGUGAUGGGCUUGCUUUACCGAAUGGUAUUGUGGAGGAUCGUGUCGUUAGACUUACAUGAGUUUUUCAUGUUAACAUGUUGACUCUACCUCUGUUGAUAUCAUUUGGUUACAUCUAGUCCAUAGUGUUAGAUUUCAUUGAGUCUUGGACGUGGUGAAUCACUCCUUGAUGAAGUGUUAUCUGUAAUUGAGUUUUGCUGAAGGAUUGGUCUCGAAUACUAACUGAGGUAUCUUCAACUUUGGUUAGCUUAGUUGCUAAAGAGUUUUGAAUGGUGAUUCACUCUUGCUUUCUUUUAGCUUUGUUCUAAUGUUGAUGGCAUUGAAGUGAUGCCUGUCGUUGACAUUAUUGAUGUUGAGAAUCAAGUGAGAUGAAAUGUUUCUCCUUAGGAUUGACAUUGAGUUUCAUUAAUCUUGAUGAAGAUAGUGUUGAUGCUUUGGCUUUGGCUUUGUGUUAUUGGCAUUCAUGCAUUUGCUAGUUAGCAACUGUAUUGACAUUCAAAUGAACUGAGUGGCAAGUUGAGCUAGUUAUGUUUUAGAUGAGAUUGUCUAGUAAAGGUUGAGCUUUAGCUUUUCCUUGAAAAGUGAUUUAGUUAUGAACUAUACUAGCUUUAUGAGAGGAUGAGUUAGUGAUCAAUAUUGAAUAUUUGAAUCCUUAUUGGAUUUGAGUUGGAAUAUAUUGAUCAUUGAUGAUUUCUUUUGUGCUUGUUACGAUGUGUGUUAUGUCUUGCUAUAGAUGGAUUCAUGGAGGAUUAUUUGAUAAUCACUUGUUGAGCAUCGCUUUGUUAUACUUAGCUUUUGGAUUGAUGCAGAAAUACUCUUCAUUAGCUUUGGCAUUAUGAAGUUUGGCUUAUGGAUGUGUUGAGGAAGAUAUUGUGGGUUGCACCAUAAUUUCUUCUUUAGCAUUAAAGUUAGCUUCUAUGAAACUCAUGAUCAUUAUUAAACAAGACUUGGCUAUAGGCUUCUUCGAGCUUUUGGUUCUUUGAGUUUUGUGCUCAUUAUUCCAUUUGUUAGAAGUUGUUGGGGAAGGCAUUUUAGCUCUUAGCUUCGAUAUUAAAGUUGGCUUUUGUGUCUAGCAAUUGUUGAUGACGAUUGACUAUCAUCUUAGAUAGUUGAUUAUCCUUGUCGAAGGUUUUUCUUGAUUAUUGUUAAUCUAGAAUGAUUUGCUAUCCUUCGGGAUGGUGGAUUCCUUCUUAGACGAUGAUUCUGCAUAUAUCUUUUUGAUGGGGUGAUUGAUAAUUUUUCAUGAUGGUUAGUUGUUCUUUUUGAUAGCUUAUGGUUUUUUGCAAUACCAUAUGUUCUUUGUGGUUUGCUCUGGAUUGGUCUCUUAUGUGUGAGACAUCAGUAGGAUGUCGUUGACACUUGCUAAAAGCAACUUACGUUCCUUCAUAUUAUUGACCGGGAUUUAUUCAAAUUGGCUUGUGCAAUGAUUGGCAUGACUAAGUGUUUGUUGGUUUUACUACAUUCAUUUUGUUCUGUUGAUUGUUGCUCGAGUUAGUUCUAAUAGAUUAGGAUGUUAUUUCCUUCGGGUGAUACAUUCGCGAGCAUUUUGCUUGCUAAUCAAUGAUACUUUGUGUUCUUUGAGUUAAAUUUGGUAAGUUGUUUAGCAUACUAUUUACAAUCUUCGGUAGUUAAGUUUUCUCAUUGAGUUUACUUGAUGAUAUAUUUGUUAUUGAAUUUUGUUAGAUGGUGAAUCAUAUGUUUUCCAAUGAUAGUGAUCUUGGUGGUUCCUAUCCUAUAAUACUGGUUUAUUAGAUGAUAACUUACUUGGAAUACUUUUGUGUUCUAAUAUAAGGUUUAAUCACUGAUACUUAAGUCUCUAAGAUAUCAUUGUCUAUGACUUUGAUAUUGUCCAUCUAUUGAUCUUUGAAUUUGAGCCAGUAUGGGCAGAUUGGCUUCAGCACUUCGUAUGUAUGGUGAAAUCUCUAGUCAUGGGGUAGCUAUUGUUGAAUGGUCACAUCACCUGCCUCUCUAAAUGUAGUGCACGUGGUUUUUACCCUUUAUCCUAUGGUGAUUUAUUGUAGGAUAACACCACGAAACGGAACCUAAACCCUUCAUGUGCCACGUGACAGAUGCCACAUGUCACAUGCCACAUGUCCAAAAAACGUGGUGUGGAACCUGAGGUUCAGGGCUUUGGGCCACUGAAAGAAGGAAUGGUGCCAAACCCCCAAGCAUGGAGCCAAGGAGUGAUGGAACCGGACCAUGGAGUAACUCCCGAGCAUACAGCCCAAGGAGCGAAGGGACAGGAGCUCGGAGCGACUUGCAACAGUCCUGGAGUAACCAGCAUCCUAAUGCCAGGACCAGCACACAAAAUAGAGUCAAACGGAGUCUGGCGCUAUUUCGGCAUACUGGUGGUCUAACGUGAGGAUAUGGGUACUCCACCAGCUAGCAUGGAAUGGAACUUGGGCUUACACCCAAGCUGGACGCAGAACAAGGACAGGCACGCAAGCAGGAGCUAAACUAUGCCUCAGGUUGGUCGGCCAUACCGACCUACCCACUAUCCCUACUAUACAUUGGAACCCCCCACAUCCCCCCUCUGAGGAACACAUGCUUUGGGCUUUCACCCCAAGCCUCCUUUAGUAUCAGGAGUUAGUCUCUGGGACAAGCUCGAAACUUACUAAAUAUGGAAUGGCACUAGAAUGUGAAUUUGGACACGGGGCAAACACCAUUGUGUUCAGGACAAUCUCUACAUUCCGUAGAUAUGCCAAAUGAGCAAAUCUAGACACUUUCUAUAAAUAGCAUUUGGGACCGAAAUGAGACUAACACAAAGGGCAUGAUAGUGAGGGUGUUUGGCAGACACAAUAAGCUAUCAUCUAGUGAUAUUGAGGGACUAGUUUCAAUAUGCGAGGGUUCUUGUCAAGCUAGUGCAAGACAGAGCAAAAGAAAACUAACAAGCCAAGCUGAGUGUGCUCAGCUAAAUAGACACUUAGGAAUUCCUUCCUUAUGCUCAUCCGGCCAAGUACAGAUGCAAAGCCCAGUUUACUAACACUUGAACAAGAGGGGCUGAUAAAGGGUCUAGCAAUACUGACCUCCAGCCCUCGUGGCAGUAAGGAAAGAGUGUCCGUAAAGAUUGGUCAACAAGUAACUUUCGAUACUCGAAAUCACAUUCGCGAUACUCUUCCCCCCCUAGGGAAGAUCGACUUCUUCGUCGAUGCAUACUCAAGUCUAGAAUACCGCCAAGGAAACAACUCCAGAAAAAGUUCACGGUAUUCACACUAUGUGAGACAUGCAUCAACUUAAAAGAGUUAUGAGGCAACCUCUUUGUCUAACGCGGAUGUGCUACCCACUCAGACACCUUCCGGGCGUCGCCGACAAGGAAAUGACCAACAAAGUUAGCCACCCUUGCUGCUUUGGGUGUCACCCAGCUACAAAAGUGUGAUAUGCCCCUACCCGUAGGAACAUAGAGAGAGAAGCCAGAGGCCCCAACCCUCCUAAGCAAAGAAACCAAACCUAUCGGUAAGGUUUAGAUAGACUAUUGUAAAUAAGUAGUUAAAGUUGUUUACACGGUUACACCCUUUUAACAGAAUAAGGAACAUCGACAAAGAGGCGGGUGAUAUGAUCAUUUGACAGUAGCUACCCCAUGACUAGAGAUUUCACCAUGCACAAGAAGUGCCAAAGCCAGUCUGCCUAUACUGGCCCAAACUCAAAGAUCAAUAUUAAAGUCAUAAACAAUGAUAUCUUAGAGAUUUAAUUAUCAGUGAAUAAAGCUUAGAUUAGAACACAAAAGUAUUCCAAGUAAGUUAUCAUCUGAUAAACUAGUAUUAUAAUAUAGGAACCGCCAAGAUCAACAUGAUUGUAAAAGAUAGGAUUCACUAUCCAACAAAAUUCAAUAGUCAACGUAUCAUCAAGAAAAUGCAAUGAUGAAACUUAACUAUUGAAGAUGGCAAAUAAUAUGCCAAACAACUUACUAAAGAUAACUCAAAGAACACAAAGUAUCAUUAACUGGCAAGCAAUUGCCCCUUUUCCAGUUGGCUUAAAGGGAGAGAGAUAAGGUGUGCUAUAGUUGGUAUCAGAGUAAAUGACACGGGUUCGAUUCCCAUUGAUUAGUGGCUACUUAAAAAUAUAAUAUACAUUUGAGCAAGAUAUAUUCCUACCCCUAAAUUUGAAAUCAUACGUAUUGGGCUCCUUCCUCUUGUGUGGAGUAUCCAUGGACAAAGGUAUCCACCAUGGGACUGUAGUACGGGUGGAUGACUAGUUGCCUCACAUGGAAGAGCGGAAUAGUGUUGUGAAUGUGAUUUCGGGUAUUGAAGUUACUUAUCGACCAAUCCUUACGGACACUCUUUCCUUACUGCCACGACGGUAGGAAGUUGGUAUUGCUGGACCCUUUAUCAACCCCUCUUGUUCAAGUGUUAGUAAAUUGGGCUUAGCAUCUGUACUUGGCCGGAUGAGCAUAAGGAAGGAAUUCCUAAGUGUCUAUUUAGCUGAGCACACUUAGCCCGGCUUGUUAGUUCUCUUUUGCUCUGUCUUGUAUUGGCUUGAUAAGAACCCUUGCGUAUUGAGACUAGUCCCUUAAUAUCGUUGGAUGAUAGCUUACCGUAUUUGCCAAACACCCUCGCUAUUAUGCCCUUUGUAUUAGUCUCAUUUCGGUCCCAAAUGCUAUUUAUAAAAAGCGUCUAGAUUUGCUUAUUUGGCAUAUUUAUGGAAUGUAGAUAUUGGCCUGAACACAAUAGUGUUCUCCCCAUGUCCAAAUUCACAAAAUGCAAAAUGAACAUCUAAGGUUUAAUCACAAAGACCAUAUCUUCAGAUAUCCAUAUUGCACUAACACUUUUCUUCAAUUAUCUUCAAAAUCCAAUGUGAAGCAAAACACUAAUAAGGAAAAUGAUAUAAAAAAUCAAGGGUUAAGGAAAAUUCUUCAUCACUUGAAAGUAUAAUGCCACUUUUACUAACACAAAUGCUAGUGAUGUCAAUGCCUCAACUAGAACCUUCUUCAUCCAACAAUGUACUCUAGAUGCUAACAGAUCAACCGAUGAACUAUAGCAAAUGAAUGCUAUAACCCUUUUCCAACACCUUAUGGGCAAACCCUUAAUGAAGGUACCAACUUAAGUUUGGUAUAAUGGAUCACCAUUGAGAAUUCAAUUGUAAGCAACCAAAGGGAAUGACUCGAGAGACGAUUUAUAGGGGUUCAAAUAUAAAGGGAAAGGGCCCAUGAACAAGAGUGCACUCCUUUUUUCUAAUCGGUUAAGGGUUUUGAGAUACUUAAGGUUAAGCGUCCUUGGGUUUGAAUAGUAUUGGGUUGGGUGACCUCCCAGGAAGUUCAAGCUACUCAAAGAGCAAUAGCAAGGUUCCCCCAAAAACAAUUAAGCAUUGUAACCCAAGUCUUCUAAUAGUGAGCCUAGAUAAAAUGAUAUAGCGUUUCAUUGCUAUCCAUCCCACAACUCACCACUUGUAAGACCACCAUUUCCAAUAUCCAUCAAGGUAAGGACUCUUAAUUACAUGACAUGAGUAUAAGCAAUGAGUAAACACUUUAUUGCAAAUCAUCACUCCAAGAGGAGAAAAUGAUUUACAUGUUUGAUCUUUUGUCCUUGAUAAGUUUCUUUUUAGUCUUAACCCUAACUAAACCUCAAGUUUGCUUUUGCACUACCUUCAGUCCAAUCCAAGAAACGUUUAUGAGAGAGCACGGCAAUGAUUACUUGAAUCAAUAGACUAAUCUCUAUAAUCUUGAUUGGUUCAUUUAUAAUUAUGCCUAAGAAGGAUCUACUAGUGCCAUGCUAAAUAGCUACAAACUAGCCUAUUUUGCCACUUAUAGCAAACCUAGAGAAGGUUUAUUUUCAACUCACAGUACAUGGAACAACUUAUAGAACUAACAUUAAUCCUGCCAACUCAAAGUGUAAUAUUGAGUUGUUUAAUAUGCCUCACUCACGAGCCCAAGCACAAAUUUGUGCAAAAUGUGCCUCACUCACAAGCCCAAGCACAAACUCGUGCCAAUAGAACAUCUUAGUCCUUCCUAAAAACCUAAGAGCAAACUCACAAUAUACAGUACAAAAAAGUAACUAAAAUCCAUACUUAAGGAACGAAUGCAAAGCCUUUGCACCCAAAUAUGUACCCACUUGGAUCAUCAUUUUCAUCUCUGCAUAUGCAAUGAGACUAGUUGCCCAAUCUCAUUGGAUAGUACUCAUUAAGACAUAUUUUCUAAUACCAAAUGUAACACAUGUGGUUUUUACCUGUUAUUCUAUGAUGAUUUACCAUAGGAUAACCACAAAACGGAACCUAACCCUCCAUGUGCCACAUAUCACAUGCCACAUGCUAUAUGUCCAAAGGACAGUGGUGCAGAACCCAAGUUUUAAGGCUUGAGGCUACUAAACGAAGGAAUAGUGCCAAACUCCCAAGCAUGGAGCCAAGGAGCAAUGGCACUAGAGCAUGGAAUGACUCUCGAGUGUAUAGCCCAAUGAGCGAAGGGACAGGAGUGUGGAACAACUUGGAACAACCCUAAAACAUCCAACAUCCUAAUGCCAGGACCAGUAUGCAAAACAGAGCCAAAUGGAGUCUAAAGUUAUUUCAACAUACCGGUGGCCUAAUAAAAGGACAUAAGUACUCUGCCUAGAACUUGGGUUUAGAUCCAAACCAAACACAAAACAAAGACAAGCACGCAAGCAAAAGCUAAACUAUACCUCAAGUUAAUCAACCAUGCCUGACCUACCCACUAUCCCUAUUAUAUAUUUGGAACCCCCUAUAUCCUAUCCUCUCCCCCUAAGGAACACAUGCUUUCACCCCAAGUUUCCUUUAGUAUCAGGAGUUAAUCUUUAAGACAAGUUUGAAACUUACUAAAUAUUUGGACAUGGGACACAUAAUGGUAUUUGUCCUAGAGUGGCUUUCUUCCCAUGAGCUUGCCCUCCCGAAUUCAAAAGCAGCUUAAUCCAAUCACACAACAAAACAAAAUCCAAUCACACAAAAUCUUCGGCAUGCAAGCCACCUGUUCCACUGCGUCCAAUUGCAAGAGCUGGUACUCGUCUCUCCUAACAGUAGAGAGUUUCUUGUGAUUAAAAAUGAAAAAGCGUGAUCUCGUGCAGUGCUUAUCAGCCACACACUGCUGGAAGACGAAAUUUGCAAUUGCCUCACAAGUCAUGGUGGAGCUUGACUGAGAUCUCAAUCUUCAGUACUCUUAUGAUGGAGCGAGCAUCACUUACGGACCCAGCAAUGCCGAUUUGUAGUUGUGGCUCGUCUGUCUUUCUUUUCUAGAUAUAGUUGGCCAAUUUGAUCUGGUAAAAUCUUCGUUAUGAGACAGUCAAAAAAUUCCACGUGCUUGCCAGCAACCACAAUCCCAAUGGUACCACAGAGUUUCCCAAUUUGGAGGUCAAGAGCAUCCUGGAUCACGCUUCUGUAGCACCGGAUUAUGUUGUUGACUGCAACCAUGUCGAUGCAAAGCCCAAGCUUCUCUCUUUCAUUGCAUCAAAGACUUGAACUGGGCAAAAAAAAUAGAAACUUGUCAUCAUUUUAUUGUAAGAAGAACGACUUUAGCUUACCAGUAGUGGAUUGAUUUGAGGGCUUACUACUGCUAGAACUAGUUGCAGUGGCUGUGAAUUCGGGGGCGAGAUAGUGGAAGCUCAGCUUGUUCCUGCAAAAGGAACUUCAUACGUAAGUUAGAAGGCAUCUUAUUUGCUGGAGCUGCUGGAGCUCGAUCCGGAUUCUCAGCUGGUGGAUGAGAACCAAGUUCACCAGUACGACGAUCAUGCCAACAGCAGCGCUGGAAAAUCCACUUCUCAUGCAUCGACACUAUCGUGAGAGAGGUGAAGCUGUAAUAAUCCAGCAGCCGAUCCAAGAAAAUCCCGGCCCUGGCGAUCCAGAUAUUUCUCCCUUGCAAUGGAUUCUGCCACGAAUGAUCAUGGCCAGCUUGGGCGAUGGAGACUAGGGGGGAAGAAAGACAAUGCCUAGAUAGAGAUCUUACAUGCAACAUGAAGAGAUUCGAAGAAUAUACCAGAGAUACUUGUAGGCUAGGUGACAUCCAUAGGGACUUGCUCAAGAUGUUCAACAUUGGAGGCUUUCCUCCCAGAUCAAACUAUCUCUUCCUGGGUGAUUACGUCAAUCGGGGCAUCAGUGGUACAAUGCAAAUGUCUCAAUUCCAGGCUGAAAUCUCUCUAUAAAAUUCAAAGUGAGUUUUCUUUUUUCACUUGCAUUUAUUUUUCAUACUAGGUAUUGCCAAGGGGAUACAUAUGGUCAGUGUUCAGCUUUCCAGGUAUUUCUGGUUCUUUUAUCUUGGCGUAAAUGCUGCAAUUUUUAAUCUUUCUUAAACACUUAUUGUAAAACUUAUAAUUGACAAAUGAUGUUAUAAAAUUCAUGGCUUACAUCUCAAGUGUUAAAACUAAAUCUUUUUAUAUUAAAUGAUCUUUAAAUCUACAAGUAUAUUUAAUUCAUUUAGAUUUAUAAUCAUUUACUGAAUCUAAUUCAUUUCUUAGUAGUUUGUUAAUUAACUUAUUUUAUCUAAUAAAAAGGUAUAUUUAUGAAUUUUAUAAAAUAAAUAAGUAGUCAAAUCAAAUAUAAACAGAUAUAUAAUUGAUAAAGACCCAAAAUACCACAUCAUAAAAUUUAUUUCUAAAUAAAUUUAUUUAUCUAUUCAUAUGCCACUUGUCACAUGCCAUGUGUCCAUAAGAUAGUGGUGUGGAACCCAAGGUUCAAGGCUUUAAGCCACUGAAUGAAGGAACGGUGCCAAGCUCCCAAGCAUGAAGCUAUGAAGCAAAAGAACCAAACCAUGGAGCAACUCUAGAGUGUAUAGCUAAGGAGNNNNNNNNNNNNNNNNNNNNNNNNNNNNNNNNNNNNNNNNNNNNNNNNNNNNNNNNNNNNNNNNNNNNNNNNNNNNNNNNNNNNNNNNNNNNNNNNNNNNCACCAUACUAACUAGUGGAGUACCCAUGUCCUCGUGUUAGGCCACCGGUAUGCUGGGCUUCGUUUUGCAUGCUGGUCCUAGCAUUGGGAUGUUGGAUACUCUAGGACUGUUCCAAGUCACUCCGUGCCUCUGUCCCUUUGCUCCUUAAGCUAUACACUCUAGAGUUGCUCCAUGGUUUGGUUCUUUUGUUUCAUAGCUUCAUGCUUGGGAGCUUGGCACCGUUCCUUCAUUCAGUGGCUUAAAGCCUUGAACCUUGGGUUCCACACCACUAUCUUAUGGACACAUGGCAUGUGACAAGUGGCAUAUGACACAUGGCACAUAAAGGGUUUAGGUUCCGCUUCGUGGUCUUAUCCUAUGGUAAAUCACCAUAGGAUAAAGGGUAAAAACCACGUGUGCUACACUCACCUAAGAAUGCAUAGUUUAGUUCACUUAAUAACUUUUUAGUAGUGUUCUUUACUUUUUAUUGUCUCAAAAAACUUCAUUGCAUGGCAUAUAUUUGAAGGGUAGAGUGUGACUUUCAAAUAAAAGAUAGUUUUCAAUCUACCUUUUAUAUGAAAGAGGUUAAUUUUUUUUCCAUUGAUAAGAAGAGCUAAAAAUUAUAUUAAAAGGUUAAUUACAUGGAUGUCUUUCUUUUUUCACAUUCCAAAUUUAGAAUGUUUUACACCAAUCCACCAUUAUUUUAAUUAAGAGUAUUCAUGGAUAUCAUUAUCAACACUUCUAACAUUUAUAAAGUAAAUCCACUUCUGUCAUGAAUAUGAUUGCGGGUAUCAAAAGUUACCUGUCGGUGAGUCCUUUUAAAUAUUCUUUCCUUACUGCAAGAAGUUGAUAUUGCUAGACCCUUUUUUUAGUCCCUCUUAUUCAAGUGUUAGUAAACUUAACUUAGCAUAUGUACUUAGCCAGCAAGCAUAAGGAAAGAACUCUUUAGUAUGUAUUUAAUCAAGCAUACUUGGCCCAGUUUGUUAGUUCUCUUUUGCUCUAUCAUGCACUAGUUUGACAAAAACCCAUAUAAUAUUAAGUUUGGUCCCUUAAUAUUUGCAGAUGAUAACUUACCGUGUUUACUAAACACCUUCACUAUCAUGCACCUUGUGUUAAUUCCAUUUAGUCUUAAUUGUUAUUUAUGAAAAGUGUCUAGAUUUGUUAAUUUGGCAUAUUUAUAGAAUGUAGAGAUUAUCUUGAAUACAAUGGUGUUGAUCCCGUAUCCAAAUUCACAAUCUAGUGUUAUUCUAUAUUUAGUAAGUUUUAAAUUAGUCCCAGAAACUAACUUUUGGUACUAAGGGUGACUAAGAGUGAAAAUCCAAAGCAUGCAUUCCUCAAGGGGGGGGGGGGGGGGGAUAUAGGGUCUCCAUGUAUAGUAGGGAUAGUGGGUAAAUUAGGCCUGACUAACCCAUUAGUAUAGUUUAUCUUUUUUUUGGAUGUCUAUCCUUGCUCUAUGGUCAGCUUGGGCUUACCCCCAAGGUCCCCAUCAUGCUAGCGGGGGGAAAAACCAUGGCCCUCCCUUAGGACUAACAUGGAAAACAAAGUUAAAUUGAGGCCCAGGGUUAUUUCGGCAUACCAAAAAGCCGGCUUGAAAAAUUAAAAGNNNNNNNNNNNNNNNNNNNNNNNNNNNNNNNNNNNNNNNNNNNNNNNNNNNNNNNNNNNNNNNNNNNNNNNNNNNNNNNNNNNNNNNNNNNNNNNNNNNNNNNNNNNNNNNNNNNNNNNNNNNNNNNNNNNNNNNNNNNNNNNNNNNNNNNNNNNNNNNNNNNNNNNNNNNNNNNNNNNNNNNNNNNNNNNNNNNNNNNNNNNNNNNNNNNNNNNNNNNNNNNNNNNNNNNNNNNNNNNNNNNNNNNNNNNNNNNNNNNNNNNNNNNNNNNNNNNNNNNNNNNNNNNNNNNNNNNNNNNNNNNNNNNNNNNNNNNNNNNNNNNNNNNNNNNNNNNNNNNNNNNNNNNNNNNNNNNNNNNNNNNNNNNNNNNNNNNNNNNNNNNNNNNNNNNNNNNNNNNNNNNNNNNNNNNNNNNNNNNNNNNNNNNNNNNNNNNNNNNNNNNNNNNNNNNNNNNNNNNNNNNNNNNNNNNNNNNNNNNNNNNNNNNNNNNNNNNNNNNNNNCUGGUCGUUGCUACAACUUCUAACCUCAUUCUUUAUGUUAUUGUGUCUAAAAAAUCAUUUUUCGCAACAAUAUUAGUUGGAAUUGUCAUCAAAGUUGUUAUAGCCUCAUAAGGUUGGAGAAUACAAAAGUUAAAACUAAACUUGAACAAAAUAUUUUUCUUAUUUAGAAAUAUAGUUUACCAAAGCUCCUCAUCUCUAUAAUCACGCCAAACAUCAUCCAUAAUUUUUCUUUCAGUUGGUUUUAGCAUCCUAGUAAAAUCAUCUAUCUCUUGCAUAGCUUUCAUAUCAAUAAUACUUUAGUUAUAGUUGAUCUUGUUGAGAAGUUUAUUUGAAAUUGAGUUUGCUUUCUACUUUAUGUUAAAUCAUCCAAACUUAAACAAGGAUAAAUUUUUUUUAAACUGCUGAAGAAUGAGAUAUCUUCAAAAUGUCAAUUAAAACUAUUAACCACUUUUUGAAUGUACUACACUUUAGUAGCAUUUAAGUGAUCCUCCUCAUAGAUUCAAGUCUAAAACUCUAGCUUUACGAGGGAUCUCUUUAUAACUUAAAACAUGAAAAAUAAUCUAUCCAUUUACCUGGUACUCUAGCUUUCUAGAUUUAGCAGCAGAUAAAAAACCAAAUAAUAAAGUUGAAUCUAUCUAGCAAUUUGCCAAAUAUCUCUUUGAAAAUUUUUGGAUUGUUAAAUCUAGGAGCAUCAUAUUCUCCACCAUUGGUCUCAAGAAUGAGGCUGUAAAUCUUACCAUUGCCACAAACAUAUAAAACUAUGUCAACUAGGAAGUGAAUAAAAAUUGUACCUAUAAUGAACACAUAAAUCAAUUAUAAAAAAAAAAUGGUUAUAAUAGAAAAUGGUUACAAGCAUACAUGAAAAAUUCUCAAGAUGUCAUACCACUUGGGUAAUAUAGAUUGCUAGAGAUGGAGAAUUACUAGUAUAACUUCUACAAAUCGUUUCAUAACUUGCCUUUGUGAUAGCCAUGGCAUUGCGUGAAUUUGUAACAAAAGUAAUAGUUCAUUGAAGUGUUGAUGGUGAUUUACACUCUUUCUUAGCCAAAAAUAUACUUUAUUUGGGAUAGAGUCUAUAAAUUUGAAAAACUCUUUAUCCAAUUUGAAAUUUAUCCUUGGGUGCUAAUGCUUCUCUAUAUGUUAUACAAUACACACCAACUAAUCCUAAAACAUUGUUUCUGAAACACUAAACAAAUCUUAUAAUAGACCCUAGCAUAGUGUUACAUCUAUUUGUUGCUAAAGGUAUAAGUUUGUGAAAGUUCAAAUUUAAGCUCUCUACUUUGAAUUAGGCCAUUAUAGACUGAUUCAGUUGUAUGAUCUUGAAGAGGUAGCAAUCAAAUGAACCUUGUAGUUAGAACCAUUUCUUUUGUCUCUAAGAUAGCUUGCAUAAAGAAUUAGGUGUCGUUCAAAUUGAUUAUCUAUACUCUUGUUUAACAUCAAGCUAAAAAAUGGACUUCUUUGCAACUUUAAAAAAUAACAACAUCCCGAUUGCUAAAACCAUUUCCUUCCUUGAGAUUGGAUUCAUGUAAGAACUAUAUUCACCACCAUUUCUUCUAUUAAUGUUUUACAAUUUAAAUACAUAGUUUUUAACACCAAAAAGCUCAACUCUCAUAAAGCUUCUUAAAUUUAUGUAUUGACAUGUUUAGAGUAGUAUAAAUAUGACUCACUUUCAUAACUUCUAUAAUCCUCCUUUCCUCUGUCAGGAAUCCCCCAAUUCUUCCCACAUUCUUAAUUCUUGCCAGACUCCUGACCUGUAGACCACAUUCCUGACUCACGAGACACUUCCCUAUUCUUGACUCUCUUUCCCCAUACGAUUUCUAAGUCUCAAGCCACAUUCCUGAUGAUGAUGUGGCACCUCCUUGACCUCAACUAUAUUUAGGCCGUCCUUGAUCCAAGAGUGGUGGAGCUUCAUCAACCUAUAGUAUAUAUAGGUUAGCCUUGUUCCAUUUCUCCACAAUUUGAAUCAACGCCAAUCUAAGGCCUUUUCUUCCUUUCCACUAGUUUUUCUCUUUGUCUUCUGCAUUUUCCAGUCUUGAUCUUGUUAGGGGUCUUGAUAGUUUGAUUCAGAUUGUGUUUUUUUCGUUUUUUGCUUUAGCUCGUUUUUAUUGUUUGACUGCCUUUUCUUUUUUCCCCCUUUUUCUUUCUUCUUUGCCGAUGGAGUCUCCAAGCCAUCCUGAUUUCUUUACCGAAGUCCUUGCAAAAAUCCAGUUUGAGAAUACCGAGCUGAAGGCGACCCUUCUUCGCAUGCAGUAGGAGCUUGCUUCACUUUCGGCUCAAGGAUCCAGCAAAGUUCCUGAACCAAAGGUGAGUUUCCCGGCGAAAUUUUCAGACAAGCAUUCGGAGCUUUGCGGAUUCCUGAACCAGAUGGAGUUGAUCUUCGCACUUCAACAUCGGUGGUACCCCACUCUCGAGUCUUAAAUCGGCGCAAUUGGGACAUUACUUGAAGGUGCAGCUUUGUCAUGGUUUUCUCCUCUUCUGGAGAAGAGCAUGAAAGGAGUCGCAGUUCCGAAGCCGAUGGAUCUUCAAUUGUUCAAAGAGAAGCUCGUAGUAUGUUUUGGUGAGACGGAUUGGGUUCAGGCUGCCACCACAAAGAUGAGACAUCUCUCUUAAAGCUCUAUUUCGUUAAAGUGGGAUUUAUUCAGUAAAAUGGGACUAGGUACAAAUUUUCAAGUAUUUGAAAAUGACGUGAAAUUAUAUGUUUUUUGUCCAGGGGCUAGACAUAUCUGGGGCAUGGUGACUAGCGCGGUGACUUUGUGUCCAGACUGAGUCCAUCUGGUUGUAUAAUAAAUCUCAUUGUCAAGGUGAACAAGCCGAAUCUAAAGCUAAAGAAGAGCGAUAGCAUGCGCGCACACACUAUUUGUUUGUUCAUUGAGCGUAUGGUGAGCUUUCCAAGAUGAACGUCAUUCCUAUUAGCCAGACAUAUAACUUAAUGGUGAGAACAUUUAGAUAUUAUUCAAUGUUAUCUUUUUCUAACGAAUCUAAUUGUGAAGGUGUAGCAAGAGGCAUUGCUAGUCUGGAGAAGUCAUUUAACUCAUUUGACCUUUAGUGUAUUUUCAUGAAACUAAAUAACAUUCAUAUUAUUAAGGAAUUUCUCUAGUACCUUUUUUUUAUGACAUAGAGGCUUGCAUUUCUUUCAAAGGUGAUUUAGUAAAAGGCCUGAGGGCACAUGCCAUUCUAUUUCUCAGACUGGUAUUAAGAUAUACUAGUGCAAAGGGAAAAAGGUAUUUGGUGAUCAAGUAAAUGGCAUGAGGGCACACGCCAUUAUAAGCCUAAGCGCUAGUGGACACCUCCUUUUUGGUGUCACGCCUCACGCCAUCACGCCAUGCCAUCACGCCUCCUCUGAUUCAGAUUCGGAUUGUUCACCUUGAAAUAAAAUACAUUAGAAACUUAGUAAAGGAAUAUUAAUGAAUCUCACCUUGAACCCGGGUUAUGAAUGCUCUUGCUGCAUCUCUUGCAUGGUCUGGCAAGGUGAUGGUGGCACUCUGCUUCCGCAUCCAACCAUGCACAACAUUAUCCACCGAUAUGCUCAUGCUGGGAUCCCUUGGAUUCAGCACCCAUCUCUUUUCUAGGCAAUCCUUCGUAUAUCCGGAACUUGGCUUGAACCACUCCACAGUUACAUUGAAGGAGUUAGUUUCUGCAUCCUCCUCUGCAUCAGUGAUGCAGCGCCCCACCCAUAUCAUUUGUUUUUUAUUACUGGGUCUGACAAGCAUGACCAUUCCUUUGCAGACCUGUACUGGAUUGAAUGCUGAAUCCGGCUUCAUGUUCCUCAGCCCACAAUAGUGAUCCUCAACAUCGUUAUCUGUCACUACAUUUCCAGAGGACAUUGUUCCGCUACUAUCUGGUGCUCUGGAUUCUGGCCAAAAGGACUCUUCCAAUUCUUUAUAUACAACCAGCCCAUUUUGGAUAGCAGAUAUAAUCUUCUCCCAGUAUUCGAGCAAAGGCUUGCACCUCUUAAAAUAGGAUUCUCCACCAAACACCAACCCCCUCUUCCAAAAUGCAAUAUGCUGUCUAAUCCCAGCCACUAUACUUUCCUGGUCUUUGAGUCCAUCCGGGUGCAUCGGCCGUGGGGAACCCUGAGGAAUCAUAGGUUCCCCAGUUAUGGGAUCUCUCUUAAAGAGUUCAAUGCCGUCCACUGGCAGCCACACUGUGUCCCAUUCUCUCAUCUUGUACCUCAUCAUUGGAGCACCGUCACGCAUGCUGAAAUGAAACUAAAGAGGCUUGGAGUGGCCAAUUAGCAUUUCGGAUCCGUCCCUGAUGUAGCCUCUUACAAACCCCUUAAAGUCUGGAACCUCUGUCACAAGUGCAACUUCAACAGUGCCUUUGAUGUAAUUUUGGAAUUCAUCUUAGAGUUGUGGGAGGGUGAGGACAUUGGAUCGCCGGAGGGACUCUGCCAGGUGACUGAACAUGGCAUCGAUGUCUUCAUGAGUGUGCCCAACCAUGAGAAAGCCAAGUGUAACCGUUUCAAAUAUGCCUUUGGCAACAAGCAUCGCCAAGUACGCGAAGACGUACAUGUUUUUGUUCUCACUGCCAGCAUUGUCUGUUUGGAGCAGAAGAUGGGGUGGAAGGCCACAUCGGCCGCAAGAACUUCCUUGAGAUUCUGCUUCGUUUGGAUGAGGCUGUGCAUUCACUGGGCGACCAGCCUCAUCGGAAUGGCAUGAGGCCUCACGUGAUAACCCUACAAUCUGACGGCCAACAUAUUCACUGGGAUGGCAUGGGGCCCCACGCGAUACUGCAAGCCUUUGCUCCUCCUCCAGCUGAACCUUGUAUGGGGUUCGAUCGACAAGGGCCUUAUGCAAGGGUUGGCCAUUCAGCUCAGUCUACACACUUUGCAGAGACCUUAAGUGUUUUGCUAGGGACGCAAUCAUCAUGUUUGCACCCCCGCCACCCCAUAGAGGUACAAAGAAGUUCCCAUAGUUCUGGGCACCAUGCCCAUGAGCGAUUAUGCCAAACAGAGACACAGGCAGCUGCAUGGAUGAAGAGAUUGCCUUGGGGGCAGGAUUGAGUCGAGGUAAGCACAUCUUUUUCUGGUCCAUUUUGUCGUGGAUGAUGCAGAGGUAAGAGUCAGGUCUCUUCAUGGAGAGAAUCCUGUUAUGAUAAUAUGCAGUCCUGUAGCUUCUCUGCUCGAUGUUGUGGUCAAGCCGCCUUCUAACCAACGUCUCUUGCUCUUGAGCGCUGCAAGAAUUCUUCGACAAAGCCAUUUUGAUAGCAGUGCACUCGUCACACUUUGAAAAGCUGGAGUACUUUCCUAUACUCACAUCCCUGAACCUGUUGCUCCACAAUCUACUAAAUCUAGAUUGACUCAGCUUCCUGUAGCCAUUACUCUGGAGUUCCCGAUUCACAUCUUCCAAUAUGGCCCCCUUGGUAUACAUGGAAGGGAGAACUCGUUGGGUGUCUUGUGUUCCAUCUUCCAAGAGGCGGGUUUUAUGUGGUUGCUGCUCGCUACAUGUCUCGACAAACCUCUUGAAGAUUGCCUCUCCAUAUACAACAUGACCCUUGGUUUUGUGAGUACCGUCGUUCCCAUGGACUGCCUGUUGAACCCUUUGUUCCUCGAACUAAGUUUUGAUUCUAUAGAUUGUGCUUCGAGGGACUCCAUAAAUGAUUCUCCAUGCCUUCAUGCAGACCAAACCCCUCUGGAAGACCAUGCCCCCCACCUGAUGUUCUGAAGCAUCAACAGAUGACCGUAAUGCCUCAUACAUAAAAUUGCGAGCUGCUUUCCAGGACAAUGUCUUGUAUCUUGCUCUCUCCUCUUCAAUAGCAUCUCAAUCAGCAUGUUGACAGCACCUCCUCUUGCAAUAAGCAACUGUCGAGACCAUUCGAACCUCUAUCACCAUUUUCUGCCUUUUCGGUUCGUUGCUCAGAUCCCUUUGGCUGCGCUUUAGGAAGGUGUACUUUCUUUUCCCAUGAAGAGAUGUUCUGUCAUCAAUUGUAGUGGUGUUUGAUUGUGAAUCCUUCACAUUCUCAAACACUAAAUGCCUCAAUUUCCACCGCACAAUGCUUCCAAUAGUCAGACUGUUUUCUUCUGUGUCAACAACCUCUAAAAUCGCAACUCUAAUAUCAUCCCAGCCCAAUUCUUGAUUAGCAACCGCAUCUCUUGGAUUGACAACUGUGGCUAAGCCCUCAGCUACCACCUCCCCCUCGGGGUUGUUUAGAAACACCUUUGCCUGAAUCCAUGUAGCACGAUUCUUAAGAUCCACGGAGGGAACAUGCGUCGCACUUGUGCUGUCCCCAACAUUUGCUUUCUUCUGCAGAUUUUUCAAGGCAACAACAACAUUUACCCCGACGACCAUCUCUCCUUGUUCAAUAGCGACCACAUUCCCAUCGAAGACAGUCUCUACUGAUACAGCAGCAUUGCCUUCCCCAAGCCUUUGACAGUGUAUAACAAAGUUCCGAUCCAUAGACUCAAGGGUCCCUUUUGCAACUCUCUUCCCACCAUUCAAAAUGUAAACCUUUUCCCCAACCCUGAAGGCCAUUUUGAAAGUGCAGAAAAGAAGUUAAGACCAUACAAAAAAUGAUUGGAGAAUGGCCUAAAUCAUAACAUACCAAAUAGCAUGAGGCCAUAUGCCAUUAUUCAAACAUGCUAUUGACACCCACGUGAAAUUUCGCAUUCACAAAAUUGGCAUGAGGCCUCAUGCCCUCUUGAUAUACACACAGCUGCAAGCAAGUAAAAACAUACAUGACAAUACGCUAGCCAUGAAAUUGCAAGGGCCCAAGAUGGCAUGUGGCCUCAUGCCAUUUCUAAAUGUGGUCUUGGAGCAAAAUAACGGUCGGAUCUAUGGCAAAUGCCCCUGAAACAUUGUAAGGCUUUUGUGGUCUCAUGUGCUGUCCGAUCAAGAUGCUUCUUUGCAGGGUCAUCAAGAAGGACAUUGUAUACCAUUCUGUAAAAUCUAGUUGCGAUCUAACGGCUGGAUCUCCAGAAAACUCAAAAAAAUCUCGCGCGUGUCAAAAUAUUCUAGGAAUGUACUCCUAUGUGCCCCUGAAAAUGGCAUGCGGCCCCAUGCCAUUUAAGAGAUAACGCCAGAUGACGCCGAGCAUUCUUUGGUGCAUUUUUUGGGAUCAAAAUUGCAUGAGCCCACACGCUUGAACGUCACAUCAAAUCCUCUGACAAUUUAUUUAGCUGAACAUCUGGCAUUUUUGGAAAUACAAGAUGCUUUGGAAUAUCCAAUCAUGCAUGGUAUAAAUAUAGCGAGGGUAUUAAAUGAUAUCCCAAUCAUGAUCUUUCUUUUGGAUUUCGCGUGCAUGCAGUCCGAGGAAUGAUGAUGUUGCGGAUUUCUUUUGGAUUUCACGCAUGCGCGCGGCGAUCUAGAAAUUAAUGGUGGCACCCAAGUCCGAGGAAUGAUGACGUGGCGGGAUUACCAACCGUCGUGACAUUUCGCGCGUGUGAGGUUAGGUUUUGCAUUUUGCUUCGUACUCGCGCUCGCAUCGCGCUCCCACUCGCGAUCACGCUCACAUUCGCACUCAUCUACCUUCUCUACAGGUUUCUCGUGUGCAUCGGCGUCCACUCGCGCUCGCAUCGCGCUCGUGUGCAUCGGCGUCCACUUCAAGACACACCCAGUUUGUAACUUCGCUGCCAACUCCGCCGCCCACUCCACCACCCACACGCAGCCCACUUGGCGUCCUGGGAGAUUUUAGUACCACUCUCCAACUGUAAGUGGCAGAGUAGCCUUGCUGCUACGAUCCGCUACACACACAGUGCACAUUCGCCAGCGAGUCCAGUUGUCACACCUCCAUUCGGCUUCAAAUGGUAAGUCUUUUAGGCCAAGUAGAAAAUGGCAUGAGGCCACAUGCCAUUCAGUAGCAACAUUGGCAUGCACUGAUUGGGCUCUCGAGUGUAGUCCGGUUACAGAUGGCGUGUAGCCUCACGCCAUCUUAGGAUGCAACCUCAAUACAUCUGAUGCAGUGCUGAAUGGUGUGUGGCCUCACGUUAUUUCCAGCUGCUAGCUUUUCAUCUGUCAGCUCUAAUUGUUGUGCAUUUCUGAACAGGCGAGGAAUUGCGUUCUUCUUCUAGCCACUGUCAAUGUGGAUGCAGAGAAGGGGGAGGAGCUCACCAGUUAGACUUUCGGGAUGGAAGGCGAGGAUCUGAAGCUGUACAACACAGAUGGUGGGAGAAAAGAAUGCAUGGGGAUCCUCAUCCAAGUGACAGACACUCCAUGCAGUUCCAUGCAAGAAUAUGGACUAGCACUUGUGGUAGAGAUAGCGUCCGCCUUCAAGAUCCACCUUGCACAUCCUAGCGGCUUCCCGGAGGGGGGCAGCGGUUAUGAGGAAUUCCUAGAGGGAGCUAUGGAGAGGUUGUCCAGGAGGCCCACAAUUUCAAAGACGCUGCGAGUCUAUGAAGAUCACAUGGAAUCCACGGACCUCACCUACGGCGAUGUUCAAAACUAUAUUCCAACAUUGAGCCGUUGAGAGUGCCUCUAGUUCGCGAAGCGAAGGGGAAGGGGGUCGAUCUGGAAACUACCCCAAAGCAGAAAAGGGUGGUCAAGCUCAAGCCGACGUCCGACUCUCCUCCAAAAAAGAAGCUACUCGGUGAUGCCAUUGCCUCGGGUUCGAACACUACACCCACCAAAAAGAAGAGCCGCAAAGAGCAGAAAGAGCAAGAAGAGGUAGCAAAAAUCGUCGCAGAUAAUAGUACUUGUUACUAUUCCAACAAAGUAUAUACAAUCGACGUGAGCCGUAUCGACAUCCAAAGCAAAUACAACCACAUGCUAGUAUCUGAUGAGUGGGUGGAGAAACUGAAGCAGAAGAUGCUGGCAAGUCCAAUAACACCCGACAUCGCCGACGUGAUCCCCUACUACCGAACAAUGAAGGGCGAGACGAGGUUUCCAGACUUGAUCAAUAGGAAGGUGUUGGACGAUCAGAACAUCCGGUUCUAUGCCGUCUCUGGGCAGCAUUCUAGCUUGGCGAUGCAAGAGAUAGUUGUGGAUAUUAUGGUGGGCGAGGAGGUGAAGAAAGUCUUCAAGACAAGAGUUGUCCGCCUGAUAAAAGGCAACUCGCCCCUCCGAUCUAUCAUAUACAUCUCCCACGCGUAGAAUGUCAAGCAAGAAACGUGCUACAAAUCGGGUCUGCACGAGACAUUGGCACGAACACGGAAGCUCUGGGUUCAACUGAAGAAGCCACAAAAACCAGGACAAGGACGUGCACUAGCAACUAGUGCCUAGCAGGUAAGCCUCGUUGCAUGUGGCAUAGCAUGUGGCCUCACGCCAUUUCCAUUGCAGGAAUUCUCGAGUCUUCUCUCGAAAACACUGGGGGACAAUGACACACUCAGCAUCCAUAACAUUCUACUCGCGACAAAAGUUGUUUUUGACAAAUGGGUAGAUGUGCUGAGGAGGUACCAUGACGGGGAGUUACUAAACUCAAUGGGUGUGGAGGACGGCCGGAAGCCCAAUGAUUUGAAGCUCAACGCCUUGCGUUUCUCGCGGUCUCUAGACGACGACGGCCUUCUGACAGUGGCUAAUGCUCUUCUACGUGGUGAGGUAGUCUUCAACAAGACCAAAAUGACUCCCGGCCAUAUUGUGACAUACGAGGACUUGUGCACGACUCUGAGAGCUCAUGCGCUAUUGAAGGAUUGGAUCUUCGAGCAAGUGGCCGUGGAGAGGGUGAGCAUCGACACCACGCAAGAGAUGAUGGAAGCGCUGGAUUUGUCAAAUGAAGACAUCGACGAGUACAUGAAGGGGGCCCCUAAGUUCAUCGAUCUGCUGCGGGAUGCCACGAAAAGGAAAGCUGAGAAGUUGGAUCAGUAUCCAAAUUUCAUUAAGAGUGAUGUCGACCGCCGGCUUCAGAAACAGCUCGACCCCGCAGCAGAGGCCUAUCGAGAACCUUACCGGGUAUACUUGAAUUCGGAUGAGGAUCAAAGGUGGAGGAGCAUCGUUUCCCGGUCAGGACUUCGUUUCCCAGCAGGUCAAGAACAUCUUUUGUGUGAUGGACUUCACAAACGAGGAGAUCACUCAUGCAGACGAAGUUAGCUCCAUCAUUGACUUAAUGGUGGGACUUGCGAAGGUGGAAUCUUCAGUCCACUAUAUGAUCUACGACUCCGAAUCCUAUCACAAGUUCUGGAAGGCCUUGAACGAGGUGAAAGCUCGGUUGAAAGGCAAGGAGAUGCGGGAGAUCCAUGGGAUAAUGGCUAAGCAGAAGAUACCGACGAAUGUCCGCAUCUUCACACUCGCCCUUGUUAUUGGUCCUGCAACAGAGUGGGACUGGAGUGACUUCCCAGCUUCGUUCGACAAGGCCAAUCGAAUUGAUCUGAGGGAGGUCAAUUUACCCGUGCCUGAGGAACUGAAGACGGCUAUGGAGCUUUCGAAUCCAAAGAAAGCUCUAGGUGCAGCAUGGGAAAUGCUCAGCUGGGUCUUCAACGCAAUAGCGGGUGGGUCACCUGCUUCCGACUCCAAGGGCAAAUGCGUUGUCGAGUACAACUGCGGCGGACUAUUCUUUCGAGCCGCACUACUCAAGGGUGUCCCGUGUGUUGCGGUGACAAACUCCAUUGAAGAGGUGACUUCAAUGGAGCAUAUAAUUACAGUUGCCAAAGAAAAACAGUAUCUUCUCUACAAACCUGGUGAGUAUGCACUUUAAGUUUAAAUGUUAUCUCACAAGCUCUGUAUGCAGGAGCGUGGCCACCCCCAGAUGUGAAACGGCGUUAACAGCUACUGUUGAAGAUACCCAUGUUGGGCCAAGCUCACAACCUACACAAGGUAAGGUCACGUGAGGCCUCACACCAUUUUGAUUAUAGAUCGUUGUGAAUAUUCAGACACGAGGACUGAAAAGCGCACUGGUGGCGCGUCGAAGAAGGACAAACAGACAAGCAAUAGGAAAAAAGGAGGUACAAAUUAUAUUUGCAAUGGCGUGAGGUCUCAUGCCAUUCCUUGCAAGAGACACUUCUUCAAAGGCAAAACAGGCAAGCACCAGCCAAGCUCAAACUGACAGUGGUCAUAAAAAGCGAAAGCACGUUGGACAGUCGUCGGGAUCAGAGGCGUUUGAUUCGAAAAGGAAGAAGGGCAACGAAAAGAUGAUAGGUAAUGCCUCGCAGUUAUGGCGUGUGUGCUCUGCCAUUCAUUGCAGAUCAAGGGCUGAGUGAAAGCAGGCAGUCACCACCUCCUGACUCAGAUUCCUAUGGCGGACUCCCCUUCCCCAAUCUCAAUGGAGAGGUACAAUGGAUGAGGGAUGAUUUUCAAUCUAGGGCCACGUUUUUCUCAUCUCAUCGUCUUCGAAGGGUGCAAGAACGUGCAGAAACUAGAAGAUGGUCCUGGAAGAACAAGCCAUCCAGCCUGAGCAGCCUAUGGAAGAAAUGCAGGAGGGGGAUGAGGAGCCAGAGAAAGAUAAUGAGCAGGAAGAGCAAAAGGACGAAGACGAGGACAAAGAAGAGGAGGACGAAGAGGACUUGGAUGGUCCUCACAAUGGUGACGAUCACAAUAACGACGACGACGAUGAUGACGACAAUGGCCAGCCUGAGGUGGCCAAAGAGCAGCGGAGGAAGGUCAUACAAGACAAACCAUCAGGUAAAUAAUAGUACAUCCAUUCCUAACCUUUUACCAUUUCUAACAUCGUCCAUGUAGGUCGCAGAGCAAAUGGUAAGAAGAGAUUAUUCAGUUGAAUUUACAAACUCUAGCCUUUUGUGUCGAGGAAGGAUAGUGCCAAGCAAGGGUCGAAACGUAUGUCCAAUCCUUCAGAAUCAGCAAUGCGCCCAAGUGAUAUCGGUCUUAGUUCCUCAAUAGCAGUUGAUAGUAAAUACAGUAUAGUCGAUUCAAUGUGCUAAUGAGUUUGUUUUUAGUAGCACGGGAGGAUACCAUCUCAAUCGAAGGGAGAUAUUUGGACAUGCAUAUGGAUCCGCCAGUGGACUCUACUUGCCUGCAAGAGUCAUCAGAGCUGGUGGAGGCUACUAUCCAUAUCAACGCCAAGCAAGCUGACCACGCUCCACUUGAUGCUACCUAUACCACUGAGUCAAUCUUGUCCACGUAUCCAACUGACGGUGACCAGGCGCCAUUGGACCCGCAUGAGGCCGCCCCAGCCACCGAGCCGGUCGUAUCCUCAUUUCCAAUGGACUCAACGUGUGCCCAAUCGUCUGACUACGCGCCGUUGGAACCUCCCUACACCGCCCCUGCUGCCUGUUCGGUCAUGUCCACUUUGCCAACGGAGGCACCAGUUGAAAUGGCGUAUGAUCACACGCCAUCGGAACCACCCCAUGCCACUAUUGAGCCAGUUGUACCAGAGUCUACAGCUGAAAUGGCAUGUGCCCACACGCCAUCGGAUGCGAUUGACCCCACAUUGCAGAGGAGAGUAUUUCCGCCCUUCACGUUUCCUCGACCAAAACCCUCUCAACGACCAUCGGGAGCACCAUUCGCUAAUAUUGUAGAUGGUAAAAUUGACUUGUACCACUUUUUAUGCUGACGCAUUUCAUUUCAGAGUCACGGCGAAGGUACUGUAUCGUUUUUGAUCUGAACGGUGUUCUUUUCUCCCAUGAGCGUGGCUCGUCCUCGAAUGUCACUGCACCCUCCAAAGCCUGCGGUCGCAAGUUGGUCAAAAGAGACAGAUUCACAUUAAUCACACGGGAGAAACUGCGGCAUCUAAUAAUGACCAUGCGACACUUAAAAUAGAGGGCCGGGUUCAAUUUGCAAUUGGGAGUUUGGACAUCCAUGAUGCGCCACAAUGCAUUAACGUUGCUACAGAUGAUACAUGAUCAGACGCGAGUAAUAUUACCAUUUGACUUUCUCCUAACGCAGGAGGAUUGCUUGACUAUGGUCCAUGUGAGGGGUAGCAAGCCCAUCUUCGUUAAGCCAGAGGCUGUAGUGAUGAACCGGACUGCUAGGUCAAGUGAAAUCCUCAUCAUCGAUGACUCGCCGAUUAAAACUGCAGCGAACACGCACACAUAUGCAGUGCACCCCAUCUCUUGCAGUAUGGAAACUAGGGAGAAGAAACCGUAUGUUCUGGGGGACCUUGCAAAACGGCUUGGAGCGAUGGUGAUAGAGAACCGGCCAGUCCAGGAGGUGGCUGCAGAAAUCAACCAAAUGGCAGAUGGAAUGGUAUAUCAGAAGCCAUUUGAUCGGACAGACACCAGUCAUCAUUUAUGGCAUGUAUAUUGUCUAGCCAAGCACUAUCUGCAUCUCCAUAAUCUGCUCAACCGGAUGGGUUCUUCAACCACUGAACAUGAGCGUGGACGUAUUAGAGAAGAGAUGGCAUUACUAUUGGGUUUAAAUCCUGAUAGUGUGGAGAGUGAUGAAAUUCCAAGAUUAUUGUAUAGGCGUUGGAGGCAAAAAAUAACAGUCUGAGAUGGCAUGUAUUUAUUUAAAAAUGUAACUUAUUAUGGCAUGGGGUUCCAUGCCAUUGUAUUAAUAUUAAAAGACAAUUCUUUGAGAGGAUUUGCAUUAUACUAGAAGUGUUACAGCAUGUUAUUGGAAGUCUACGAAGUUGUUUUAUUAAUAAGGGGAAAGUAAAGAUUGAAUGGGGACUUGGGCUCCAUCUAGACUCGGAGCAACUGAGCCAAUAUUAAAAGGAUGGAAAGAAAUUAGAUGACGAUGACAAGGAGAAGAGAGAGGUGAAGCAGUGGCAGGGGGAGGAGAAGUGAUUGAGUAGACAUUUCCUUGUUUAAAAUAAAAUGGCAUGUGCCUCAAUGCAGUUGAAUUUUGUUAUAUUUAUAUACUAUAUAAAGGUUUGGAAACUUUAUUUUACAAGUGGGAUAAUGACAAUUCCCACCUUAACGAAAUAGAGCUUCUUAGGGGUCUCGUCCUACCUCGAUCUAUAUUGCAGAGUUCCAACUCCUUGCCUUGGACAAUCAAUGGGAUGAGCAGGCCUUGAUUGACCAAUUUUGUUUUAGCCUCAACAACGGUGUCAAGGAUUUGUUGCUCACCAUGAAGGAUCCCAUGGAUCUGUCGGAUGCCAUCAACAAAGCUGUUCGAUGCGACAAUUGUCUCUUUGAACGUCGUCAGGAAAGUUGCUGCACCACCGUUUUCCCGUCCCAGACUCAGGAAUCCUAGCUUGAGUCUUCGGGGCAUACUCCUGAACCUACUGCUCCGGUCCCAAUGGAUAUCUCUAGUACUCCCCGACUCAUCAAAGGGAAGUUGAGUCCUGCUGAGAAGCAACGUCAAAUAUCUCAUAAUCUUUGCCUCUACUGUGCUGAUCCUAAUCACAAAGCAGCUGUGUGUCCCAAGAAGCCUCCCCGACUGCUCGAGUUCACUCUGCCUCAAAAUCCACCUCCAUUGCAAUUGGGAAACGACCCUGUCCAAACAGAGUAUGAGCUGUCUGUUUGGACUCCCCGAAUAAAAAUCACUUUUCUUCUUUAUCAAGCUCCCCACCACUUUUCAUCAAAGCCACCACCAAUUCCCGCAACUUUUGCGUCCCAUGUCUCCUUUCUUUCAUCGGACAAUCAGGACUCAAGGCUCUGGCACUACUGGACUCGGGUGCAACUUCCUGCUUCAUGGACAUGGACUUUGUUGCCUGACAUCACGUUCCUCUUUCUUCUACCAUAUGGGAUUUGAGGGUUUAAGGCAUCGGCGGGCAUUUUGUGUCUCCAUCUUCUGGACUUAGGGAAACGUUGCCCGUUCGAGUACACAUCGGGUCCACCAUCACCAAUAUCGCCUUCAACAUCAUCAACAGCGAAUCCUCCUCUGUGGUGCUCGGCCUUCCUUGGUUCCAACUACAUCAGCCUCAGAUCUGUUGGAAGGAAUUACAGCUUGUCUCUCCCACAUCAUCAUCUUCCACAGCUUCCCCUGCUAUUCAUCGAGUCUGAAUCAGGAAAAGUUCCCUAAACUCAAAUCGGGGUUCUGUUCCUGACUCUACAAAGUUCUCACCCUCUUCUUUUUCCUCUCUUCCAUCUUACAUUAAACAGUAUCCUCAUCUCAUCAUUCCAUUUAAUCGUACGUUUCCUUCUAUCUCCACAAUCAUUAUGAAAGAACUCCUUCAUGAAGAACCUCUUUUCCUUUUUGCUUUGCAUGUUUUUCUUGUCAAUCUUCCUGAGAAGUAUCAUGAUUUUAGGGAUGUGUUUGACAGGAAAAAAGCUAGUGUACUACCUAUUCAUUGGCCUUAUGACUGUCCCAUUGAUUUAUAGGAAGGAGCGUCACCUCCGUGGCUACGGGUUAUCCCCAUCCGAGCUUAAGGCCCUCAAAGAGUACAUGGAUGAGAACCUUGCCUUGGGGUACAUUCAACAUUUGCAGUCCCCAGCUAGAGCACUUGUCUUCUUUGUCAAGAAGAAGUAUGGGAGUUUGCAGUUAGUCAUCGACUACCAAGGUUUGAACAAGGUGAUUGUUCGGAACCGUUAUCCGCUACCCCUGAUCUCAUACCUGUUGGAACGCCUUGGUGGUGCCCACUUCUUCACCAAGAUCAACCUCCAUGGAACAUACAACCUGAUCUAGAUCCAGCCUGGUGAUGAAUGGAAAAUUGCGUUCCAAACCCACUAUGGCCACUUCGAGUACACUAUCAUGCCAUUUGGCUUGACAAAUGCUCCAGUAGUUUUCUAACAUAUGGCGAACGAUGUCUUUCGAGAGUUUCUUAAUCAGAUGGUGAUCGUCUACCUUGAUGACAUCCUCAUCUACUCAAAAACUUAGGAGGAGCACGACGAGCAUAUGCACAAGGUGUUGGCGAAGCUGCAGGAACACGGUCGAUAUGCGAAGCUUGAGAAAUGUUCCUUCGAUUAGGAGUCUAUGGAGUUCCUUGGAUACAUUGUCACUCCUAAGGGUAUCACGAUGGAUCCUGCCAAAGUCAAAACUAUUUUCGAAUGGGAGCCUCCACAAUCAAUGUUGGACGUUCAAAUUUUCCUUGGCUUCGCCAACUUCUACCGCAAAUUCAUUGAUCACUACUCUGACAUUGUCCUUCCUCUCACGCAUCUCACUCGCAAGGAUGUUCCCUUCUCUUGGUCUUCUGCUGCUUAGUAGGCCUUCGACACACUCAAGGCGGCCUUUAGUUCUGCUCCCGUCUUGAUCCAUGCUGAUCCCUCACAACCUUUCUUCAUCGAGGCUGACACCUCCGACUUUGCCAUCAGUGCUAUGCUGUCUCAACUUAGAGCAGAUUAGGAAUUCAUCCGGUCAUUUUCCAUUCUCGGAAAUUCCAACUUGCGAAGAUCAAUUAUGAAAUCCACAACAAGGAGCUCCUUGCCAUCAUGGAUUCCUUUGGAAAGUGGCGUCGUUUUUUGGAGGGGGCGGGCCAUCAAACAAUAGUCUGGACGGAUCACAAAAAUCUCGAGUACUUUGCCACUUCCCGAGUUUCGAGCCAUCGUCAAGCAAGGUGGGCACAAUUCCUGAGUCGGUUUGACUUUGUUAUCAAGUACAGAUCUAGAAAGCUUCAAGGCCUUCCUGAUGCUCUUUCAAGGCGCUCCUAUCUUAGUCUCAGGCCUGGUAAUCCUACCUUCGAUCAACAGGAUCAAGUUAUCCUUGGUCCUGAUCGACUUCAAGUUAUAGCAAUUUCUCUGGCCCCUCAGGGCUCCUCCUUGAUGGAUGCGAUCAGAAAUGAUCUUCAAUCUGAUGACCUCGCCAGCGACAUUUUCCCCCAUCUUCAAGCUGGACACCUAGUGACUCCCGACUGCUGGUGAUUUAACGAGUUUGAAUUCUUAGAUGGCUUGUUGUACCAUGGGGAGCAGCUUUACGUUCCUAAAGGUGAUGCUCAAAAGUUGGUCCUGAUGGCAUGCUACAAUAGCCCGAUUGCUGGUCACUUCGGCAUUGCAAAAACCUAUGAGCUGGUUGCAUGGGACUUUUGGUGGCCUCACAUGGAUGACUACAUCAAAGCUUUUGUUACCUCUUGUGACAUUUGUGCCUGGAAUAAGGUACCUCGCCACCUUCCUUCAGGUUUGCUUCAUUCCCUCUCGGUCCCUUUAGGUCCUUGGGAAUCCAUCUCCAUGGAUUUCUUGAGUGAUCUUCCGAGUUCUGGAGGCUUCAACAGCAUUUUAGUCAUGGUGGAUCACUUCACAAAGAUGGUGCACUUCCUGCCAUGUACCAAAGAGUUUUCGAGCAAGGACAUAGCAAAACUGGUAUUUAGGGAAAUUUUUCGACUUCAUGGGAUUCCUGCAGAUGUGGUUUCGGAUCAAGGACCUCAAUUCAUUUCUCAUUUCUAGCAACGGUUUUUACAGCUGCUUGGAGUGAAGGCCAACCUUUCUUCAGCGUAUCAUCAUCAAACUGAUGGACAGUCCAAACGAACGAUUUAGACAUUGGAAUAAUUUCUGAGGUGCUUCAUCAACUAUCAUCAGGAUGACUAGUUCGAUAUCCUUCCCCUUGCUGAGUUCUCCUAUAACAACUCUAUUCACUCCUCUCUUCGAGUUUCUCCCUUCUUUGCGAAGUCUGGCCGAAAUCCCCGAUUCAAUUUCUCACUUCCUUCUCCAUCUGAAUCCUCUCGUUCAAAUCCCCGCUCUGAGGCAUUUGUCUCUAACCUCCAGGAAAUCCAUAACUCCAUCUCCUUUCACCUCUAUUGUGCUCAGGAAUCUCACAAAACAUUUGCCAAUGUCCAUCGUCAGGAUUGUCCCCCUUACAAUAUCGGGGAUAAAAUCUAGCUCCUCAAGCGAAAUAUCUCCACCACCAGGCCAUGUCCCAAACUCAAUUUCAAAUGUCUCGGUCCUUUCCCUAUCACUGCUAUCAUUAAUCCUAUCACUUAUCGCCUUGCACUUCCCUCCUCAUAUCAAAUUCACCCCGUUUUUCACUCUUCUUUCUUUGAGCCUUAUAUUCCUAGUCCUAUUCCAAAUCGGGUCAUUCUUCCGCCUCCACUAGUGCAGCUCAAGGAUGGGUCUGAGUAUGAGGUUCAGGACAUCCUUGAUUCCAAGAUCUCACGGUCUAAACUCUACUAUCUAGUCAACUGGAAGGGUUAUGGACCUGGAGAACACACUUGGGAACCUGCAAACAACUUGAUUCAUUCUCCUAACUUUGUUCAAGACUUCCAUUGCUACUAUCCUUCUCAUCCCAGUCUUCAUUCUUUUUCUCCAUCUCCCAUCCCUCGCCGCCCAUCUCAUCCUCCUCUUUGUUCUCAUUCAUGUCCUCGUUCCACUCAUUCUUGAGGAAGGGGUGUUGUCAGGAAUCCCCCAAUUCUUGCCACAUUCCUGACUCUCGCCGGAUUCCUGACUUGCAGACCACAUUCCUAACUCUCGAGACACUUCCCUAUUCCUGACUCUCUGAUUCCCUAUACAAUUCCUGAGUCUCAAGUCAUAUUCCUGAUGAUGAUGUGACGCCUCCUCAACCUCAGCUAUAUUUAGGCCGUCCUCGAUCCAAGAGUGAUGGAGCUUUAUCAACCUAUAGUAUAUAUAGGUUAACUUUGUUCCAUUUCUCCACAAUUUGAAUCAACGCUAGUUUAAGGUUUUUUCUUCAUUUCCACUAGCUUUUCUUUUUAUCUUUUGCAUUUUCCAAUCUUGAUCUUGUUGGGGGUCUUGACAUCCUCCUAUGAAACCAAAUUACUUAUUAAUGCUUCUAUUCUCCUUUACUUGUCCUCUUCAAGUUGUCGUUUGUAAUUUCUAUCCCUCUUUGCAACUGCAUGAUCAUUAAAAUUAUCAUAAUCUUUCUAUAAACUCUUGAAUUUAAACUUCCCGAAGGGUUCAUUUAGUUCAAUAUUAUUCAAACCUAAAUCCAAUGACACUUAACCCCAAAUAUCUUAAAACUCUUAACUAAUUGAAAAAGAUUGGACUUUUAUGAGUCUUUUUUUUUGUUGCUUACACCUUUUAACUUCCUAAUUGAAUAAUAGUGGAUUCUACUCUAGUAAAGACAUUUAUUUUCCUGGCUUGGAUAUACCAAGCACAAAAAAAUUUCAAGUCUCUUAUGUAAAAGAAUUGAGAAAAAAAAUUUAAAUCUAUUUUACAUUUGUCAUUAGUUUUAAUAAAAACACAAAGAUAAUGAAGUUUAAGUGGCUAUUGCUCCUUUGAUAUAUGAUCUUCUUCCUCUUAUAUUUCCUAUACUAGUGCUCCAACUACUUCCUCUUCCAAGAUUGUUUAGGCUUUUCUAAGCCAGUUCACCCAUGCUUUUUCCUUAUAAAUUAAAUGCAUGGAAAUAGAAAAGAUUGAAUAUAUAACAUGCAUAGUUUCUAGAACAAGCUUGCUGCCCUUCCAUUUUCUUCUCUAUAAAACUAUACCCUAAAUAGGACAGCUAUGGCAUGCAAUCCAAAUUCUAAUCGAUUGAGAGAAAAUGUCAUCAAGAGUGAUCAACUUUGGGAUGUUAUGAUAGAAUAUUCUAUCUAACAGUUGACUAUGUAGUUUCCCAAAAGCAUUUGCAGUGAAGACCUUGAGAUUGUAUAAAAAAUGCAAAAGAAUGAUUCUCACAAAUUCUUUGCCACAGGUGUGCGCCAAUCCGAUAUCACCAAUUGUGAUCAUCAGCCCCAAGACCAUGAUCUGCAAGAGCUCUGUGAUAUUGUUCCUGUUUUCCUGAUGGACCUGACAUCAUUCCUCUGCUCACCAUAUUGAUUUGUUUUAGAGAUACAGGAUCAGCAGCAGCACCGAUGCUGUGAGGACAAGGAAAGUGUGACGAUUUCAGAGAGGCCAUGCUGCAGCUUGUUUCCUUCUUCUGACAGUUUUUCUAGAAGAACCUGAGUAUGUACAUCAUCUAUCAGGUAGACAAGUGUUUCAAGCAGUGGGGGAAGCAUUAUUAGACAGAUCUCACUUUGCAUGGCUGAUGAAAGAGCAGCACCUCGGUCGCAUGGUCUUUGUUCAUUUGAUAGCUUCUUCCGAACGUAAGAUGAGUGGAAGCUCCAGUGCAGUGUCUUGGGUUUCGGAAAUCUUGCAGCCAGUUCUUCAUGUUGUUCACUGCAAAUGUGUCGAUGCAAAGCCCGAGCUCCUGGAGAUCAAUGAAGAGUGCCUCCGAGAUAGUUGCCAUCAUCUCGAUCAUCGUCCAGUAGUUUACCAAGUCGUGCUUAGAGCCAGGGAUCGUCUUGGCCCACGUGAAGAGCUUGAGAGAUGCAUCAUGUUUGAUCUUCUUGAGAGCAACGCAGACCUGGUGGGGGUGCGUUAUCCCGUGCUUGAGCUUCUCAACUAUCUCGGACCUCCAGCUCCCUCCUCCUUCCUUCACAAUCUCACACAAAGCAUUGGAGACUAGAGCUCCUUUGCCUGGGAGUAAACCUAGCACCACCUUACUGCUCGACACCAUAUAAUUCCCCGUUUCUUCUGUUCCUUCUUGCAAGCUCCAAUUCCACGAUGAGGAGACAUUCAUCACCCGGUUGUCCACUGUUACUGACAAAGGCUGACCACUGACGAACUUGUUGCAACUGUGAAGCUCCGGAGGAUCAUCGUUGGUGUCGCUCACUAUCUUGUAGUUGUCGCGAAUGUGACUUCAGGUAUCGAAAGAUAUUUGUCGGCCAGUCCUUACGGGCACUCUUUCCUUACUGCCAUGAUGGUAGGAGGUCAGUACUGCUGGUCCCUUUUAUGGUCUCCACUCAAGCUAGUUGAGAAACUGGUCAUCGCAUGUGCACUUGACCAGAUGAGCAUAAGGAGGGAAUUCUUACAUGCUAUUUAUCAAGCAUACUUGACCUGGUUAGAGAAACUCAUUCGUUGACUUGCACUUGUUAGUGUUGGGAACCCCCGUGAUAUUGAGACUAGUCCCUCAAUAUUCGCUAGAUGAUAGCUUACUGUGUCUGCCAAACACCCUCGUUAUCAUACCCUUUGUGUUGCUAUUUAUGGAAAGUGUCUAGAUUAGCUCAUUUGGCAUAUCUACAGAAUGUAGAGAUCGGCCAGAACACAAUGGUGUUCGUCCCGUGUCCAAAUUCGCAAUCUAAGGCCAUUCCAUAUUUAGUAAGUUUCAGACUUGUCCCAGAGACUAACUCCUAGUACUAAGGGAGGCUUGGGGUGAAAGCCCAAAGCGUGUGUCCCUCAAGGGGGGGGGGGGCUGUGGGGGGUUCCAAAUGUAUAAUAGGGAUAGUGGUUGGAAUGCAUGUCCAACCACCUAAGACAUUAGUUUGGCUCCCGUUGGGCUGUGUCGCUCCUUGUUCUGCGUCCAGCUUGGGUCUAAGCCCAAGCUCCACGCUGCUCUAGUCGGUGGAGUACCCUCCUCCUCGCGUUAGGCCACCGGUAUGCCAAAAUUGUGCCAGACUCCAUCUGACACCAUUUUGCGUGCAGGUGCUGGAUACAGGGAGCUGGUGCUCAUGGGAUUGUACCGGACCCUCAUUUGUAGCGCAACAAGCUUGGAGUUCGGCUCCAAAUUUAGGUGUGCUACAUUUGGUAUUAGAGGAAUUGUCUCAGCGAUUUCUAUCCAACUUUUAUCAGAUUUUCUGACUCAAGUUGCAUAUGCAAAGACUUUUCUAGUAGAUCUGAAGUGACUUGUGUAGGAUUAGUUGAAUUGCACCAUUCGGUAAAAAUGUUGUUUGCAUGUUCAGUUACUAAUAGAGGCAUGCAUGCAGCUACAAGGAUGGUGAAGAGGAACCGUGUUGAUGACGCUGAAACCUCUAGACAGGCGAAUCGAGAGGAGGAAACUCCUGCUAGAGAUGCUGCGAAAGAGGCAAAGGCUGAGUCAGAAGAGGAAGAGCCAGAUGCUGCGGUGCUGCAGCGUAUGGCUCAGGAAGUUGAGAUCGAGAAUUUGUGAAGGGAGAUUUGCAAAUUGAAGAAGGAGAACAAGAAGAGGAAGAAAGAAGCUGAGGUAGCUAAACUAGCUAAGCCUAAACAACUAGACUCCUCCUCAAGUUCUGAGGACAAUGAAGUUCUGCAGCAACCCCCGGUUGCACGAGUUUCAUAGUUCAAGCCUCCAAAACCACCCAAUUUCAGAGGCAUGCGGGACUAUCAAGUUUUGGAGGACUAGGUCUACGAUAUGGAAAACUAUUUCAUAGCGGCAGACGUAGAUGGUCGUACGAAAGUUGCAUGCGCGCAAUCCUUUUUCACCGAUCAUGCCAAAACUUGGUGGCGCCAGGAGUGUGCUGAAAAAGGGCAGACUAGAAGUUGGACCAAGAUGCGGUCUCGUAUCCGUAAGGAAUACUUGCCAAAUGAUCUUGGUUUGAGACUUCGUGCGGAGCUGCAGCGGUUAAAGCAGCGAGGGGACCUUAUGCAUUACGUUAAUGCGUUUGCUCAGAAGCGCAUUAUGAUUGCAAAUAUGAGUGACGAAGAUGCUCGGAGUUAUUUUCUGGAGGGUUUAAGUUCAUUUUCUCGCAAUGAGAUUUUGAAGUUUAAGCCGAAGACAUACCUGGAGUGUAAGGAGGCAGCGCAGCAAGUUGCCUUUAGUCACUCGCUCAUGGAACAAUAUCAGCAACCGCAUGUUGGUAACUCGGAUAAGAAUAGAAAUUCUGGGAAAUUCCCAGAGCAAGGUGAUCGGAAACAAAAGGUGGAAAGUAGGUACCGGCCUGGGGGCUCACAAGCUACUGUGAACAAAGGUGGUGGUGGUUGGAGACCACCAGCAGCUUCUUCUAGUCCUAGGCCCUCUAUUCCUCCUCCUGGUGGGUACAAGCAGCAGCAACCUGCAAAACCUGCUCCUAGCGGAACGGGUAGUGCGGGUCAUUGCUUCCAUUGUGGAGAGUCGGGACAUAGGUCCUUGGAAUGUCCCAACAAGCAUAAGACAAGGUCUCAGGUUAAUGUCAUGAGGGACGACGGUGGUGGCAAAGCUGAAAGGGUUGACGAGUUGGUCAAUGCGGACUAUGAGGAAGAAGAGGUGAGUAACUUUCGUUACUUUCCUCAAGCUUUUCUUGUAGUCAAUGCAAACACUGAUCUGUUGAUGUAUCUGAUAGGCUUUGUCCAAGGACACCGAAUCCGAGUGAUGAUUGACACGGGAUCUACGCACAGCGUGAUAUCCGAAGACUUAGUUAAGUUGUUAAGAUUGAAUGAUGAGCAAAUGUUGCCUAUGCACUUCCGAUUUGUGGAAGGUGGGCAAAUAGCCAGAAAGUUUGUGAGUGAUGUUCCAAUAACGAUAUCCAAGUGGAAAGAAAGAGUGGACUUGGUAGUGUUGAAGAUACUAGAUUUUUAGAUGGUGAUUGGUAUGGAUUUCUUCAACAAGUAUAUAAAAGGGAUUUAUGGUGCUGAACAAAGUCAUAUCACAUUGAAGUCAAAAGGACAUCCUGAUGUAUCCUUUCAGUUGCAAAAGUGUUCCUCAAAGGAUUGGGAUGCAAAGUUCCUGAUUGCGAAGGCCGCUCAAAAAGCAGCUAAGAGGGGAUGUCGGACCUUUUGGGUUCAAGUGAUGAAAGCUGAGGGUGUUGGUGACUUGGUUCGAAUCAGCGAUGGGGUUGAUCCUGUACCAAAGAGGAUAUUGGAGUUGGCGAGGAAUCAGGAUAUCUUUCCGAAGGAUUUGCAGCUAGGGCUACCUCCUAGCCGUGAUGUUGAUCAUCGGAUUGAGGUUAUUCUGGGUUCUAAACUACCUACGAAAGCUCCAUAUCAGUUGAACAUCAAGGAGAUGGCUGAACUCAAGAAGCAACUCAUGGAGCUUCUUGAAAAAGGUCAUAUCCGACCAAGCAAGUCACCUUAUGGAGUGCCGGUCCUUUUUGUUAUGAAAAAGGAUGGAACCAUGAAGAUGUGUAUUGACUAUCGGGCACUCAAUAAGAUCACGGUCAAGAACAGUUAUCCUUUGCCUUGCAUUGAUGACUUGUUUGACCAACUCUUAAAGGCUUAGUAUUUUAUGCGACUUGAUUUGCGGUCCGGGUAUCAUCAGAUACGGGUGGCGGAUCAGGAUGUGGAGAAGACAGCCUUUAAGACUCGGUACAGAUCUUAUGAGUUCCUUGUCAUGCUGUUUGGGUUAUGCAAUGCUCUGGCAACGUUCAGCACUAUGAUGGAUAGAAUAUUCGGAGAUUAUUUGGAUGCAUUUGUUGUCCUGUAUAUCAACAAUGUUCUAGUCUUUAGUGAAACAUUGGAGGAUCAUCUGAAACACUUGGAGCUGGUGUUUCAGAAGUUGCGCGAACACAAACUGUAUGCUAAGGAAAGUAAAUGUGCUUUUGGACAAUUGCGCGUAAACUUUCUCGGACAUAUAGUUGGUGGUGGCGUGAUUGAGGUCGAUCCAAAGAAGGUGGAAGCAGUGAAGUCUUGGGAAGUUCCAACCAUUGUAUCAGAUGUUCGUUCCUUUCUCGGUUUGGCGGGAUACUAUCGCAAGUUUGUCUGCAAUUUUGCAAGAAUUGCUCUUCCGUUGACUGAGUUGACGAAGAGUAGUAUUCCGUUUCAUUGGACACCAGCUUGUCAGCGUGCUUUUGUACGGUUGAAGGAGAUCUUGACUACGGUUCCUGUUCUCAGGAUUCCAGAUCUUGAUAAACCCUUCGAAGUGCAUUUUGAUGCAUCUGGCUAUGCUAUCAGUGCCGUGUUACAGCAAGAUUGUGAUAAAGCGGUUGGUGUUACGCUAAGGCGACAUGGUUAUCCCGUUGCAUUCUAUUCCAAGAAAUUGGAUGAAACUCAGCAAAGAUGGCCAACACAUGAGAAAGAGAUAUUUGCUAUAGUGUCGGUCCUGGAACACUGGAGACACUACUUGGGUGGACAUACCAAGGUUUAUACGGAUAGUAACACACUAAGCUACUUUGCUACGCAGCCUAAGCUUACGCCGAAGCAGGCUCGUUGGCAAAAGAAGCUUGCUAGAUAUGAUAUUGAAAUCAUAUAUAAACCUGGUAAAGACAAUAUUGUUCCGGAUGCGUUGAGUCGCCAGGCUCAGUUUCGGGCAAUAUCAGCAAUCAGUUCGGACUAGUUAGAGGACGUUCGGGCUUCAUAUGGAAACAAUCCAUUAGUGAAGGCAAUCUUACGCCGUGUGGAGUUGUCAAAGCAAAACUUUGGUAGCGAGGCAGCAAAAGUUGCUAGUCGCACUAAUGCGAAGCUUCACUUCUUAGUUUGGGAUGGGCUUAUAUUCUAUAAGCAAGAAAGAUUGUAUCUUCCCUCUAAGGAUCUACAGCAAUUAUUUUUGCGGGAACAUCAUGAUGUUCCAGCUGUGGGACAUGGUGGACAGUGAAAGACUCUAGCUUCAUUGAAAAAGGGAUUUUUUUGGUCUGGUAUGAAAGAGGAUGUAGCGGACUAUGUCCGUUCCUGCCCUAUAUGCCAGCAAUGUAAGUGCAGAACUGAGAAACAGGCUGGAAAGUUGCAGUGCAUUCCAGCACCAGCAUGGCCAUUUCAAAGUGUGAUACUUGAUUUCAUCACUUGCUUGCCGAAGUCUAAAGGUUAUGAUACUUUGAUGGUGGUUGUGGAUCAGUUGUCGAAGAUUGCACACUUCAUUCCAACUGUGGGAACAGUAAAUGUGAAACAAGCAGCAAAGCUCUUUUUCCAUGAAGUAGUGCGAGUUCGUGGUCUUCCUGAAGAAAUGAUCUCAGAUAGAGAUUCGAGGUUUACGGGGAAGUUUUAGGGGACCCUGUUCCAAUUGUUUGGUACCAAGUUGAAGUUUAGUACGGCUUAUUAUCCUCAAACUGAUGGGCACGUGAAUGCUCAAGUUGAGGAUUAUCUACGGUACUAUGUCGCGGUGGACCAAUGCGACUGGGUUGAGCAUUUGGAUACAGCAGAAAUCUGUUAUAACAACACAUUUCACAGCGCUAUAGGCUGUUCUCCAUGAGAGAUGCUGCAAGGGAAUGCUCGUGGGUUUCCUCAACAAAUCGUUGUACCGAAACCAAUGACCGACAUGUUGGUCCCAGCCGUUGAAACUUAUGCGGAGCAGCUAUGCCAAGGUUGGUCUAAAGCUACCGAGGUGAUGGGCAAAGAUCAGGAUAGGUAUUGACGUGAUAAGGAUCAGCAUCGUCGAAAUGUAUCCUAUCAAGUGGGAGAUCAGGUGUGGCUAUCUAACCGAAACUUGAACAUUAAGGGUUCUUUGUCUCUGAAGCUCUUGCCGAGAUAUGUUGGACCCUAUCAGGUGCUAAAACGCAUUGGUGAUGUAUCCUAUCGGUUGGAUCUGCCUGUGGAGAUGUCCAAUGUUCAUAAUGUAUUUCAUACCAAUCUAUUGGCUCCUUACACUAUGGAUGUUACACGUCAAGGGGAGAUUCGUCCGCCACCAAACGUUGUGAACGGUGAACCUGAAUAUGAAGUUGAAAGCAUUCUGGCUUGUUGCCGGAAACGUGGUGGUCGUGCAAAAGAAUAUCUAGUUAAGUGGAAAGGUUACCCGACUUGUGAAUCAACUUGGGAACCUCUUAGUAAUCUUGUCCAUGCUCGUGAGCUUGUACGGAGUAUGAGAAUAGUAAUAAAGAUUAGCUUUUGUAAAACUCUUGUAAUAAAUCUUGCAAAUCAAUAAAAGACAUAUAUUUUUAUACCUCAAAGUGUCAUUUCUCUCGUUCGAUAGUACUUGGGUCAGUUUUGGUAGGCUGACUUCGGCACUUCAGUGCAUGGGUCCAAUCCAUAACUAUGGGGAUAACUAUUAUAGACUAAUCACAAGUCCCCACCUCUCUCUCGAUGACUCACUUUUGAAAAGGGGCGUGGUCGUGUAAACAACUUAAUCUGCCAGUUUAUAAUAGUUGUCUAAAUCUUCCCGACGGGGUUGAUUUCUCGCUCAGGGGAAGUUGGGCCUCUAGCCUUCUCCCUAUGUCCUUGCGGGCAGGGAUGUAUCAUUCCUUUGUAAGAUGAGUGGUACUUGGAGCGGCAAGGGGGGCUAACUUUGUUAGUCAUUUCCUUGUCGGUGACGGCCGGAGGGUGUCUGAGUCUUAACGUCUUUGGACGUAGAGGAGAGGUCGUUCCAUAACUCAUUUAAGUCGGUGUGUUUCCCACAUAGUGUGCUUUCCGUUAACUUUCAGAGUUGUUUCCUUGACGGUUUGCUAGACUCGGGUAUGCAUCAACGAGGACGUCGAUCUUCCCUAAAGGGGGGAGAGUGUCGCGAAUGUGACUUCGGGUAUCGAAAGAUACUUGUCGACCAGUCCUUACAGGCACUCUUUCCUUACUGCCACGACGGCAGGAGGUUAGUACUGCUGGUCCCUUUUAUGGUCUCCACUCAAGCUAGUUGAGAAACUGGUCAUCGCAUGUGCAUUUGACCAGAUGAGCAUAAGGACGGAAUUCCUACAUGCUAUUUAUCAAGCAUACUUGACCUGGUUAGAGAAAUUCAUUUGUUGACUUGCACUUAUUAGUGUUGGGAACCCCUGCAAUAUUGAGACUAGUCCCUCAAUAUUCACUAGAUGAUAGCUUACCAUGUCUACCAAACACCCUCGCUAUCAUACCCUUUGUGUUAGUCUCAUUUCAGUCCCAAGUGCUAUUUAUGGAAAGUGUCUAGAUUAUCUCAUUUGGCAUAUCUACAGAAUGUAGAGAUAGAGAAACUCAUUCAUUGACUUGCACUUGCUAGUGUUAAGAACCCCUGCGAUAUUGAGCUUGGUCCCUCAAUAUUUCGGACUUGUCCCAGAGACUAACUCCUAGUACUAAGGGAGGCUUGGGGUGAAAGCCCAAAGCAUGUGUCCCUCAAGGGGGGGCUGUGGGGGGGUUCCAAAUGUAUAGUAGGGAUAGUGGUUGGAAUGCAUGUCCGACCACCUGAGACAUUAAUUUGGCUCCCGCUGGGCUGUGUCGCUCCUUGUUCUGCGUCCGGCUUGGGUCUAAGCCCAAGCUUUAUGCUGCUCUAGUCGGUGGAGUACCCUCCUCCUCGCGUUAGGCCACCAGUAUGCCAAAAUUGUGCCAGACUCCGUCUGACACCAUUUUUCAUGCAGGUGCUGGAUAUGGGGAGCUGGUGCUCGUGGGAUUGUACCGAACCCUCGUUCGUAGCGCAACAGGCUUGGAGUUCGGCUCCAAAUUCAGGUGCGCUACAGUAGUCCAGAAACUUGUCCUCAAUUGCAUGGACAUGCCACUGCUUCUUCCCACUAUGAAGGUGGAGCUUCUGCCUGUAUUCCAUGUGGAUCCACGCAGUUGCCUUCCUGUUCUUCGGCUGUGUAGGUCUUCUUCCCGAGCUGGUGGUGGAGUGCUGCCACACUGAAGCCUGCUUGGUGGUCUGCGAGUUCCUGCUCUCGACUUAGUCUUGGACAAGGUGGUGGCCCGAGAUUCCUACCAUGCGUCAUCUUCAUGUAGAGAUUGUCGUCACAGGAUAGUUCUGUGAUCACCAUGAGAUAGUUGUGCAGGAUCAUGAUCAUCACCAGGUCGUGCUGCAUUGUCUUGGCCCACAUAAAGAGUUUGAGCAAGAGAGAGGCAUCGUUGAUCUUCUUGAGAACCACGCAGACCUGGUGGGGGUGCGUUAUCCCAGCCUUGAGCCUGUUAUCCAGCUUCGCAACCAUCUUGGAGCUCCAGCUCCCUCCUCCUUCCUUCACAGUCUUGUGGAAGACUAGAGCUCCUUUGCCUAGAACUAAACCCGGCUGACCCUCCUUACUGCACGGCACCAUAUAGUUCUCCAUUUCUUCUUUGCAUUCCCGCAAGCCCAACGAGUUCCACGAGACAUUCCUUGCCUGGUUGUUCACUGUUACUGACAAGGGCCGAACAAAAUGAUCUUGUCACGACUGCAAAUCACUAGAGGAUCAUCACCGGUGUCGCUCAUGGGAGGAAGUGUCUCAUAGACCAGAAACGUGUCCCUAACUGCAUGGACGUUCCACCCCUUCCUGCUGUGAAGGUGGAGCUCCUGCCUGUACUGCUUGUGACUCAUGAUGAGAUCCACGGAGUUGCCUUCCUGCUUGUCGGCUGUGUAAAUUUUCCUCCCGAGCUGGUGUUGGACUGCUACCAUGCCGAAUCUAUCUAAGCCUGCUUGGUUGUCUUUCUGCUGUCUCAGACGAGGUGGCGGCCACAGCUUCCUACCAUACUUCGUCUUCACAUAGAGAUCGUUUCCACGGGGCAUGUCUGUGAUCGCCAUGAGAUAGUUGCCAUCGACUCCAAGGAUCAUGACCAUCACCAUAUCGUGCCGGAAGCCGGAGAUUCUCAUGGCCAGUGUAAAGGACUCGAGCGAGAGAUAUGUGUCAUGCUUCAUCUUCUUGACAACGAUCUCGAGCUUAAGACUCUAGAUUCUCUCUUCUCUCUUUCAUUGCAUCGAAGUCUAGUGUCUGGAACUAAGAACUGGAUAGAAAAUUGUCAGUCCCCAGUUUAAAAGAAGAACGUCACAGCAAACUUCAAUGGAAGGGCAGUCAAUCACCAAAUAUGCAGGCUCUAGCAAUUGUCUUGGGAAAGUUGAAAUAUACUAGUUGUUACUUGGCAAGCUGAAAAGGGUGCAAUUGCUCUAACUUAUUGAAGAAUCAAAACAACCAACGUGGUUUAAUCUAUGCUGUCUAUUUGAAAAUUUUAAAAUUUACCAUUAGAUCAAAAGGAUAAUUUUAGAUAAUACUCUACAAAAAGAAUAGAUGCCAGAUGGGGGAGUAUGAUUUUAUAUCCAAUUGAUCAAUUGAAUUAAUAAAUAAUAAACACUACUAUUAAACAAACCAAACCAAUAUUUUUACAUAGCUACACAUAGCAAAUGAUUUUUCUCUAGGCUUUGAAAACUUAAGUAUACAUAAUAAAUUGAUUUCUUGUCUUUGGUCUGGAGAUCACAAUAUGCAAAUUGGUUUCUUAUCCUGAUUACAAUCCUGGAGAAUGUCAAAAUUACUUUUGCCUGUUGAACUUUACUAGCUGAGCCCACAAAUGUGUAUAUACAUAUAUACUACUUUAUUAUAAAAUAAUUCCAUGAUCAUAGUUAAAUUACAAUCAAAAGAGUAGUUCCUUUGUUAUGCAUAAGCUGUUCCAAAAUCAGUCUUGAUGCAAACAAAAGAUAAGUUACCACCAAUGUUUAUCUAUGUCAAUAUGUGAUAUUUCAAUCCGUAUGGUUGUAUCCACCUAAACCCUAGACAGAGAUGCUGUCAAAUGCUGACGUGGCAGAUAGGGCAUACGUGCGGUCUUAGUGGCUGCCAAGUGGCACUCACGUGCAGCCCAUAAAGGAUUGAAUGUAUAGACGGAGCUCAAUUUCAUCAGCCGUUUGAACGCAAAUCAGCUAGGCACAAUGGCUGUCGAGCUCCCAACACAAGAUAUUCCCCAAUAAUUCGCGAUAGUUCAUGCAAUCUGUUGCUCCUCCUCAAUCUCGAUCUCUUCUUCAAGGGGUGAGUCGGUCUGGAGGAUUUUCUAGCGGUGCCAUAAACCACUGGCUGUGCAGAUGCCGGAAACCUCUAAGAUCAAUCGAUCUAAUAGCACAUUGCUGUGGCAGCGCUGUGAGCUGCUAGAUCUGCAUUGCUCGCAGCCUGGCCACGUUGAAUGAAGCGCCAUGGCCGAGGCUAUUGUGACGUGGCAUGCCGCUAACCCACGUGAAAAUCCUAUCUGGUCACGUGGCCCUAAUUCACAUCACCAUCCCUGAUUGGGACAAUCAUGACGUCCUCAAAAUACUGAUGGAACACUUCUCUGGAAGUAUAUGAUUGGCUUUUGCACAGAGAGUCAGGCUAGGUGGCCACCGAUCAGUACAAUCCUGACAUGUAAUACGUGACUUUGAAGUCCGGAAAAAACGUGAGAUUCUGUAGAAAUCGAUUAGGAUUCCGGAUGCCAAGUCAUCACAUAGAUAGGACUCUGUGUGACUAUAAAUCCAAACAGCCUGAGGUUCGGCACCACAACAACAUGGCAGCUUCAUUUUUGUUCCUCACUAUCCUAAGCUUUCAGCUACUUCUGAUAUCUGCAGGUUGACCUCCAAGUUUUGAUUCUUUCUUUCAGGACUGACUUCUUGAAUGCCUUGUCAUGAUGAUUUUGCAGCCAGCAGCCAUCGUCUCCAGGUUUGUAGUGAUGCUGUUGUCACUCUGGAGGAAUGCUCCAAUUGCUGUGCGCUUAAGGCUGGAUGCAUAUAUCUAGAGCCUGGAACUGGCAGUCCAGUUUGUCUUGGUGGCACCUCCCCUUUUCGUCCUUGCCCCUUAAUUUGUCAACCACCAAAAAUCAAAGUCUGCCCAUCCCCAGGGACUAACCAAAUUCCAAUUUCUGUGCUCCCACCGGAUAAGGAGCCUUCGAAUGGCUGUCAUCUCUACAAUUUAAAGACUGGUGCACCACUGCCAGUAAAUGGUGAUGACAAGUCCUGCUUGAAGGAUGCCGUGGAGAUUUGUGGAGGCACUGUCCAUCCCUGGACGCCAGGCAGCUGCGCUACUUGUUGCACCAUUCCUCAAGGUUGCUUGGACUUGGGGCAUGGCAAAUCAAUAUGCGUCUCAGGACCUGGUAAAGUCUGCACGCGCGAAUGUGGUUUUGUUUCCUAUGUCUGCCCAGGUCCAAAAAGUGUUGCGCUCGACUUCAACUCUUGCCACACUUGCAAGAAGCCACUCAAGGAAGGUUGCAAGCUCUACAACCGUCAGGGGCACCAGCUGUGCGUCAAGGAGGAUGAUCUACUCCAGCUUGCCUAGAGGAUGAUCUACUCCAGCUUGCCUAGAAGAUGAUGCAGUAUUUAUAUAAAAUAAACAGCUCUGGGCAUGGUUGUUUAAAU
rnacentral:lncRNA from 1 species